AAAAAAGACCUCGGUGAAGCUGCUUACAUAUUGAGCAUCAAGAUCUAUAGAGAUAGAUCAAGACGCUUGAUAAGUUUUUUUUCAAUGAGUACAUACCUUGACAAGAUUUUGAAGUAGUUCAAAAUGGAACAGUCAAAGAAAGAGUUCUUGCCUGUGUUACAAGGUGUGAAAUUGAGUAAGACUCAAAGCCCGACCACGGCAGAAGAUAGAAAGAAAAUGAAAGUCAUUCCCUAUGCCUCAGCCAUAGGUUCUAUAAAGUAUGCCAUGCUGUGUACCAGAUCUGUUGUAUACCCUACAUGAUUUUGGCAAGGGAGUACAAUAGUGAUCUAGGAGUAGAUCACUGGACAGCGGUCAAAAUUAUCCUUAGUGGAAUAAGGAUAUGUUUCUCGAUUAUGGAGGUGACAAAAAGGUUCGUCGUAAAGGGUUAUGUCGAUGCAAGUUUUAACACUGAUCCAGAUGACUCUAAGUCUCAAUCUGGAUACAUAUUGAAAGAGGGAGCAAUUAGCUAGAGUAGCUCCGUGCAGAGCAUUGUUGACAUAGAAAUUUGCAAAAUACAUACGGAUCUGAAUGUGGCAGACCCGUUGACUAAACUUCUCUCACAAGCAAAACAUGAUCACACCUUAGUACUCUUUGGGUGUUAAUCACAUAGCGAUGUGAACUAGAUUAUUGACUCUAGUAAACCCUUUGGGUGUUGGUCACUGUUGGAAAUAUGCCCUAGAGGCAAUAAUAAAAUGGUUAUUAUUGUAUUUCCUUGUUCAUGAUAAUUGUCUAUUGUUCAUGCUAUAAUUGUAUUAACUGGAAACCGUAAUACAUGUGUGAAUACAUAGACCACAACAUGUCCCUAGUAAGCCUCUAGUUGACUAGCUCGUUGAUCAAUAGAUGGUUAUGGUUUCCUGACCAUGGACAUUGGAUGUCAUUGAUAACGGGAUCACAUCAUUAGGAGAAUGAUGUGAUGGACAAGACCCAAUCCUAAGCAUAGCACAAGAUCGUGUAGUUCGUUUGCUAAGAGCUUUUCUAAUGUCAAGUAUCGUUACCUUAGACCAUGAGAUUGUGCAACUCCCGGAUACCGUAGGAAUGCUUUGGGUGUACCAAACGUCACAACGUAACUGGGUGGCUAUAAAGGUGCACUACAGGUAUCUCCGAAAGUUUCUGUUGGGUUGGCAUGAAUCGAGACUGGGAUUUGUCACUCCGUAUGGCGGAGAGGUAUCUCUGGGCCCACUCGGUAAUGCAUCAUCAUAAUGAGCUCAAUGUGACUAAGUAGUUAGUCAUGGGAUCAUGCAUUACGGAACGAGUAAAGUGACUUGCCGGUAACGAGAUUGAACGAGGUAUUGGGAUACCGACGAUCGAAUCUCGGGCAAGUAACAUACCGAUUGACAAAGGGAAUUGUAUACGGGAUUGAUUGAAUCCCCGACAUCGUGGUUCAUCCGAUGAGAUCAUCGUGGAACAUGUGGGAGCCAAUAUGGGUAUCCAGAUCCCGCUGUUGGUUAUUGACCAGAGAACGUCUCGGUCAUGUCUGCAUGGUUCCCGAACCCGUAGGGUCUACACACUUAAGGUUCGGUGACGCUAGAGUUGUUAUGGGAAAUAGUAUGUGGUUACCAAAGGUUGUUCAGAGUCCCGGAUAGGAUCCCGGACGUCACGAGGAGUUCCGGAAUGGUCCGGAGGUAAAGAUUUAUAUAUGGGAAGUCAUCAUACGGUCACCGGAAGUAUUCGGGGGUAUGCCGGUAUUGUACCGGGGCCACCAAAGGGGUUCCGGGGGUCCACCGGGAGGGUCCACCUGCCCCGGAGGGCCUUAUGGGCUGUAGGUGGAAGGGAACCAGCCCUUAGUAGGCUGGGCGCCAACCCCCCUAGGGCCCAUGCGCCUAGGGUUUGGGGGAAACCCUAAAAGGGGGCGCCCCCCCCUCUUGCUUGGGGGGCAAGCCACCUUCCCCUGGCCGCCGCCCCUCCCACCAGAUGGGAUCUGAGGGGGCCGGCCCCCCUCUCCCUUGCCCCUAUAUAUAGUGGAGGGGUGGGAGGGCAGCCAUACUUUUCCCAAGGCGCAGCCCUCUCCUCCUACACCUCCUCCUUCUCCUCCGUAGUGCUUAGCAAAGCUCUGCCGGAGAACCACGAGCUCCAUUGCCACCACGCCGUCGUGCUGCUGGAGUUCUCCCUCAACUUCUCCUCUCCCCUUGCUGGAUCAAGAAGGAGGAGACGUCCCCGGGUUGUACGUGUGUUGAACGCGGAGGCGCCGUCCGUUCGGCGCUAGAUCGGAUCUUCCGCGAUUUGAAUCGCCGCGAGUUCGACUCCAUCAACCGCGUUCUUGUAACGCUUCCGCUUAGCGAUCUUCAAGGGUAUGAAGAUGCACUCCCUCUCUCUCGUUGCUAGCAUCUCCUAGAUUGAUCUUGGUGACACGUAGGAAAAUUUUGAAUUAUUGCUACGUUCCCCAACAGUGGCAUCAUGAACUAGGUCUAUGCAUAGAUUCUAUGCACGAGUAGAACACAAAGUAGUUGUGGGCGAUGAUUUGUUCAAUUUGCUUACCGUUACUAGUCUUAUCUUGAUUCGGCGGCAUUGUGGGAUGAAGCGGCCCGGACCGACCUUACACGUACACUUACGUGAGACGGGUUCCACCGACUGACAUGCACUUGAUGCAUAAGGUGGCUAGCGGGUGUCUGUCUCUCCCACUUUAGUCGGAUCAGAUUCGAUGAAGAGGGUCCUUAUGAAGGGUAAAUAGCAAUUGGCAUAUCACCGUUGUGGCUUUUGCGUAGGUAAGAAACGUUCUUGCUAGAAACCCAUAGCAGCCACGUAAAACAUGCAACAACAAUUAGAGGACGUCUAACUUGUUUUUGCAGGGUAUGCUAUGUGAUGUGAUAUGGCCAAAAGGAUGUGAUGAAUUAUAUAUGUGAUGUAUGAGAUUGAUCAUGUUCUUGUAAUAGGAAUCACGACUUGCAUGUCGAUGAGUAUGACAACCGGCAGGAGCCAUAGGAGUUGUCUGAAUUUAUUGUAUGACCUGCGUGUCAAUGAAAAACGCCAUGUAAUUACUUUACUUUAUUGCUAACCGUUAGCCAUAGUAGUAGAAGUAAUAGUUGGCGAGACAACUUCAUGAAGACACGAUGAUGGAGAUCAUGGUGUCAUGCCGGUGGCGAAGGUGAUCAUGCCGCGCCUCGAAGAUGGAGAUCAAAAGGCGCAAGAUGAUAUUGGCCAUAUCAUGUCACUUUAUGAUUUGCAUGUGAUGUUUGUCAUGUUUACAUCUUAUUUGCUUAGAACGACAGUAGCAUAAAUAAGAUGAUCCCUCACUAAAAUUUCAAGAGACGUGUUCCCCCUAACUGUGCACUGUUGCGAAGGUUCGUUGUUUCGAAGCACCACGUGAUGAUCGGGUGUGAUAGAUUCUAACGUUCGCAUACAACGGGUGUAAGCCAGAUUUACACAUGCGAAACACUUAGGUUGACUUGACGAGCCUAGCAUGUACAGACAUGGCCUCGGAACACAAGAGACCGAAAGGUCGAACAUGAGUCGUAUAGUAGAUACGAUCAACAUGGAGAUGUUCACCAAUGAUGACUAGUCCGUCUCACGUGAUGAUCGGACACGGCCUAGUUGACUCGGAUCAUGUAUCAGUUAGAUGACUAGAGGGAUGUCUAUCUGAGUGGGAGUUCAUUAAAUAAUCAGAUGAACUUAAUUAUCAUGAACAUAGUCAAAAGGUAUUUGCAAAUUAUGUCAUAGCUUACGCUUUAGUUCUACUGUUUAAGAUAUGUUCCUAGCGAAAAUUUAGUUGAAAGUUGAUAGUAGCAAUUAUGCGGACUGGGUCUGUAAACUGAGGAUUGUCCUCAUUGCUGCACAGAAGGCUUAUGUCCUUAAUGCACCGCUCGGUGUGCUGAACCUCGAGCGUCGUCUGUAGAUGUUGCGAAACAUUUGACAUACACGUUUUGAUGACUACGUGAUAGUUCAGUGUGUGAUGCUAACGGUUUAAAAUUGUGGCACCAAAGACGUUUUUGAAACGUCGCAGAACAUAUGAGAUGUUCCAAAGACUGAAAUUGGGAUUUCAGACUAGUGCCCACGUAAAGAGGUAUGAGACCUCUGACAAGUUUCUUAACCUGCAAACUAAGGGAGGAAAGCUCAAUCGUUGAGCAUGUGCUCAGAUUGUCUGAGUACUACAAUCGCUUGAAUCGAGUGGGAGUUAAUCUUCCAGAUGAGAUAGUGAUGGUUCUCCAUAGUCACUGCCACCAAGCUAUUAGAGCUUCGUGAUGAACUAUGACAUAUCAGGGAUAGACAUGAUGAUCCUUGAGCAACUCGCGAUGUUUGACACCGCGAAAGUAGAAAUCAAGUAGGAGCAUCAAUUGUUGAUGGUUAGUAAAACCACUAGUUUCAAGAAGGGCGAGGGAAAGAAGGGAUACUUCAUGAAAUGGCAAAUCAGUUGCUGCUCUAGUGAAGAAACCCAAGGUUGAACCCAAACCCGAGACUAAGUGCUUCUGUAAUGAGGGGAACGGUCCCUGAAGCAAAACUACCCUAGAUACUUGGUAGAUGAGAAGGUUGGCAAGGUCGACAGAAGUAUAUUGGAUAUACAUUAUAUUAAUGUGUACUUUACUAGUACUCCUAGUAGCACCAGGGUAUUAGAUACCGGUUCGGUUGCUAAGUGUUGGUAACUCGAAAUAAAAACUGCGAAAUAAACGGAAACUAGCUAAAGAUGAGAUGACGAUAUGUGUUGGAAGUGUUUCCAAGGUUGAUGUGAUCAAGCAUCGCAUGCUCCCUCUACCAUCGAGAUUGGUAUUAAACCUAAAUAAUUGUUAUUUGGUUUUUGCGUUGAGCAUAGACAUGAUUGGAUUAUGUUUAUCACAAUACGGUUAUUCAUUUAAGGAGAAUAAUGGUUACUCUUUUUAUUUGAAUAAUACCUUCAAUGGUCUUGCACCUAAAAUGAAUGGUUUAUUGAAUCUCGAUCGUAGUGAUACACAUGUUCAUGCCAAAAGAUAUAAGAUAGUAAUGAUAGUACCACAUACUUGUGGCACUGCUAUUUGAGUCAUAUUGGGAUAAAACGCAUGAAGAAGCUCCAUGUUGAUGGAUCUUUGGACUCACUCGUUUUUGAAAAGAUUGAGACAUGCGAACCAUGUCUAUUAGUAUAUAUGCAUGAAGAAAGUCCAUACAGAUGGAUCGUUUGGACUCACUUGAUUUUGAAUCACUUGAGACAUGCAAAUCAUACCACAUGGGCAAGAUGACUGAAAGGCCUCAUUUUCAGUAAGAUGGAACAAGAGAGCAACUUGUUGGAAGUAAUACAUUUGAUGUGUGCAGUCCAAUGAGUGCUGAGGCACGCAGUGGAUAUCAUUAUGUUCUUACUUCACAUAUGGUUUGAGUAGAUGCUGAGAAUAUUUACUUGAUGAAACACAAGUCUGAAUUAUUGAAAGGUUCAAUAAUUUCAGAGUGAAGUUGAAGAUCGUCGUGACAAGAGGAUAAAAUGUCUGUGAUAUGAUCAUAGAGAUGAAUAUCCGAGUUACGAGUUUGGCACACAAUUAAGAAAUUGUGGAAAUUGUUUCAUGACUAAUACCGCCUGGAACACCAUAGUGUGAUGGUGUGUCCGAACAUCAUAACUGCACCCUAUUGGAUAUGGUGCAUACCAUGAUGUCUCUUAUCGAAUUACACUAUCGUUUAUGGGUUAGGCAUUAGAGACAACCGCAUUCACUUUAAAUAGGGCACCACGCAAUUCCAUUGAGACGACACCGUAUAAACUAUGGUUUAGAGAAACCUAAGUUGUCGUUUCUUAAAAGUUUGGGGCUGCGACGCUUAUGUGGAAAAGUUUCAGGCUGAUAAGCUCGAACCCAAAGCGGAUAAAUGUAUCUUCAUAGAAUACCCAAAACAGUUGGGUAUACCUCCUAUUUCAGAUCCGGAAGCAAAGUGAUUGUUUCUAGAAAUAGGUCCUUUCUCGAGGAAAAGUUUCUCUCGAAAGAAUUGAGUGGGAGGAUGGUGGAGACUUGAUGAGGUUAUUGAACCAUGACUUCAACUAGUGUGUAGCAGGGCACAGGAAGUUGUUCCUGUGGCACCUACACCAAUUGAACUGGAAGCUUAUGAUAGUGAUCAUGAAACUUCGGAUCAAGUCACUACCAAACCUCGUAGGACGACAAGGAUGCAUGCUACUUCAGAGUGGUACGUAAUCCUGUCUUGGAAGUCAUGUUGCUAGACAACAAUGAACCUACGAGCUAUGGAGAAGCGAUGAUGGGCCCGUAUUCCGACGAAUGACUCGAGGCCAUAAAAUCCGAGAGAGGAUCCAUGUAUAAAAACAAAGUAUAGAUUUUGGAAGAACUACUUGAUGGUCAUAAGGCUGUUGGGUGCAGAUGGAUUUUAAAAGGAAGACGGACAAUGAUGGUAAGUGUCACCAUUAAGAAAGCUCGACUUGUCGUUAAGAUGUUUUCCGACAAGUUCAAGGAGUUGACUACGAUGAGAUUUUCUCACUCAUAGCGAUGCUAAGAGUCUGUUGGAAUUAUAUUAGCAGUUACUGCAUUAUUUAUGAAAUCUUGCAGAUAGGAUGUCAAAACAUUGUUUCCUCGACGAUUUUCUUGAGGAAAGGUUGUAUGUGAUACAACCAGAAGGUUUUGUCAAUCCUGAAAGAUGCUAACAAGUAUGCAAAGCUCCAGCAAUCCUUCUAAGGAUUGGAGUAAGCAUCUCGGAGUUGGAAUGUACGCUUUGAUGAGAUGAUCAAAGAUUUUGGGUUUAUACAAAGUUUAUGAGAAACUUGUAUUUCCAAAGAAGUGAGUGGGAGCACUAUAGAAUUUUUGAUAAGUAUAUGUUGUUAACAUAUUGUUGAUCGGAAAUGAUGUAGAACUUCUGGAAAGCAUCCAGGGUUAUUUGAAAAAUGUUUUUCAAUGGAAAACCUGGAUUAAGCUACUUGAACAUUGAGCAUCAAGAUCUAUAAGGAUAGAUCAAAAACGCUUAAUAGUACUUUCAAAUGAAUACAUACCGUGACAAGAUUUUGAAGGAGUUCAAAAUAGGUCAACAAAGAAGGAGGUCUUAGCUGUGUUACAAGGUGUGAGUAUUGAGUAAGACUCAAGACCUUACCACGACAGAAGAGAGAGAAAGGACGAAGGUCGUCCCCUAUGCUUUAGACGUAGGCUCUACAGUAUGCUAUGCUGUGUACCGCACCUGAAGUGUGCCUUGCCAUGAGUUAGUCAAGGGGUACAAUAGUGAUCCAGGAAUGGAUCACAUGACAGCGGUCGAACUUAUCCUUAGUAACUAGUGGACUAAGGAAUUUUCUUGAUUAUGGAGGUGGUAAAAGAGUUCGUCGUAAAGGGUUACGUCGAUACAAACUUUGACACUAAUCCGGAUGACUCUGAGUAGUAAACCGGAUUCGUAUAGUAGAGCAGUUAUUUGGAAUAGCUCCAAGUAGCGCGUGGUUGGUACAUCUACAAGAUGACAUAGAGAUUUGUAAAGCACACACGGAUCUGAAAGGUUCAGACCCGUUGACUAAUAACCUCUCUCACAAGCGAGAUAUGAACAAACCCCAUGGGUGUUGGAUUCAUUACAAUCACAUAGUGAUGUGAACUAGAUUAUUGACUCUAGUGCAAGUGGGAGACUGUUGGAAAUAUGCCCUAGAGACAAUAAUAAAAUGGUUAUUAUUGUAUUUCCUUGUUCAUGAUAAUUGUCUAUUGUUGAUGCUAUAAUUGUAUUAACUGGAAACCGUAAUACAUGUGUGAAUACAUAGACCACAACAUGUCCCUAGUAAGCCUCUAGUUGACUAGCUCGUUGAUUAAUAGAUGGUUAUGGUUUCCUGACCAUGGACAUUGGAUGUCAUUGAUAACGGGAUCACAUCAUUAGGAGAAUGAUGUGAUGGACAAGACCCAAUCCUAAGCAUGGCACAAGAUCGUGUAGUUCGUUUGCUAAGAGCUUUUCUAAUGUCAAGUAUCGUUUCCUUAGACCAUGAGAUUGUGCAACUCCCGGAUACCGUAGGAAUGCUUUGGGUGUACCAAACGUCACAACGUAACUGGGUGGCUAUAAAGGUGCACUACAGGUAUCUCUGAAAGUGUCUGUUGGGUUGGCACGAAUCGAGACUGGGAUUUGUCACUCCGUAUGACGGAGAGGUAUCUCUGGGCCCACUCGGUAAUGCACCAUCAUAAUGAGCUCAAUGUGACUAAGUAGUUAGUCACGGGAUCAUGCAUUACGGAACGAGUAAAGUGACUUGCCGGUAACGAGAUUGAACGAGGUAUUGGGAUACCGACGAUCGAAUCUCGGGCAAGUAACAUACCGAUUGACAAAGGGAAUUGUAUACGGGAUUGAUUGAAUCCCCGACAUCGUGGUUCAUCCGAUGAGAUCAUCGUGGAACAUGUGGGAGCCAAUAUGGGUAUCCAGAUCCCGAUGUUGGUUAUUGACCGGAGAACGUCUCGGUCAUGUCUGCAUGGUUCCCGAACCCGUAGGGUCUACACACUUAAGGUUCGGUGACGCUAGAGUUGUUAUGGGAAAUAGUAUGUGGUUACCGAAGGUUGUUCGGAGUCUCAGAUAGGAUCCCGGAUGUCACGAGGAGUUCCGGAAUGGUCCGGAGGUAAAGAUUUAUAUAUGGGAAGUCAUCAUACGGUCACCGGAAGUAUUCGGGGGUAUGCCGGUAUUGUACCGGGGCCACCGAAGGGGUUCCGGGGGUCCAUCGGGAGGGUCCACCUGCCCCGGAGGGCCUUAUGGGCUAUAGGUGGAAGGUAACCAGCCCUUAGUAGGCUGGGCGCCAACCCCCCUAGGGCCCAUGCGCCUAGGGUUUGGGGGAAACCCUAAAAGGGGGCGCCCCCCCCUCUUGCUUGGGGGGCAAGCCACCUUCCCCUGGCCGCCGCCCCUCCCACCAGAUGGGAUUUGAGGGGGCCGGCCCCCCUCUCCCUUGCCCCUAUAUAUAGUGGAGGGGUGGUAGGGCAGCCAUACUUUUCCCAAGGCGCAACCCUCUCCUCCUACACCUCCUCCUUCUCCUCCGUAGUGCUUAGCGAAGCUCUGCCGGAGAACCACGAGCUCCAUUGCCACCACGCCGUCGUGCUGCUGGAGUUCUCCCUCAACUUCUCCUCUCCCCUUGCUGGAUCAAGAAGGAGGAGACGUCCCCGGGCUGUACGUGUGUUGAACGCGGAGGCGCCGUCCGUUCGGCGCUAGAUCGGAUCUUCCGCGAUUUGAAUCGCCGCGAGUACGACUCCAUCAACCGCGUUCUUGUAACGCCUCCGCUUAGCGAUCUUCAAGGGUAUGAAGAUGCACUCCCUCUCUCUCGUUUCUAGCAUCUCCUAGAUUGAUCUUGGUGACACGUAGGAAAAUUUUGAAUUAUUGCUACGUUCCCCAACAGUCACAUGACGAUGUAAACUAUGGGUGUUAAUCACAUGGUGAUGUGAACUAUUGGUGUUAAAUCACAUGGUGAUGUGAACUAGAUUAUUGACUCUAGUGCAAGUGGGAGACUGAAGGAAAUAUGCCCUAGAGGCAAUAAUAAAGUUAUUAUUUAUUUCCUUAUAUCAUGAUAAAUGUUUAUUAUUCAUGCUAGAAUUGUAUUAACCGGAAACUUAGUACAUGUGUGAAUACAUAGACAAAUAGAGUGUCACUAGUAUGCCUCUACUUGACUAGCUCGUUGAAUCAAAGAUGGUUAAGUUUCCUAGCCAUAGACAUGAGUUGUCAUUUGAUUAACGGGAUCACAUCAUUAGAGAAUGAUGUGAUUGACUUGACCCAUUCCGUUAGCUUAGUGAUAACCCACAAGUAUAGGGGAUCAAUUGUAGCCUCUUUCGAUAAGUAAGAGUGUCAAACCCAACGAGGAGCUAAAGGUAGAACAAAUAUUCCCUCUGUUGGAAAUAUGCCCUAGAGGCAAUAAUAAAUGGUUAUUAUUAUAUUUCUUUGUUCAUGGUAAUUGUCUAUUAUUCAUGCUAUAAUUGUAUUGUCCGGAAAUCGUAAUACAUGUGUGAAUACAUAGACCACAACCUGUCCCUAGUAAGCCUCUAGUUGACUAGCUCGUUGAUCAACAGAUAGUCAUGGUUUCCUGACUAUGGACAUUGGAUGUCAUUGAUAACGGGAUCACAUCAUUAGGAGAAUGAUGUGAUGGACAAGACCCAAUCCUAAGCAUAGCAUAAAAGAUCGUGUAGUUUCGUUUGCUAGAGCUUUUCCAAUGUCAAGUAUCUUUUCCUUAGACCAUGAGAUCGUGCAACUCCCGGAUACCGUAGGAGUGCUUUGGGUGUGCCAAACGUCACAACGUAACUGGGUGACUAUAAAGGUGCAUUACGGGUAUCUCCGAAAGUGUCUGUUGGGUUGGCACGGAUCGAGACUGGGAUUUGUCACUCCGUGUGACGGAGAGGUAUCUCUGGGCCCACUCGGUAAUGCAUCAUCAUAAUGAGCUCAAUGUGACUAAGGCGUUAGUCACGGGAUCAUGCAUUGCGGUACGAGUAAAGAGACUUGCCGGUAACGAGAUUGAACAAGGUAUUGGGAUACCGACGAUCGAAUCUCGGGCAAGUAACAUACCGUUUGACAAAGGGAAUUGCAUACGGGAUUGACUGAAUCCUCGACAUCGUGGUUCAUCCGAUUAGAUCAUCGUGGAGCAUGUGGGAGCCAACAUGGGUAUCCAGAUCCCGCUGUUGGUUAUUGACCGGAGAGGCGUCUCGGUCAUGUCUGCAUGUCUCCCGAACCCGUAGGGUCUACACACUUAAGGUCCGGUGACGCUAGGGUUGUAGAGAUAUAUGUAUGCGGAAACCCGAAAGUUGUUUGGAGUCCCGGAUGAGAUCCCGGACGUCACGAGAGGUUCCGGAAUGGUCCGGAGGUGAAGAAUUAUAUAUAGGAAGUCAAGUUUCGGCCACCGGGAAAGUUUCGGGGGUUACCGGUAUUGUACCGGGACCACCGGAAGGGUCCCGGGGGUCCACCGGGUGGGGCCACCUGUCCCAGAGGGCCCCAUGGGCUGAAAGUGGAAGGGAACCAGCCCUUAGUGGGCUGGGGCGCCCCCCUUGGGCCUCCCCCCAUGCGCCUAGGGUUGGGAACCCUAGGGGGGGAACUUCCCCCUUGCCUUGGGGGGCAAGGCACCCCUUUCCACCCCUUGGCCACCGCCCCCCCAACCCUAGAUGGGUUUUGGCCGGCCCCCCCUCCCAAGGGGGCCUAUAUAAAGGGGGGAGGGAGGGCAGAAAGAACACAGCCUUGGGCGCCUCCCUCCUCCCCUGCAACACCUCUCUCUCUCUCUCGCAGAAGCUCGGCGAAGCCCUGCCGGAGACCCGCUACAUCCACCACCACGCCGUCGUGCUGUUGGAUCUCCAUCAACCUCUCCUUCCCCCUUGCUGGAUCAAGAAGGAGGAGACGUCGCUGCACCGUACGUGUGUUGAACGCGGAGGUGCCGUCCGUUCGGCACUCGGUCAUCGGUGAUUUGGAUCACAGCGAGUACGACUCCGUCAUCCACGUUCAUUGGAACGCUUCCGCUCGCGAUCUACAAGGGUAUGUAGAUGCACUCCUUUCCCCUCGUUGCUAGUAGACUUCAUAGAUGCAUCUUGGUGAGCGUAGGAAAAUUUUAAAUUAUGCUACGAUUCCCAACAGUGGCAUCAUGAGCCAGGUCUAUGCGUAGUUACUAUGCACGAGUAGAACACAAAGCAGUUGUGGGCGUUGAGUUUGCCAAUUCUUCUUGCCGCUACUAGUAUUUUCUUGUUUCGGCGGCAUUGUAGGAUGAAGCGGCCCGGACCGACCUUACACGUACAUUUACGUGAGACAGGUUCCACCGACUGACAUGCACAAGUUGCAUAAGGUGGCUAGCGGGUGUCUGUCUCUCCUACUUUAGUCGGAACGGAUUCGAUGAAAAGGGUCCUUAUGAAGGGUAAAUAGAAAUUGGCAAAUCACGUUGUGGUCAUACGUAGGUAAUAAACGUUCUUGCUAGAAACCUACAAACCACGUAAAAAAAACUUGCAACAACAAUUAGAGGACGUCUAACUUGUUUUUGCAGCAAGUGCUAUGUGAUGUGAUAUGGCCAGAAGAUGUGAUGAAUGAUAUAUGUGAUGUAUGAGAUUGAUCAUAUUCUUGUAAUAGGAAUCACGACUUGCAUGUCGAUGAGUAUGACAACCGGCAGGAGCCAUAGGAGUUGUCUUUAUUAUUUUGCAUGACCUGCGUGUCAUUGAAUAACGCCAUGUAAAUUACUUUACUUUGUUGCUAAACAAGUUAGCCAUAGAAGUAGAAGUAAUCGUUGGCGUGACGACUUCAUGAAGACACAAUGAUGGAGAUCAUGAUGAUGGAGAUCAUGGUGUCAUGCCGGUGACGAAGAUGAUCAUGGUGCCCCGAAGAUGGAGAUCAAAGGAGCAUGAUGAUAUUGGCCAUAUCAUGUCACUAUUUGAUUGCAUGUGAUGUUUAUCAUGUUUUUGCAUCUUAUUUUCUUAGAACGACGGUAGUAAGUAAGAUGAUCCCUUAUAAUAAUUUCAAGAAAGUGUUCACCCUAACGGUCAACCGUUGCGAAGGUUCGUUGUUUCGAAGCACCACGUGAUGAUCGGGUGUGAUAGAUUCUAACGUUCGAAUACAACGGGUGUUGACGAGCCUAGCAUGUACAGACAUGGCCUCGGAACACACGCAAUACACUUAGGUUGACUUGACGAGCCUAGCAUGUACAGACAUGGCCUCGGAACACGGAGGACCGAAAGGUCGAGCAUGAGUCGUAUAGAAGAUACGAUCAACAUGGAGAUGUUCACCGAUCUUGACUAGUCCGUCUCACGUGAUGAUUGGACACGGCCUAGUUAAACUCGGAUCAUGUUUCACUUAGAUGACUAGAGGGAUGUCUAUCUGAGUGGGAGUUCAUAAUCAGAUGAACUUCAUUAUCAUGAACAUAGUCAAAAAGGGUAUUUGCAAAUUAUGUCAUAGCUUGCGCUUUAGUUCUACUGGUUAAGAUAUGUUCCUAGAGAAAAUUUAGUUGAAAGUUGGUAGUAGCAAUUAUGCGGACUGGGUCCGUAAACUGAGGAUUGUCCUCAUUGCUGCACAGAAGGCUUAGGUCCUUAAUGCACCGCUCGGUGUGCUGAACCUCAGCGUCGUCUGUAGAUGUUACGAAACAUCUGACAUACACGUUUUGAUGACUACGUGAUAGUUCAGUGCGGUUUAGAAUUGUGGCACCAAAGACGUUUUUGAAACGUCGCAGAACAUGUGAGAUGUUCCGAAGACUGAAAUUGGGAUUUCAGACUAGUGCCCACGUCAAGAGGUAUGAGACCUCUGACAAGUUUGUUAAGCCUGCAAACUAAGGGAGAAAAGCUCAAUCGUUAAGCGUGUGCUCAGAUUGUCUGAGUGCCACAAUCGCUUGAAUCGAGUGGGAGUUGAUCUCCCAGAUGAGAUAGUGAUAGUUCUCCAUAGUCUCUGCCACCAGGCUAGUAGAGCUUCGUGAUGAACUAUAACAUAUCAAGGAUAAUUAUGAUGAUCCUUGAGCUAUUCGCGAUGUUUGACACCGCGAGAGUAGAAAUCAAGAAGGAGCAUCAAUUGUUGAUGGUUAGUAAAACCACUAGUUUAAGAAGGGCAAGGGCAAAAGGGAUACUUCAUGAAACAGCGAGUCGUUUGCUGCUCUAGUGAAGAAUCCCAAGGUUGAACCCAAACCCGAGACUAAGUGCUUCUGUAAUGAGAGGAACGGUCACUGAAGCAGUACUACCCUAGAUACUUGGUAGAUGAGAAGGCAGGCAAGGUCGACAGAAGUAUAUUGGAUAUACGUUAUAUGAAUGUGUACUUUACUAGUACUCCUAGCAGCACCAGGGUAUUAGAUACCGGUUCGGUUGCUAAGUGUUAGUAACUCGAAAUAAAAGCUGCGGAAUAAAUGGAGACUAGCUAAAGGUGAGAUGACGAUAUGUUUCCAAGGUUGAUGUGAUCAAGCAUCGCAUGCUCCCUGUACCAUCGAGAUUUGGUGUUUGCGUUGAACAUGAUUGGAUUAUGUUUACCGCAAAACGGUUAUUCAUUUAAGGAGAAUAAUGGUUACUCUGUUUAUUUGAAUAAUACCUUCAAUGGUCUUGCACCUAAAAUGAAUCUCGAUCGUAGUGAUGCACAUGUUCAUGCCAAAAAGGAUAUAAGAUAGUAAUGAUAGUACCACAUACUUGUGGCACUGCCACUUGAGUCAUAUUGGUGUAGAACACAUGAAGAAGCUCCAUGUAGGUGGAUCUUUGGACUCACUCAUUUUUGAAAAGAUUGAGACAUGCGAACCAUGUCUAUUGGUAUAUAUGCAUGAAGAAACUCCAUACAGAUGGAUCGUUUGGACUCACUUGAUUUGUAGGAGAUAUGCCCUAGAGGCAAUAAUAAAUGAUAUUAUUUAUCUCCGAGUUCAUAAUUAUGUUUAUGUUCCAUGCUAUAACUGCUAUGGUUCUCGAGUCUGCAAUAACCACGAGGCUCGGAGGAAGACUCAUAUGCACGUGUGGAAUAAUAAACGGUAAAAUGUAUUCCUAGUCUGGCCUCUAAGACUAGCUCAAGUGUUGCAUGAUGGUUAUGUUUUCCUGAUCAUGGGCAUGUCUAUGUCAGCAACCUUGAGGGCAAAAUGUUAAGAGAACAUUUGUGUUGAAUCGACCCGGAUUGAUGUUAUGCUAUGAGAUUCAUUCGUCACAAGUUUAUUGGUACAUAACACAGAGAUGGUUAACGUUUGCAUGAUUCCUUAGACCAUGAGAGUAUCGAGUUUCUUCAUGCUUGCUUCAUGAACUUUGGGGUUUGUUAAACGUCAUCCGUAAAUGGGUGGCUAUUACGGCGGCUUACGGGUUCAUGGAAAAGUGUGUCAAGUGACUUGAUAGCUCAAGAUUGGGAUUUGCUCCUCCGACGAUGGAGAGAUAUCUCUGGGCCCUCUCGGUGUUACGGUAUCCAUCAUCGUCUGGCCAGACACUUUGUGAUUUGAUCACGGGGAUGCCGGAACACGAUAACGAGAAAAGAGAACAAUACCGGUAACGAGGUAACUAGCAUAGUGGACAAGUUGUUGAUCCACAGGAAUGCCAACAUGUCUCACCUCGGGUAUUUGUAACAUAUCGCGAAGCAACAGGAAUAGCACACGGCAACUGGAGGUUCACUCGAAUAUUUAUUCGUGUGGGUAUAGGGGUCAAUAUGGGUGUCCACGGCUCCGAUGUUGAUCAUUGAUCGGAAGGGGUUCCGGGUCAUGUCUAUACUUCACCGAACCUAUAGGGUCACACGCUUAAGGGUCAUCUAUCUGCUGAAUACUAGACAGGGAGUCUGAGAGAAAAUCACCGAAAAAGUUUCGGACACCGAAAAGUUUCGGACAGCGGAAUCGUACCGUAGAGAGAGGUCAUCGGAUAAGUUUCGAUGAUACCGAAAAGUUGUUUCGGGAUACACCAUUAAGUCAAAUUGGUUUCGGCACAUGCCUGAUAAUUCUUGGAGGAUGCCAGAAUCAUUCUGGAAGCUUUUUGGAAUUUUCUGAGAUAAAAACCGGAAAUGUUCCGGAGCUGCCGGAGCCACUUCAGAUGCGUUUCGUAGAUGAAAAUCACUAAAACCGGAAUUGUUUCGGAACGCGUUGAAAAUCAUUUUAGUGGGUACUGGAAAUGUUCUUAGCCCACAUAAAUAUUUUCAGUUCGAUCAGACGCUGAAAAAUGUCGUCGUGAAUAGUGAAAAUCAGCUUUAUGGUUACUUUAUGGAAAGCCACCUUUUGGGGCUUUGCUCCAAAAGAUCUUGGGGAUGACAUGGAUGGAUAGGAGCCAUUUUUGGGGCCCCUCAUGGGGGUGUGGCCGGACACAUGGGGUAUCCCCCCUUGGGGACCCUCUAGUUCCUUGGUUUCACUCCUAGGUCCUUGUGGAAGGACUUCAUUCAUGUGCAUUUUGGGUUUUUUGUGAAACUACCCUACCCCCUUGGGAUUUCCUAUAAAUAGAGGUGGAGGGGCAGCCCUCCACACUCAUCCCUUGCUCUCAUACACAUGCCAUGCAUUAUCUGGCUUCUUCUCUCCCUCCCACGAAAAGAGUUUCGUAGAGCCAUAAGGCUGUCUGGGUUCCGGCAGGAACUAGUUCUGGACGGCGAAGCCCUGCCGGAUAGAUGACACCGUAUGUGUGCAACUCUGUAGAGAGAUCGUAGUUUCGGUCUUAGUUCGUGAGUGCCUCCCGAAGGGCUGUCCGUGUGACCGUCCGUGUUUCGAAGGUCCUCCCGAAGGGCUGUCCGAGUGACCGUUCGAGCUUCGAAGGUCCUCCCGAAGGGCUGUCCGCGACACCGUCCGGGGGGCUGUUCGACCGCCUCCCGGAGGGCUGUCUGAGGAGCAGAUGAGGGUAUACAUCCUCGCGGUUGGGAGGUUGUAAAUCCUAGCUGCGGGGAUCUGCACCGCCGAUCGUCAUCGACUCUACUUCCCGUUGCGCUACGAGUCGGUAACGAAAAAGAUCAAACCAUGUAUGCAGUCUCCAUAGUGGUCCUGGGCUGGUGCGUAGGUCGGAAAUUUUUUGUUUUCUGCUGCGUUCCCCUACAGUGGCAUCAAGAGCCGUGCUAUGCGUAGAUGCAGGUUUCGAUCUAGAAUACAUGGAGAUGUAUGGGUAUUGCAUAAUAUAAUUAGGUAGUAGAUGAGAUCUAUUGCUGAAAAUUAUUUAUGCGGGUGACAGAUGAAAUCUGUUACCCGAGGUUCUUGUUGCUUCCCUAGAAUUUGCGUUUGCUCAAUCUCGAGACAGCAUGGUGGAAUUUGACAAAGUUCUGGCAAUCCGUGAUCCUGAUUGAUCAUGGAAGUGCUAUCAGUUCUUUGGGUUCUGCCGUAGUCAAAAGAAAGAUGAAAUUCGCAGAUGAAAGGGCAUUGCAGAUAUGAUCUGCACGGGGGUCAUGCGUAUGAUGAAGUUUAGUAUGGGGCUCGAGAUUUAAUUAUCCCGUGUUUCAUACACCCCGAGAUGUUAAUGUAGCAACUUGAAUAAUCAUACUUGAUGAUAAAACGUUGGUAGGUGCGGUUUAAGUCAAAACCUUAGAAGCCACGUAAAAUAAAAUUUUGCAUAAACCUAUUAGAGGCGUCUAACUUGGUUUUGCAGGAUGUGCAUGUGAUGUGGUAUAGCAGUGCUCAUACUAAUUCGAUUAUGUAUGAGAUGACUAUAUUAUGUAAUUUGAUUAACAUGACCUGCGUGUCAUGAUUCGGCAUGAUGGCUGGAGCCAUAUGAUUGCACUUUAAUGACCUGCAUGUCAACCUUGUUGUAAUGCAUUAUUUUGUUAGCUAUAGAGAUAGCAAUAUUAUCUGGUGCAUCGGCAAGGUGGUGGCAAUCUUCGCGAAGGUGAACACCGACGCGAAUGCCAAAGACGAAGAAAUGAAAUACUUCUCCGUCAGAAAGGGCUAUACCAUAUCAUGCUAUUAUGAAUUGCCUGAGAUGUUUAUCCCUUAUGAUGCACCCUUCUUGAUUGCGCGGUAGUCGCUUUUAUUAGGGUGAUCUCUCACUUAAAAUAUCAAGUUGUUAGUGUUCUCCCAAGUGUAGCACCGUCACGGCACCUAUCUUUUCGGGGUGCGCCAUGGAUGCAUGGGUACGAACGAUUAGAGAAGUGUGAGGCGGGUGAGGUCAGACCUCGCAGCAAGAUCACUUGGUUGUCUUGACGUUCAUGGCAGGAUCGUCCUGAGCUCGGAACACACGCAUCGAAAGAUGAGCAAGAGUCACAUAGAGAUGUGAUCGGCAAGUUGGCCUACCGAUUAAAAUUCCCGUUAUGAGAUGAUGAUUCUAUGGCGAUGAAUUCAAGUCUGGAUCUUGUAUCACUCAAAAUUAAUUGUGAGAGAUAUUGAUUUGAGUGGGAGCGCACUGUUGAAUUAACAUGUUUAAUUCUAAGUGCAAUUAAUUAUGAACACUGUCUAAGUGUUUCUUGCAUAAUAGUUGUAGAAUAAUGGCUCGCAUUUCCACCUUCCCUAUUAAAAUUGAAUAGCUGUUAAAUAUCUGGUUAAAACUUUACGAUUGGUAACGUAAUAUAAGGAUUGUCCUCAAAAGUGCCGAGAAGGACAUUGUCCUAUCGCAUGCUUUCCGUAUCCUCCCGCUAAUGCUAUGGAUCAUGUGACUCUCGUCCUUCGAUCCAAAAGCUAGGAUUCUGUUACAGUCAAGUGGAAUAUGUUUGCUUCCAUGAAACCCAAACUUCGAAAGUUGGGAUAGUUAUAUGAUAUUCAUGGAACUGAAAAUUAUUUUCAGAUACAAACAAAGCAAUGUUUGUUUGCAAGUAUUAGUAAAAGUGUUUACUAUGCAUUUGACUGUUGGGAAAGGGAUCCAGAAGAACGCCUGUCAUAUAAUGAAAGGUGAAUAAAACAACAACUUAAAGAGAAAGGAAGUGUCCAAAGGGUGUUAGUAUGACUUACACGCCUAGGAAGUCCGGGGCUAAUGCCACUCUUAAGUUGGGUGCUUCUUCUGAGAGUAGGAGAAAUACUAAAAGUUAAACUGUUAGAAGUAUAAAGGCAAAAGGAAAGAAGACUGGAAUAUCCAGCUCAUGUAUGAAUGUCAUACAAGUUUUUGAUGUAUAGAAGGUUGGUCAAAGAUAUAGUUCUUGCGAAUUAUGGUUAAACAUGUUAAUCACUAAUUCUUGGGUAUUGUGAGUUCAUCACAAAAUUGCCCGCUCGAUUGCAUUCUGUUGCAACUCGAUGUAAGAACUACUAUGGCCUGAAAGACUAGCUAGAAAUGAGGUUAAUGUAUGCACAGGGAACAUAGUAAAUGUUACUAUACCUUCCAUCGGUGUAUUGCCGUCUGUAUUUAUUUUCAUAAUUCAUUUAGAGUUUUACAAACUCUAUCCCAUUGCAUAAGGUAUCUUGCAAGAAGGUUGUUCAUAAGAGAACUUUUUAUGUUCGAUGUUAUGAAUAACACAAGGGCCAUACUUUCAUUAUGAAUGAGAUGUAUGUUAUGAAUAUUGAUAAUAAUACAAUACCUCUGGGUUUACUUUCAUAAUUCAUUUUAGAGUUUCAUACACUCUAGCCCAUUGCACAAUGUUUGUUGCAAAAGAGUUGUUCAUAAAAACAACAAUUAUUGUUAAGUAUUAUGAAUAACAUAAGGGCCAUACUUCCAUCAUCGAUGGGACGUAUGUUAUGAAUAUUGAGGGUAAUAUGAUACAUCCAUAACACUGACGCUAAAUGUCGCAAGACUAAAAGAAUACCACACAAGUGUGGCACUACAUUUGGUCACAUUGGAGAAACCCGCAUGGAAAAUUCCAUUAUGAUGGAUUUUUGAAGUCUUUUUGAUUUUGAAUCAUCUGACACUUGCAACUUUCCUCCGAAAAGUGAAGUGACUAAAAUACCGUUCACAGGCCAUAAGGAACGAACAACAAACUUAUUAGUGAUCAUACAUUUGAUGUGUGUAGUCCGAUAAGUGUUGUUAGUGGUGGAUUUAUUUAUCUUCAGAAAUGACUCAAGUAGAUAUAUGGAUAUUUACUUGAUGAGACGUAAGUCUGGAUCUUUUGAAAUCAUUCGAAAGGUUCUCAAAAAUGAAGUAGAAGUUAUUGUAACAAGAAAAUUAUGUUUCUGCAAUUUGAUUGCACAAAGGAAUAUUUGAGUUACAUGUUUAGCGAAUGUCUGAUGAGUUGUGAAAGGGGUUUCAUAAACUUGCACCUCCCGGAACACCACUGCAAGUGGAAAGUCCGUGGAGAUGUAAUCAAACCAUUUAUGACGUGGUAAGGUCAAAGAUGACAUAAAUAAAUUUGCCAUUAUCCCUUUUAAAGUGAUGCUUUAGAGAUUGCGGCUUUUACACUGAAAAGAGCUACAUCGGGUCUGUUGAAAUGAAGCCAUGGUAUGGUACGCCCAACCAUGUUAUAUCUUUUCUUAAACAUUUGGAAUAUGGGGCUUGUGUAAAAGGUUACAAACCUAUUCCAAAUCAGACAAGUGCUACUUUGUAGGUUAUACCAAAAUGUUGGGUAUUCCUCCCUCACUAUACCGAGGCAAAUAGUUUUGCCGCGAAACGGUGUGCUUUUAAAGAGAAUGGUUCUUUCAAAAAGGUGAGUGGGAGAAUAGUGCAACUCGACGAGAUAAACAGUAUCUACGUCAUCAGAUCAAAGGAAAGAGACCUUGGAAGUAAUUCCAGAGUUUCCUACCGCGACUGAUACGGAAGUCUCUACAAUAAAAUGUAUGAACUUCGGUCGAACUUGCAGCUGAACCACGUAGGCAAGGCUCGUGCAAACCUCUCAGGUGCGCAAACGAGAUAUUGUUGUUAGACAACAUUAUACCUACGAUACACAAGGAAGCGUUGAUGGGCCCUCACUCCAGAAUUGGCUAAAUGCCAAUACAACCCGAGUUAGUUUCCAUAUAAGUGAUUCAAGAUUAAAACCUUGAUACACCUUUCGGAAGACUUAGAGUCUAAAGAAUAUUUAUGGAACUUAAAACUGAUACGGAUAAAAUGUUUUAUCCAUAAAGCUCGACUUGUUGGAAUAACAAGUUCAAGAGUUGACUACGAUGAGGUUGUUUUCAUCGUAGCGAUGCUUAAAGUCGGUUCGGGUUGAACUAGCAAUUAAUACAUAUUUCAAUCAUGAGAUAUGAAACAUGGAUGAUAAAAAGAUUUCCAUCUGAUGGAAAUGAAAGCUAGGACUUGUAUAUGAUACAGUCCAAAGUAAUUUGUCGAUCCAGAGGAUGCUAGUAGGUAUGCAAACUUCAGAGUUCCAGCAAUGGACAGAAGAGAGCAAAAUGGAGUUGGAAUCUUCGGGUUUUGAUGAAAUGGUCAAAGGGGUUUUGACUUCAUCAAUGGGUAACGAAGAUGCUUGUAAUUCAAGAAAGUAAGUGGGAGCGUAAUUAUAUUUCUAAAAACCUUAUGUGCUUGGCACAUUGGUAAUUGGAAAUAAAUUUCUUGACACAAAUUAGGACUUCAUUUGAAAUAGUUUUUCGAUGAAGUGCUUAGGCUAAAUAGCCUCAAUAUUAGGCAUGAUGAUCUAUGGAGAUAGAUUUACCUAAUGGGGCUAAGCAAUGAAUACAUAUUGACAAGAUGCUAAAACCUUUUAGCAUAUAAAACGCCAAGGAGUGAUUCUUGCCAAAGUCACAUGGAAAGAGUUUUUGCAAGACUCGGUGUCCCAAAACACUGAUGAGUAAAAUACAUGAUGCAGAUUCCACACACUUUUGUGUUUGGAUUAAUCAUGUAUUCCAUGGUAUGUAAAACAACCAGAUAUGUCCGAUACUCCCAUGGUGUUGCGAGUAUGGAUACUAAAGUGAUCAAAGUACUGAUCGUGGGACAACAGUGAAAGAUGUCAUUGAGUACUAGAGUAAGUACUGAUGAUAUGUUUUCUUGCAAGCGGAGAUCAUGAAGAGUUCGUUGUAAAAUGUUACAUCGAUAGUCUUCAUCUUUUCACCGUGCGAUUUUCGAUUUAAGUUAAGGGUUUUGUGUAACACACAUUGUGGUGGCACAGUUAGUUGGAAUUUGUUCAAACUAGUUACUGUGGCAAAUUCUAUAACAAGGGCUAAGUAUGUUGACGCUUUAGAAGCGACAAAGAAGAUGUUGAAUCAUAUAGUUCAUUCAUGAACUUAGUAUAGUUCCAAGAUGGCUUUUGACAAUGGGACACUACUGCAGGUAGUUGCUCCAAAACUCAGUCUGAGGAAUCCAGGUUCGACCUGUGAUUCACAUACAUACAAAGCCAAGUCCACACAAAAUAUGAAUUUUGUGAAAACGUAAAAACGCGAGGACAUGCAAAGAUACACACGGAACUGAAGUCGUCAGAUCCGUUGGACAUCAGGCUAUACCACAAGCGAAGCAUAUUUACACCGGUGUGCCACAGGUGUAAAGUGCAUUAGCAUUAACUAGAUUAUUGACUCUAGUGCAAGUGGGAGUCUGUAGGAGAUAUGCCCUAGAGGCAAUAAUAAAUGAUAUUAUUUAUCUCCGAGUUCAUAAUUAUGUUUAUGUUCCAUGCUAUAACUGCUAUGGUUCUCGAGUCUGCAAUAACCACGAGGCUCGGAGGAAGACUCAUAUGCACGUGUGGAAUAAUAAACGGUAAAAUGUAUUCCUAGUCUGGCCUCUAAGACUAGCUCAAGUGUUGCAUGAUGGUUAUGUUUUCCUGAUCAUGGGCAUGUCUAUGUCAGCAACCUUGAGGGCAAAAUGUUAAGAGAACAUUUGUGUUGAAUCGACCCGGAUUGAUGUUAUGCUAUGAGAUUCAUUCGUCACAAGUUUAUUGGUACAUAACACAAAGAUGGUUAACGUUUGCAUGAUUCCUUAGACCAUGAGAGUAUCGAGUUUCUUCAUGCUUGCUUCAUGAACUUUGGGGUUUGUUAAACGUCAUCCGUAAAUGGGUGGCUAUUACGGCGGCUUACGGGUUCAUGGAAAAGUGUGUCAAGUGACUUGAUAGCUCAAGAUUGGGAUUUGCUCCUCCGACGAUGGAGAGAUAUCUCUGGGCCCUCUCGGUGUUACGGUAUCCAUCAUCGUCUGGCCAGACACUUUGUGAUUUGAUCACGGGGAUGCCGGAACACGAUAACGAGAAAAGAGAACAAUACCGGUAACGAGGUAACUAGCAUAGUGGACAAGUUGUUGAUCCACAGGAAUGCCAACAUGUCUCACCUCGGGUAUUUGUAACAUAUCGCGAAGCAACAGGAAUAGCACACGGCAACUGGAGGUUCACUCGAAUAUUUAUUCGUGUGGGUAUAGGGGUCAAUAUGGGUGUCCACGGCUCCGAUGUUGAUCAUUGAUCGGAAGGGGUUCCGGGUCAUGUCUAUACUUCACCGAACCUAUAGGGUCACACGCUUAAGGGUCAUCUAUCUGCUGAAUACUAGACAGGGAGUCUGAGAGAAAAUCACCGAAAAAGUUUCGGACACCGAAAAGUUUCGGACAGCGGAAUCGUACCGCAGAGAGAGGUCAUCGGAUAAGUUUCGAUGAUACCGAAAAGUUGUUUCGGGAUACACCAUUAAGUCAAAUUGGUUUCGGCACAUGCCUGAUAAUGCUUGGAGGAUGCCAGAAUCAUUCUGGAAGCUUUUUGGAAUUUUCUGAGAUAAAAACCGGAAAUGUUCCGGAGCUGCCGGAGCCACUUCAGAUGCGUUUCGCAGAUGAAAAUCACUAAAACCGGAAUUGUUUCGGAACACGUUGAAAAUCAUUUUAGUGGGUACUGGAAAUGUUCUUAGCCCACAUAAAUAUUUUCAGUUCGAUCAGACGCUGAAAAAUGUCGUCGUGAAUAGUGAAAAUCAGCUUUAUGGUUACUUUAUGGAAAGCCACCUUUUGGGGCUUUGCUCCAAAAGAUCUUGGGGAUGACAUGGAUGGAUAGGAGCCAUUUUUGGGGCCCCUCAUGGGGGUGUGGCCGGCCACAUGGGGUAUCCCCCCUUGGGGACCCUCUAGUUCCUUGGUUUCACUCCUAGGUCCUUGUGGAAGGACUUCAUUCAUGUGCAUUUUGGGUUUUUUGUGAAACUACCCUACCCCCUUGGGAUUUCCUAUAAAUAGAGGUGGAGGGGCAGCCCUCCACACUCAUCCCUUGCUCUCAUACACAUGCCAUGCAUUAUCUGGCUUCUUCUCUCCCUCCCACGAAAAGAGUUUCGUAGAGCCAUAAGGCUGUCUGGGUUCCGGCAGGAACUAGUUCUGGACGGCGAAGCCCUGCUGGAUAGAUGACACCGUAUGUGUGCAACUCUGUAGAGAGAUCGUAGUUUUGGUCUUAGUUCAUGAGUGCCUCCCGAAGGGCUGUCCGUGUGACCGUCCGAGUUUCGAAGGUCCUCCCGAAGGGCUGUCCGAGUGACCGUUCGAGCUUCGAAGGUCCUCCCGAAGGGCUGUCCGCGACACCGUCCGGGGGGCUGUUCGACCGCCUCCCGGAGGGCUGUCUGAGGAGCAGAUGAGGGUAUACAUCCUCGCGGUUGGGAGGUUGUAAAUCCUAGCUGCGGGGAUCUGCACCGCCGAUCGUCAUCGACUCUACUUCCCGCUGCGCUACGAGUCGGUAACGAAAAAGAUCAAACCAUGUAUGCAGUCUCCAUAGUGGUCCUGGGCUGGUGCGUAGGUCGGAAAUUUUUUGUUUUCUGCUGCGUUCCCCUACAUGAUUAUGAAUCACUUGAGACAUGCAAAUCAUACCACAUGGGCAAAAUGACUGAAAGUCCUCGUUUUCAGUGAGAUGGAACAAGAGAGCAACUUAUUGGAAGUGAUACAUUUUGAUGUACGCAGUCCAAUGAGUGCUGAGGCAUGCAGUGGACAUCGUUAUGUUCUUACUUCACAGAUGAUUUGAGUAGAUACUGUGUGUAUUUACUUGAUGAAACACUAGUCUGAAUUAUUGAAAGGUUCAAGUAAUUUCAGAGUGAAGUUGAAGAUCGUCGUCACAAGAGGAUAAAAUGUCUGUGAUAUGAUCAUAGAGAUGAGUAUCUGAGAUACGAGUUUGGCACACAAUUGAGACAUUGUGGAAGCUGUUUCACAAUUAAUACCGCCUGGAACACCAUAGUGUGAUGGUGUGUCCGAACAUCAUAUCUGAUGAUGUCUCUUAUCAAAUUACCACUAUCGUUUAUGGGUUAGGCAUUAGAGACAACCGCAUUCACUUUAAAAGGGGCACCACGCAAUUCCGUUGAGACGACACCGUUUAUAGAAACCUAAGUUGUCAUUUCUUAAAAGUUUGGGGCUGCGAUGCUUAUGUGAAAAAGUUUCAGGCUGAUAAGCUCGAACCCAAAGCGGAUAAAUGCAUCUUCAUAGAAUACCCAAAAACAGUUGGGUAUACCUCCUAUUUCAGAUCUGGAAGCAAAAGUAAUUGCUUCUAGAAACGAGUCCUUUCUCGAGGAAAAGUUUCUCUCGAAAGAAUUGAGUGGGAGGAUGGUGGAGACUUGAUAAGGUUAUUGAACCAUCGCUUCAACUAGUGUGUAGCAGGGGACAGGAAGUUGUUCAUGUGGCACCUACACCAAUUGAAGUGGAAGCUUAUGAUAGUGAUCAUGAAACUUCGGAUCAAGUCACUACCAAACCUCGUAGGACGACGAGGAUGCGCACUACUUCAGAGUAAUGCGUGAUCCUGUCUUGGAAGUCAUGUUGCUAGACAACAAUGAACCUACGAGCUAUGGAGAAGCGAUGGUGGGCCCAUAUUCCGACGAAUGGCUCGAGGCCAUGAAAUCCGAGAUAGAAUCCAUGUAUCAGAACAAAGCAUGGACUUUGGUGAACUUGCCCGAUGAUCGGCAAGCCAUUGAGAUAAAUGGAUCUUUAAGAAGAAGACGGACAUGGACGGUAAUGUUACCGUCUAUGAAGCUCGACUUGUGGCAAAGAGUAUUUUCACAAGUUCAAGGAGUUGACUACAAUGAGUUUUUUCUCAUCCGUAGCGAUGCUUAGGUCCGUCGGAAUCAUGUUAGCAUUAGCUACAUUUAUGAAAUCUGGCAGAUGGAUGUCAAAACAAGUUUCCUUACCAGUUUUUCGUGAGGAAUGGGUUAUGUGAUACAAUCAGAAAGGUUUUGUCGAUCCUAAGGAUGCUAAAAGGUAUGCUAGCUCCAGCGAUCCUUCCAUGGAUUAGAGCAAGCAUCUCGGAGUCAGAAUAUACGCUUUGAUGGGGUGAUCAAAGUUUUUGGGUUUAUACAAAGUUUGUUAGAAACUUGUAUUUACAAUAAAGUGAGUGGGAGCGCUACAACAUUUCUGAUAAGUAUAUGUGAAUGACAUAUUGUUGAUCCGAAAUGAUGUAAAAUUUCUGGAAAGCAUAAAGGGUUGUUUGAAAGGAGUUUUUCAAAGGAAGACCUGGAUAAAGCUGCUUACAUAUUGGGCAUCAAGAUCCAUAGAGAUAGAUCAAGACGCCUGAUGAUACUUUCAAAAGACAGCACACCUUGACAUGAUUUUGAAAGAGUUCAAAAUAUAUCAGCAAAGAAGGAGUUCUUGGCUGUGUUACAAGGUGUGAGUAUUGAGUGAGACUCAAGACCUGACCACAGCGGAAGAUAGAGAAAGGACGAAGGUCGUCCCCUAUGCUUUAGACGUAGGCUCUAUAGUAUGCUAUGAUGUGUACCGCACAUGUAGUGUGCCUUGCCAUGAGUUGGUCAAGAGGGUACAAUGGUGAUCCGGGAAACGAUCUCAUGACAGCGGUCGAACUUAUCCUUAGUACCUAGUGGAUUAAGGAAUUUUCUCGAUUAUGGAGGUGUAAAGGAGUUCGUCGUAAAGGGUUACGUCGAUGCGAACUUUGACACUAAUCCGGAUGACUCUGAGUAGUAAACCGGAUUCGUAUAGUAGAGCAAUUAUUUGAAAUGGCUCCAAAUAGCGCGUGGUAGCAUCCACAAGAUGACAUAGAUAUUCGUAAAGCACACGGUUCUGAAAGGUUCAGACCCGUUGACUAAUAACCUCUCUCACAAGCAUAACAUGACCAAACCAGAACACAUUGAGUGAUAAUCACAUAGUGAUGUGAACUAGAUUGUUGACUCUAGUAAACUCUUUAGAUGUUGGUCACAUGGUGAUGUGACCAGUGAGUGUUAAUCACAUGGUGAUGUGAACUAGAUUAUUGACUCUAGUGCAAGUGGGACACUGUUGGAAAUAUGCCCUAGAGGCAAUAAUAAAUGGUUAUUAUUAUAUUUCUUUGUUCAUGGUAAUUGUCUAUUAUUCAUGCUAUAAUUGUAUUGUCCGGAAAUCGUAAUACAUGUGUGAAUACAUAGACCACAACCUGUCCCUAGUAAGCCUCUAGUUGACUAGCUCGUUGAUCAACAGAUAGUCAUGGUUUCCUGACUAUGGACAUUGGAUGUCAUUGAUAACGGGAUCACAUCAUUAGGAGAAUGAUGUGAUGGACAAGACCCAAUCCUAAGCAUAGCAUAAAAGAUCGUGUAGUUUCGUUUGCUAGAGCUUUUCCAAUGUCAAGUAUCUUUUCCUUAGACCAUGAGAUCGUGCAACUCCCGGAUACCGUAGGAGUUCUUUGGGUGUGCCAAACGUCACAACGUAACUGGGUGACUAUAAAGGUGCAUUACGGGUAUCUCCGAAAGUGUCUGUUGGGUUGGCACGGAUCGAGACUGGGAUUUGUCACUCCAUGUGACGGAGAGGUAUCUCUGGGCCCACUCGGUAAUGCAUCAUCAUAAUGAGCUCAAUGUGACUAAGGCGUUAGUCACGGGAUCAUGCAUUGCGGUACGAGUAAAGAGACUUGCCGGUAACGAGAUUGAACAAGGUAUUGGGAUACCGACGAUCGAAUCUCGGGCAAGUAACAUACCGUUUGACAAAGGGAAUUGCAUACGGGAUUGACUGAAUCCUCAACAUCGUGGUUCAUCCGAUGAGAUCAUCGUGGAGCAUGUGGGAGCCAACAUGGGUAUCCAGAUCCCGCUGUUGGUUAUUGACCGGAGAGGCGUCUCGGUCAUGUCUGCAUGUCUCCCGAACCCGUAGGGUCUACACACUUAAGGUCCGGUGACGCUAGGGUUGUAGAGAUAUAUGUAUGCGGAAACCCGAAAGUUGUUCGGAGUCCCGGAUGAGAUCCCGGACGUCACGAGAGGUUCCGGAAUGGUCCGGAGUUGAAGAAUUAUAUAUAGGAAGUCAAGUUUCGGCCACCGGGAAAGUUUCGGGGUUACCGGUAUUGUACCGGGACCACCGGAAGGGUCCCGAGGGUCCACCGGGUGGGGCCACCUGUCCCGGAGGGCCCCGUGGGCUGAAAGUGGAAGGGAACCAGCGCUUAGUGGGCUGGGGCGCCCCCCUUGGGCCUCCCCCCAUGCACCUAGGGUUGGGAACCCUAGGGGGGGACUUCCCCCUUGCAUUGGGGGGCAAGGCACCCCUUUCCACCCCUUGGCCGCCACCCCCCCAACCCUAGAUGGGUUUUGGCCGGCCCCCCCUCCCAAGGGGGCCUAUAUAAAGGGGGGGAGGGAGGGCAGAAAGAACACAGCCUUGGGCGCCUCCCUCCUCCCCUGCAACACCUCUCUCUCUCUCGCAGAAGCUCGGCGAAGCCCUGCCGGAGACCCGCUACAUCCACCACCACGCCGUCGUGCUGUUGGAUCUCCAUCAACCUCUCCUUCCCCCUUGCUGGAUCAAGAAGGAGGAGACGUCGCUGCACCGUACGUUUGUUGAACACGGAGGUGCCGUCCGUUCGGCACUCGGUCAUCGGUGAUUUGGAUCACGACGAGUACGACUCCGUCAUCCACAUUCAUUGGAACGCUUCCGCUCGCGAUCUACAAGGGUAUGUAGAUGCACUCCUUUCCCCUCGUUGCUAGUAGACUCCAUAGAUGCAUCUUGGUGAGCGUAGGAAAAUUUUAAAUUAUGCUACGAUUCCCAACACCCUCAAGUUCUAUCGACCACCGAUACAACUCUACGCACGCUUGACGUUCGCUUUACCUAGAACAAGUAUGAAACUAGAAGUACUUUGUAGGUGUUGUUGGAUAGGUUUGCAAGAAAAUAAAGAGCGCGUAAAUAAAAAUGUAGGGGCUGUUUAGAUGAAGACACAACUAAAUUAGUUUUAGUAGAGAGAUUUUUGUUACGAGAAAGUUAUUUGUCCCUAGGCAAUCGAUAACUAGACCGGUAAUCACUAUUGCAAUUUUAUUUGAGGGAGAGGCAUAAGCUAACAUACUUUCUCUACUUGGAUCAUAUGCACUUAUGAUUGGAACUCUAGCAAGCGUCCGCAACUACUAAAGAUCAUUAAGGUAAAACCCAACCAUAGCAUUAAAGCAUCAAGUCCUCUUUAUCCCAUACGAAACAACCUACUUACUCGGGUCUGUGCUUCUGUCACUCACGCCACCCACCAUAAGCAAAUCAUGAACAUAUUGCAAACCCUACGACGGGAAUCCCUCACGCUUGCGCGACACGGAGAGCACCAUAGGAUAGCACCAAUAGUAAAACAUGCAACUCAAACCAAUCUUGAUCAUCAAAUAACCCAUAGGACAAAACGGAUCUACUCAAACAUCAUAGGAUAGCCAUACAUCAUUGGGAAAUAACAUAUAGCGUUGAGCACCAUGUUUAAGUAGAGAUUACAACAGGUAAGAUAGAGGUUACACGCUGCAUAGAGGGGGGAAGAGUUGGUGAUGAUGGCGGUGAAGUUGUUGGUGAAGAUUGCGGUGAUGAUGAUGGCCACGGCGGCGUUCCAGCGCCACCGGAAGAGAAGGGAGAGGGGGCCCCUUCGUCUUCUUCUUCCUUGACCUCCUCCCUAGAUGGGAGAAGGGUUUACCCUCUGGUCCUUGGCCUCCAUGGCGUGGGAGGGGCGAGAGCCCCUCCGAGAUUGGAUCUGUCUCUCUCUGUUUCUGCCUUCUGUUCUGCUGCCCUUUCACCGUUUCUUUUAUAUCCGGAGAUCCGUAACUCCGAUUGGGUUGAAUCUUUCGCCGAGAUCUUUCUCAUAAAAUUAGCUUUCUUGCGGCAAAAGAAGAGCGUUAACCGCCUUAUGGGGUGCCCACGAGGGUCCAGGGCACGCCCCCCUGCCUCGUGGCCCCCUCGGGCACCGUCUCGCUUUGAUUUUACUUCCCAAAAAUCAUAAAUAUUCCAAAAUAAUUCUUCGUCCGUUUUUAUCCCAUUUGGACUCCGUUUGAUAUGGGGUUUCUGCGAAACAUAAAACAUGCAACAAACAGGAACUAGCACUGGGCACUGGAUCAAUAUGUUAGUCCCAAAAAUAGUAUAAAAAGUUGCCAAAAGUAUAUGAAAGUUGUAGAAUAUUGGCAUGGAACAAUCAAAAAUUAUAGAUACGAUGGAGACGUAUCAGCAUCCCCAAGCUUAAUUCCUGCUCGUCCUCGAGUAGGUAAAUGGUAAAAAAGAUAAUUUUUGAUGUGGAAUGCUACCUAGCAUAAUCUUGAUCAUGUAUCUAAUCAUGGCAUGAAUAUUAAGAUACGAGUGAUUCAAAGCAAUAGUCUAUCUUUUGACAUAAAAACAACAAUACUUCAAGCCUACUAAUAAAGCAAUCAUGUCUUUUAAAAAUAACAUGGCCAAAGAAAGUUAUCCCUAAGAAAUCAUAUAGUCUGGCUAUGCUCCAUCUUCACCACACAAAAUAUUCAAAUCGUGCACAACCCCGAUGACAAGCCGAGCAAUUGGUUCAUACUUUUUAACGCGCUUCAGCUUUUUCAACCCUCACGCAAUACAUGAGCGCAAGCCAUGGAUAUAGUAUUAUAGGUGGAAUAGAAUAUGAUGAUGGGGGUUAUGUGGAGAAGACAAAAAGGGAGAAAGUCUCACAUCGACGCGGCUAAUUCAACUGGCUAUGGAGAUGCCCAUCAAUUGAUGUCAAUGUGAGGAGUAGGGAUUGCCAUGCAACGGAUGCACUAGAGCUAUAAAUAUAUGAAAUCUCAAACUGAAACUAAGUGGGUGUGCAUCCAACUUGCUUGCUUAUGAAGACCUAAGGCAUUUGAGGAAGCCCAUCGUUGGAAUAUACAAGCCAAGUUCUAUAAUGAAAAUUCCCACUAGUAUAUGAAAGUGAUAACUCAAGAGACUCUCUAUAUGAAGAACAUGGUGCUACUUUGAAGCACAAGUGUAGUAAAAGGAUAGUAACAUUGCCCCUUCUCUCUUUUUCUCUCAUUUUUUGUUUUUUUUUUCUUUUUUUUCUUUUUUUUUGGCCUUCUCUUUUUUCUGGCCUUUCUCUUUUUUAUUUUUUUUUAUUUUUUUCGUCUGGAGUCUCAUCCCGACUUGUGGGGGAAUCAUAGUCUCCAUCAUCCUUUCCUCACUGGGGCAAUGCUCUAAUAAUGAUGAUCAUCACACUUUUAUUUACUUACAACUCAAUAUUACAACUCGAUAUCUAGAACAAAGAUAUGACUCUAUAUGAAUGCCUCUGGCGGUGUACCGGGAUGUGCAAUGAUCUAGCGUAGCAAUGACAUAAAAAAACGGACAAGCCAUGAAAACAUCAUGCUAGCUAUCUUACGAUCAUGCAAAGCAAUAUGACAAUAAAUGCCCAAGUCAUGUAUAUGAUGAUGAUGGAAGUUGCAUGGCAAUAUAUCUCGGAAUGGCUAUGGAAAUGCCAUGAUAGGUAGGUAUGGUGGCUGUUUUGAGGAAGAUAUAAGGAGGUUUAUGUGUGACAGAGCGUAUCGUAUCACGGGGUUUGGAUGCACCGGCGAAGUUUGCACUAACUCUCGAGGUGAGAAAGGGCAAUGCACGGUACCGAAGAGGCUAGCAAUGAUGGAAGGGUGAGAGUGCGUAUAAUCCAUGGGCUCACAUUAGUCAUAAAGAACUCAUAUACUUAUUGCAAAAGUUUAUUAGCCCUCGAAGCAAAGUACUACUACGCAUGCCCCUAGGGGGAUAGAUUGGUAGGAAAAGACCAUCGCUCGUCCCCGACCGCCACUCAUAAGGAAGACAAUCAAUAAAUAAAUCAUGCUCCGACUUUGUUACAUAACGGUUCACCAUACGUGCAUGCUACGGGAAUCACAAACUUCAACACAAGUACUUCUAAUAAUCCACAACUACCCACUAGCAUGACUCUAAUAUCACCAUCUUUAUAUCGCAAAACUAUUGCAAGGAAUCAAACAUAUCAUAUUCAGUGAUCUACAAGUUUUAUGUAGGAUUUUAUGACUAACCAUGUGAAUGACCAGUUCCUGUCAUCUCUCUAAAUAGAUAUAAGUGAAGCAAGAGAGUUUAAUUCUUUCUACAAAAGAUAUGCCCACGCUCUAACAAAUAUAGGUGAAGAAAAAGAGCAUUCUACAAAUGGCGAUUGUCUAAGUGAAGAGAAACAGGCAAUCCAAACUUCAAAUGAUAUAAGUGAAGCACAUGAAGCAUUCUAUAAAGCCAUACUCAAAAGAUAUAAGUGAAGUGCAAAGAGCAUUCUAUAAAUCAACCAAGGACCAUGUCAUACCAGCAUGGUGCAUAAAAUAAAAAUGAAAACUAAAUGCAAAAGAUGCUCUAAGAUUUGCACAUAUCGCAUGAACGAAACGAAUCCGAAAACAUACCGACACUUGUUGAAGAAAGAGGGGAUGCCUUCCGGGGCAUCCCCAAGCUUAGACGCUUGAGUCUCCUUGAAUAUUUACUUGGGGUGCCUCGGGCAUCCCCAAGCUUGAGCUCUUGCCUCUCUUCCUUCUUCUCACAUCGAGACCUUCUCGAUCAUCGAACACUUCAUCCACACAAAACUUCAACAGAAAACUCGGUAAGAUCCGUUAGUAUAAUAAAGCAAAUCACUACUCUAAGUACUGUUGCAAACCAAUUCAUAUUUCGUUUUUGCAUUGUUUCUACUGUAAUAUAACUUUUUCAUGGCUUAAUCCACUGAUAUAAAUCGAUAGUUUCCUCAAAACAAGCAAACUAUGCAUCAAAAACAGAAUCUGUCUAAAACAGAACAGUCUGUAAUAAUCUGUACAUUCACAAUACUUCUGAUACUUGAAAAAUUCUGCAAAAAUUAGGAAAAAUAAAAACAUUGUAUAGAAAGACAGUGCAAAAAUUUUCAGAACCAUUCGACGUUCCAGUAAAAAAUGAAAAAUCGUGCACUACAGCCAAAGUUUCUGUCCUGCACCGUACAAACCAACAAGCAUUGUAAACAUCCUAAAGGCAAACCUUAGCACAUUAUUUUUAUAAUACAAUGGAAUUGUACAAGGGGAUAAUUAUUUUUGUUGAAAAAUUUCUGUAAUCAAGAUUCACAAAGUUUCCGUGAGCAUGAACAAAGUUCAAGGCUAGCUCCCACUUCAACAAUGCUUGUCUCUCUCACUUUCACUUUCCUUUUUGAUAAAGUUUUGGGUUCCCCUCUUUAUUUUUGUUGUUUUAAACUAUAUGAAAGCACUCAACAGAAAUAAAUGACUCUCUAAAACUUCCGGGUUGUCUCCCUGGCAGCGCUUUCUUUAAAGCCAUUAAGCUAGGCAUAUAGUGCUCAAGUAGUGAAUCCACCCGGAUCCCAAGGUAUAUCAAAGCAAAUUUUAAUUAGCAAUGAUUUGGCAUUUAAUAGUGAGCACAAGGUAACAUAUAUCAUGUAAUGACGAAGUCUAACUCUCUUCCUAUGCAUCGGCAUGUCAUUAAAGAACAAUUCAUGCACACAUAGUAAAGGCCAAUGCAUAGUAUAAAUAGUUUCUUGCAAUUUUAUCAUGUUGGAAACAUAGAGAGGCGGAGAUGUAGUUCCUCUCUCAUAAUAAUUGCAAGUAGGAGCAGAAAGCACAUGCAUAUUAUAUUCAUCAAAAUCAUCAUGUGUAGUAGUAAAAGGCAAUCCAUCAAUAUAAUCCUUAAUAAGCACAAACUUCUCCGAUAUAGUGUAGUUUGGAGGACUAUCAUGUGUGGGUGCAAUAGCAACAAUUUCAUGUUUAACGUAAGGAACUAUAGCAAGUUCAUCUCCAUAAGCAUAAUUCAUAUUGGCAUCUUGGCCACAAGAAUAGCAAGCAUCAUCAAAAAGGGAUAUUUCAAAAGAAUCAACGGGAUCAUAGCAAUUAUCAUAGCAUUCAUCCUUCGGUAAGCAUGAAGGGAAAUUAAACAAUGUAUGAGUUGAAGAGUUACUCUCAUUAGAAGGUGGGCACGGGUGAUCAAUCCGCUCUUCCUCCUUUUGUUCUUCGCUCUCCUCCUCAUCUUUUUCAUCCAAUGAGCUCACAGUGUUGGGGAACGUAGCAGAAAUUCAAAAUUUUCUACGCAUCACCAAGAUCAAUCUAUGGAGUUUACUUGCAACGAGAGGGAAGGAGUGCGUCUACAUACCCUGGUAGAUCGCGAGCGGAAGCGUUGCAAGAACGCGGAUGAGGGAGUCGUACUCGUAGCGAUUCAGAUCGCGGUUGAUUCCGAUCUAAGCGCCGAACCACGGCGCCUCCGCGUUCAACACACGUGCAGCCCGGUGACGUCUCCCACGCCUUGAUCCAGCAAGGUGAGAGGGAGAGGUUGGGGAAGACUCCAUCCAGCAGCAGCACGACGGCGUGGUGGUGGUGGAGGAGCGUGGCAAUCCCGCAGGGCUUUGCCAAGCACCGCGGGAGAGGAGGAGGAGGGAGAGGGGAAGGGCUGCGCCGAAAGAGAGACGUUCUCGUGUGUCUUGGGCAGCCCAAACCUCAACUAUAUAUAGGGGGGAGGGGGCCCCCCUCUAGGGUUCCCACCCCAAGAGGAGGCGGCCAGCCCUAGAUCCCAUCAAGGGGGGGCGGCCAAGGGGAGGAGAGGGGGCGCGCCCCACUAGAUGGGCCCUAAGGCCCAUCUGGACCUAGGGUUUGCCCCCUCCCACUCUCCCAUGCGCCUUGGGCCUUGGUGGGGGGGCGCACCAGCCCACUUGGGGCUGGUCCCCUCCCACACUUGGCCCACGCAGCCUUCUGGGGCUGGUGGCCCCACUUGGUGGACCCCCGGGACCCUCCCGGUGGUCCCGGUACAUUACCGAUAUCACCCGAAACUUUUUCCGGUGACCAAAACAGGACUUCCCAUAUAUAAAUCUUUACCUCCGGACCAUUCCGGAACUCCUCGUGACGUCCGGGAUCUCAUCCGGGACUCCAAACAACAUUCGGUAACCACAUACAAACUUUCCCUAUAACCCUAGCGUCAUCGAACCUUAAGCGUGUAGACCCUACGGGUUAGGGAACCAUGCAGACAUGACCGAGACGUUCUCCGGUCAAUAACCAACAGCGGGAUCUGGAUACCCAUGUUGGCUCCCACAUGUUCCACGAUGAUCUCAUCGGAUGAACCACGAUGUCGGGGAUUCAAUCAAUCCCGUAUGCAAUUCCCUUUGUCUAUCGAUAUGUUACUUGCCCGAGAUUCUAUCGUCGGUAUCCUAUACCUUGUUCAAUCUCGUUACCGGCAAGUCUCUUUACUCGUUCCGUAACUCACAUCAUCCUGUGAUCAACUCCUUGGUCACAUUGUGCACAUUAUGAUGAUGUCCUACCGAGUGGGCCCAGAGAUACCUCUCCGUUUACACGGAGUGACAAAUCUCAGUCUCGAUUCGUGCCAACCCAACAGACACUUUCGGAGAUACCUGUAGUGCACCUUUAUAGCCACCCAGUUACGUUGUGACGUUAGGUACACCCAAAGCAUUCCUACGGUGUCCGGGAGUUGCACAAUCUCAUGGUCUAAGGAACUGAUACUUGACAUUAGAAAAGCUCUGAGCAAACGAACUACACGAUCUUGUGCUAGGCUUAGGAUUGGGUCUCGUCCAUCACAUCAUUCUCCUAAUGAUGUGAUCCCGUUAUCAACGACAUCCAAUGUCCAUGGUCAGGAAACCGUAACCAUCUAUUGAUCAACGAGCUAGUCAACUAGAGGCUUACUAGGGACAUGGUGUUGUCUAUCUAUCCACACAUGUAUCUGAGUUUCCUAUCAAUACAAUUCUAGCAUGGAUAAUAAACGAUUAUCAUGAACCAGGAAAUAUAAUAAUAACCAAUUUAUUAUUGCCUCUAGGGCAUAUUUCCAACAGUCUCCCACUUGCACUAGAGUCAAUAAUCUAGUUCACAUCGCCAUGUGAUUAACACUCAUAGGUCACAUCACCAUGUGACCAACAUCCAAAGAGUUUACUAGAGUCAACAAUCUAGUUCACAUCACUAUGUGAUUAACACUCAAUGAGUUCUGGUUUGAUCAUGUUAUGCUUGUGAGAGAGGUUAUUAGUCAACGGGUCUGAACCUUUCAGAUCCAUGUGUGCUUUACGAAUAUCUAUGUCAUCUUGUGGAUGCUACCACGCGCUAUUUGGAGCCAUUUCAAAUAACUGCUCUACUAUACGAAUCCGGUUUACUACUCAGAGUCAUCCGGAUUAGUGUCAAAGUUCGCAUCGACGUAACCCUUUACGACGAACUCCUUUUCACCUCCAUAAUCGAGAAAAUUCCUUAGUCCACUAGAUACUAAGGAUAAGUUCGACCGCUGUCAUGUGAUCCAUUCCCGGAUCACUAUUGUACCCCUUGACCAACUCAUGGCAAGGCACACUUCAUGUGCGGUACACAGCAUAGCAUAUUGUAGAGCCUACAUCUAAAGCAUAGGGGACGACCUUCGUCCUUUCUCUCUCUUCUGCUGUGGUCAGGUCUUGAGUCUUACUCAAUACUCACACCUUGUAACACAGCCAAGAACUCCUUCUUUGCUGAUCUAUUUUGAACUCUUUCAAAAUCAUGUCAAGGUGUGCGUUCUUUGAAAGUAUCAUCAGGCGUCUUGAUCUAUCUCUAUAGAUCUUGAUGCCCAAUAUGUAAGCAGCUUUAUCCAGGUCUUCCUUUGAAAAACUCCUUUCAAACAACCCUUUAUGCUUUCCAGAAAUUUUACAUCAUUUCGGAUCAACAAUAUGUCAUUCACAUAUACUUAUCAGAAAUGUUGUAGCGAUCCCACUCACUUUAUUGUAAAUACAAGUUUCUAACAAACUUUGUAUAAACCCAAAAACUUUGAUCGCUCCAUCAAAGCUUAUAUUCUGACUCCGAGAUGCUUGCUCUAGUCCAUGGAUGGAUCGCUGGAGCUAGCAUACCUUUUAGCAUCCUUAGGAUCGACAAAACCUUUCUGAUUGUAUCACAUACAACCUUUCCUUACGAAAACUGGUAAGGAAACUUGUUUUGACAUCCAUCUGCCAGAUUUCAUAAAUGCAGCUAAUGCUAACAUGAUUCCGACGGACUUCAGCAUCGCUACGGAUGAGAAAAUCUCAUCGUAGUCAACUCCUUGAACUUGUGAAAAUACUCUUUGCCACAAGUCGAGAUUCAUAGACGGUAACCUUACCUUCCACGUUCGUCUUCUUCUUAAAGAUCCAUUUAUCUUGGAUUUCAUGGCUUCUAACCAUUUGUCGGAAUAUGGGCCUACCAUCGCUUCUCCAUAGCUCAUAGGUUCAUCGUUGUCCAACAACAUGACUUCCAAGACAGGAUCACGUACUACUCUGAAGUAUUACGCAUCCUCGUCGUCCUACGAGGUUUGGUAGUGACUUGAUCCGAAGUUUCAUGAUCACUAUCAUAAGCUUCCACUUCAAUUGGUGUAGGUGCCACAGGAACAACUUCCUGUGCCCUGCUACACACUAGUUGAAGUGACGGUUCAAUAACCUUAUCAAGUCUCCACCAUCCUCCCACUCAAUUCUUUCGAGAGAAACUUUUCCUCGAGAAAGGACUCGUUUCUAGAAGCAAUUACUUUUGCUUCCAGAUCUGAAAUAGGAGGUAUACCCAACCGUUUUGGGUAUUCUUAUGAAGAUGUAUUUAUCCGCUUUGGGUUCGAGCUUAUCAGCCUGAAACUUUUUCACAUAAGCUUCGCAGCCCCAAACUUUUAAGAAACGACAACUUAGGUUUCUUUAAACGGUGUCGUCUCAACGGAAUUGCGUGGUGCCCUUUUUAAAGUGAAUGCGGUCUUCUCUAAUGCCUAACCCAUAAACGAUAGUGGUAAUUCGAUAAGAGACAUCAUGGUAUGCACCAUAUCCAAUAGGGUGCAGUUAUGAUGUUCGGACACACCAUCACACUAUGGUGUUCCAGGCGGUAUUACUUGUGAAACACUUUCCACAAUGUCUUAAUUGUGUGCCAAACUCGUAACUUGGAUACUCAUCUCUAUGAUCAUAUCACAGACAUUUUAUCCUCUUGUCACGACGAUCUUCAACUUCACUCUGAAAUUACUUGAACCUUUCAAUAAUUCAGACUUGUGUUUCAUCAAGUAAAUACACUCAGCAUCUACUCAAAUAAUCUAUGAAGUAAGAACAUAACGAUAUCCACUGCAUGCCUCAGCACUCAUUGGACUGCAUACAUCAAAAUGUGUUACUUCCAAUAAGUUGCUCUCUUGUUCCAUCUUACUGAAAACGAGGCCUUUCAGUCAUCUUGCCCAUGUGGUAUGAUUUGCAUGUCUCAAGUGAUUCAAAAUCAAGUGAGUCCAAACGAUCCAUCUGCAUGGAGUUUCUUCAUGCAUAUAUACCAAUAGACAUGGUUCGCAUGUCUCAUUCUUUUCAAAAACAAGUGAGAACAAGGAUCCAUCUACAUGGAGCUUCUUCAUGCGUUCUGUACCAAUAUGACUCAAGUGGCAGUGCCACAAGUAUGUGGUACUAUCAUUACCAUCUUAUAUCUUUUGGCAUGAACAUGUGUAUCACUACGAUCGAGAUUCAUUUUAGGUGCAAGACCAUUGAAGGUAUUAUUCAAAUAAACAAAGUAACCAUUAUUCUCCUUAAAUGAAUAACCGUAUUGCGAUAAACAUAAUCCAAUCAUGCUCAACGCAAACACCAAAUCUCGAUAGUAGAGGGAGCAUGCAAUGCUUGAUCACAUCAACCUUGGAAACACUUCCAACACACAUCGUCAUCUCACCUUUAGCCAGUCUCCAUUUAUUCCGCAGCUUUUAUUUCGAGUUACUAACACUUAGCAACCGAACCGGUAUCCAAUACCCUGGUGCUGCUAGGAGUACUAGUAAAGUACACAUUCAUAUAAUGUAUAUCCAAUAUACUUCUGUCGAUCUUGCCUGCCUUCUCAUCUACCAAGUACCUAGGGUAGUCCUGCUUCAGUGACCGUUCCCCUCAUUACAGAAGCACUUAGUCUCGGGUUUGGGUUCAACCUUGGGAUUCUUCACUAGAGCAGCAAAUGACUUGCUGUUUCAUGAAGUAUCCCUUUUGCCCUUGCCCUUCUUAAACUAGUGGUUUUACUAACCAUCAACAAUUGAUGCUCCUUCUUGAUUUCUACUCUCGCGGUGUCAAACAUCGCGAACAGCUCAAGGAUCAUCAUAACUAUCCCUGAUUUGUUAUAGUUCAUCACGAAGCUCUACUAGCUUGGUGGCAGUGACUAUGGAGAACUAUCACUAUUUCAUCUGGGAGAUUAACUCCCACUCGAUUCAAGCGAUUGUGGUACUCAGACAAUCUGAGCACACGCUCAACGAUUGAGCUUUUCUCCCUUAGUUUGCAGGCUUAAGAAACUUGUCAGAGGUCUCAUACCUCUUGACGUGGGCACUAGUCUGAAAUCCCAAUUUCAAUCUUCGGAACAUCUCAUAUGUUCUGCGACGUUUCAAAAACGUCUUUGGUGCCACAAUUCUAAACCGUUAGCAUUACGCACUGAACUAUCACGUAGUCAUCAAAACGUGUAUGUCAGAUGUUUCGCAACAUCUACAGACGACGCUAAGGUUCAGCACACCGGUCGGUGCAUUAAGGACAUAUGCCUUCUGUGCAGCAAUGAGGACAAUCCUCAGUUUACGGACCCAGUCCGCAUAAUUGCUACUAUCAACUUUCAACUAAAUUUUCUCUAGGAACAUAUCUUAAACAGUAGAACUAAAGCGCAAGAUAUGACAUAAUUUGCAAAGACUUUUUGACUAUGUUCAUGAUAAUGAAGUUCAUCUGAUUAUUGAACUCCCACUCAGAUAGACAUCCCUCUAGUCAUCUAAGUGAUACAUGACCCGAGUCAAACUAGGCCGUGUCCGAUCAUCACGUGAGACGGACUAGUCAUCAUCGGUGAACAUCUCCAUGUUGAUCAUAUCUACUAUGCGACUCAUGUUCGACCUUUCGGUCUCUUGUGUUCCGAGGCCAUGUCUGUACAUGCUAGGCUCGUCAAGUCAACCUAAGUGUUUCGCAUGUGUUCCGAGGCCAUGUCUGUACAUGCUAGGCUCGUCAACACCCGUUGUAUUCGAACGUUAGAAUCUAUCACACCCGAUCAUCACGUGGUGCUUCGAAACAACGAACCUUGGCAACGGUGCACAGUUAGGGGGGACACGUCUCUUGAAAUUUUAGUGAGGGAUCAUCUUACUUACUACCGUUGUUCUAAGCAAAUAAGAUGCAUAACAUGAUAAACAUCACAUGCAAUCAAAUAGUGACAUGAUAUGGCCAAUAUCAUUUUGCUCCUUUGAUCUCCAUCUUUGGGGCACCAUGAUCAUCUUUGUCACCGGCAUGACACCAUGAUCUCCAUCAUCAUGAUCUCCAUCAUUGUGUCUUCAUGAAGUUGCCACGCCGACGAUUACUUCUACUUCUAUGGCUAACGCGCUUAGCAAUAAAGUAAAGUAAUUUACAUGGCGUUAUUCAAUGACACGCAGGUCAUACAAAAAAUAAAGACAACUCCUAUGGCUCCUGCCGGUUGUCAUACUCAUCGACAUGCAAGUCGUGAUCCCUAUUACAAGAAUAUGAUCAAUCUCAUACAUCACAUAUAUCAUUCAUCAUAUCUUCUGGCCAUAUCACAUCACAUAGCACAUGCUGCAAAAACAAGUUAGACGUCCUCUAAUUGUUGUUGCAAGUUUUUACGUGGCUUGUAUAGGUUUCUAGCAAGAACGUUUCUUACCUACGUAAAACCACAACAUGAUAUGCUAAUUUCUAUUUACCCUUCAUAAGGACCCUUUUCAUCGAAUCCGUUCCGACUAAAGUGGGAGAGACAGACACCCGCUAGCCACCUUAUGCAACUAGUGCAUGUCAGUCGGUGGAACCUGUCUCACGUAAGUGUACGUGUAAGGUCGGUCCGGGCCGCUUCAUCCCACAAUGCCGCCGAAACAAGAUAAGACUAGUAGCGGCAAGAAGAAUUGGCAAAAUCGACGCCCACAACUACUUUGUGUUAUAUUCGUGCAUAGAAACUACGCAUAGACCUAGCUCAUGAUGCCACUGUUGGGGAACGUAGCAGAAAUUCAAAAUUUUCUACGCAUCACCAAGAUCAAUCUAUGGAGUUUACUUGCAACGAGAGGGAAGGAGUGCGUCUACAUACCCUGGUAGAUCGCGAGCGGAAGCGUUGCAAGAACGCGGAUGAGGGAGUCGUACUCGUAGCGAUUUAGAUCGCGGUUGAUUCCGAUCUAAGCGCCGAACCACGGCGCCUCCGCGUUCAACACACGUGCAGCCCGGUGACGUCUCCCACGCCUUGAUCCAGCAAGGUGAGAGGGAGAGGUUGGGGAAGACUCCAUCCAGCAGCAGCACGACGGCGUGGUGGUGGUGGAGGAGCGUGGCAAUCCCGCAGGGCUUUGCCAAGCACCGCGGGAGAGGAGGAGGAGGGAGAGGGGAAGGGCUGCGCCGAAAGAGAGACGUUCUCGUGUGUCUUGGGCAGCCCAAACCUCAACUAUAUAUAGGGGGAGGGUGCUGAGCCCCCCUCUAGGGUUCCCACCCAAAGAGGAGGCGGCCAGCCCUAUAUCCCAUCAAGGGGGGGCGGCCAAGGGGAGGAGAGGGGGCGCGCCCCACUAGAUGGGCCCUAAGGCCCAUCUGGACCUAGGGUUUGCCCCCUCCCACUCUCCCACGCGCCUUGGGCCUUGGUGGGGGGGCGCACCAGCCCACUUGGGGCUGGUCCCCUCCCACACUUGGCCCACGCAGCCUUCUGGGGCUGGUGGCCCCACUUGGUGGACCCCCGGGACCCUCCCGGUGGUCCCGGUACAUUACCGAUAUCACCUGAAACUUUUCCGGUGACCAAAACAGGACUUCCCAUAUAUAAAUCUUUACCUCCGGACCAUUCCGGAACUCCUCGUGAUGUCCGGGAUCUCAUCCAGGACUCCGAACAACAUUCGGUAACCACGUACAAACUUUCCCUAUAACCCUAGCGUCAUCGAACCUUAAGCGUGUAGACCCUACGGGUUCGGGAACCAUGCAGACAUGACCGAGACGUUCUCCGGUCAAUAACCAACAGCGGGAUCUGGAUACCCAUGUUGGCUCCCACAUGUUCCACGAUGAUCUCAUCGGAUGAACCACGAUGUCGGGGAUUCAAUCAAUCCCGUAUGCAAUUCCCUUUGUCUAUCGAUAUGUUACUUGCCCGAGAUUCUAUCGUCGGUAUCCUAUACCUUGUUCAAUCUCGUUACCGGCAAGUCUCUUUACUCGUUCCGUAACUCACAUCAUCCUGUGAUCAACUCCUUGGUCACAUUGUGCACAUUAUGAUGAUGUCCUACCGAGUGGGCUCAGAGAUACCUCUCCGUUUACACGGAGUGACAAAUCUCAGUCUCGAUUCGUGCCAACCCAACAGACACUUUCGGAGAUACCUGUAGUGCACCUUUAUAGACACCCAGUUACGUUGUGAUGUUUGGUACACCCAAAGCAUUCCUACGGUGUCCGGGAGUUGCACAAUCUCAUGGUCUAAGGAACUGAUACUUGACAUUAGAAAAGCUCUGAGCAAACGAACUACACGAUCUUGUGCUAGGCUUAGGAUUGGGUCUCGUCCAUCACAUCAUUCUCCUAAUGAUGUGAUCCCGUUAUCAACGACAUCCAAUGUCCAUGGUCAGGAAACCGUAACCAUCUAUUGAUCAACGAGCUAGUCAACUAGAGGCUUACUAGGGACAUGGUGUUGUCUAUCUAUCCACACAUGUAUCUGAGUUUCCUAUCAAUACAAUUCUAGCAUGGAUAAUAAACGAUUAUCAUGAACAAGGAAAUAUAAUAAUAACCAAUUUAUUAUUGCCUCUAGGGCAUAGUUCCAACACACAGUUUCAUCAAUUUCUUCUUCCAUAGAUUCCUGCAAAAUAUUAGUCUCUUCUGGGACAGCGGAGACUUUCUCAAUAAGUGCAUUAAUAUCGGAAUUGUAUUCAUAAUUCUCAUAGCAAUAUUUGAGGAUAGCUAAAUUUUCAGGUCUAUAAACAGCAUCAUCAAAAGCUUCAAACUCUUUAAACAUAGAUUCAAUUUCAUAAUCACCCAUAAAAGCAACAAAUUCUUCUAUUUGUUCCACAUCAUAGUAAUCAUAUAUACCAUUAGCAUAAGAAGCUAAGGUUUUAUUAUCAUUAAAUUUGCAUGAAAAGGGAAGUUGUGGAGCCUUCAUCCUAGAGCAACAAGUAUAAUCAUAACUCAAGCAUACUUGCCGAGCAUACCACUUCAAUAUAUGAAUUUGAUCCCAUAAUAGUUUCCCUUUUUGUGUCAAGCGAUAAUCCCUAAAGUAUUCACGUUGAUCCAACGUCACUCCCAUUACAUAAUAUCUGUCACAUAACAAGCAUCGAGGGUUUUAGGAGGUUCCCCAUCUCCAUGAGCAGCAAGCACACCUAAUUUUGUUUGUAUUUCGUGUUCCAUAUCCAUAACUAAAGAUAGAGAACAACUAAGAACAGCAAAUAAAAAAUACUUGGUGAUAAAGCAAACAAGCACAGACGAGAAUAUUCACCCCACGCUAUUGCUCCCCGGCAACGGCGCCAGAAAAAGGUCUUGAUAACCCACAAGUAUAGGGGAUCAAUUGUAGCCUCUUUCGAUAAGUAAGAGUGUCGAACCCAACGAGGAGCUAAAGGUAGAACAAAUAUUCCCUGUAGCCUCUUUCGAUAAGUAAGAGUGUCGAACCCAACGAGGAGCUAAAGGUAGAACAAAUAUUCCCUCAAGUUCUAUCGACCACCGAUACAACUCUACGCACGCUUGACGUUCGCUUUACCUAGAACAAGUAUGAAACUAGAAGUACUUUGUAGGUGUUGUUGGAUAGGUUUGCAAGAAAAUAAAGAGCGCGUAAAUAAAAAGUAGGGGCUGUUUAGAUGAAGACACAACUAAAUUAGUUUUAGUAGAGAGCUUUUUGUUACGAGAAAGUUAUUUGUCCCUAGGCAAUCGAUAACUAGACCGGUAAUCACUAUUGCAAUUUUAUUUGAGGGAGAGGCAUAAGCUAACAUACUUUCUCUACUUGGAUCAUAUGCACUUAUGAUUGGAACUCUAGCAAGCGUCCGCAACUACUAAAGAUCAUUAAGGUAAAACCCAACCAUAGCAUUAAAGCAUCAAGUCCUCUUUAUCCCAUACGCAAACAACCUACUUACUCAGGUCUGUGCUUCUGUCACUCACGCCACCCACCAUAAGCAAAUCAUGAACAUAUUGCAAACCCUACAGCGGGAAUCCCUCACGCUUGCGCGACACGGAGAGCACCAUAGGAUAGCACCAAUAAUAAAACAUGCAACUCAAACCAAUCUUGAUCAUCAAAUAACCCGUAGGACAAAACGGAUCUACUCAAACAUCAUAGGAUAGCCAUACAUCAUUGGGAAAUAAUAUAUAGCAUUGAGCACCAUGUUUAAGUAGAGAUUACAGCGGGUAAGAGAGAGGUUACACUGCUGCAUAGAGGGGGGAAGAGUUGGUGAUGAUGGCGGUGAAGUUGUUGGUGAAGAUUGCGGUGAUGAUGAUGGCCACGGCGGCGUUCCGGCGCCACCGGAAGAGAAGGGGAGAGGGGGCCCCUUCGUCUUCUUCUUCCUUGACCUCCUCCCUAGAUGGGAGAAGGGUUUACCCUCUGGUCCUUGGCCUCCAUGGCGUGGGAGGGGCGAGAGCCCCUCCGAGAUUGGAUCUGUCUCUCUGUCUCUCUCUAUUUCUGCCUUCUGUUCUGCUGCCCUUUCACCGUUUCUUUUAUAUCCGGAGAUCCGUAACUCCGAUUGGGUUGAAUCUUUCGCCCAGAUCUUUCUCAUAAAACUAGCUUUCUUGCGGCAAAAGAAGAGCGUCAACCGCCUUAUGGGGUGCCCACGAGGGUCCAGGGCGCGCCUGCCCCCUGAGGCGCGCCCCCUGCCUCGUGGCCCCCUCGGGCACCGUCUCGCGUUGAUUUUACUUCCCAAAAAUCAUAAAUAUUCCAAAAUAAUUCUCCUUCCGUUUUUAUCCCGUUUGGACUCCGUUUGAUAUGGGGUUUCUGCGAAACAUAAAACAUGCAACAAACAGGAACUGGCACUAGGCAGUGGAUCAAUAUGUUAGUCCCAAAAAUAGUAUAAAAAGUUGCCAAAAGUAUAUGAAAGUUGUAGAAUAUUGGCAUGGAACAAUAAAAAAUUAUAGAUACGACAGAGACGUAUCACUUAGCACUUGAUCGUUUAGUAUGUUGCUAUUGCUUUCUUCAUGACUUAUACAUGUUCCUAUAACUAUGAGAUUAUGCAACUCCCGUUUACCGGAGGAACACUUUGUGUGCUACCAAACGUCACAACGUAACUGUGUGAUUAUAAAGGUCCUCUACAGGUGUCUCCAAAGGUACUUGUUGGGUUGGCGUAUUUCGAGAUUAGGAUUUGUCACUCCGAUUGUCGGAGAGGUAUCUCUGGGCCCACUAGGUAAUGCACAUCACUAUAAGCCUUGCAAGCAUUGCAACUAAUGAGUUAGUUGCGAGAUGAUGUAUUACGGAACGAGUAAAGAGACUUGCCGGUAAUGAGAUUGAACUAGGUAUUGAGAUACCGACGAUCGAAUCUCGGGCAAGUAACAUACCGAUGACAAAGAGAACAACGUAUGUUGUUAUGCGGUUUGACCGAUAAAGAUCUUCGUAGAAUAUGUGGGAGCCAAUAUGAGCAUCCAGGUUCCGCUAUUGGUUAUUGACCGGAGACAUGUCUCGGUCAUGUCUACAUAGUUCUCGAACCCGUAGGGUCCGCACGCUUAAAGUUCGAUGACGGUUAUAUUAUGAGUUUAUGAGUUUUGAUGUACCGAAGGUUGUUCGAAGUCCCGGAUGUGAUCUUGGACAUGACGAGGAGUCUCGAAAUGGUCGAGACUUAAAGAUCGAUAUAUUGGACGACUAUAUUUGGAUACCGGAAUGGUUCCGGGUGAGAUCGGGAUAAUACCGGAGCUCCGGAAGGUUAUCGGAACCCCCCGGGAGGUAUAUAGGCCUUAAUGGGCUUUAGUGGAAAGGAGGGAAAAGGAGCAAGGGAGGGCCACUCCCCAAGCCCAAUCCGAAUUGGGAGGGAGGCCGGCCCCCCUUUCCUUCCUCCCUCCUUCCUCUUCCUUCCCUUUCCCUCUCCAAAUAGGAAAAGGAGGAGUCCUACUCCCGGUGGGAGUAGGACUCCCCCCUUGGGUGCGCCUCCUCCCCUUGGCCGGCCCUCUCCUCCCCCUUUAUAUACGGAGGAGAGGGGCACCCCAUAGACACAACAAUUGAUCUCUUUGAUCUUUUAGCCGUGUGCGGUGCCCCUCUCCACCAUAGUCCACCUCGAUAAUAUCGUAGCGGUGCUUAGGCGAAGCCCUGCGUCGGUAGAACAUCAUCAUCGUCACCACGCCGUCGUGCUGACGGAACUCUCCCUCAAAGUUCGGCUGGAUCGGAGUUCGAGGGACGUCAUCGAGUUGAACGUGUGCAGAACUCGGAGGUGCCGUGCGUUCGGUACUUGAUCGAUCGGAUCGUGAAGACGUAUGACUACAUCAACCGCGUUGUGCUAACGCUUCCGCUUUCGGUCUAUGAGGGUACGUGGACAACACUCUCCCCUCUCGUUGCUAUGCAUCACCAUGAUCCUGUGUGUGCGUAGGAAUUUUUUUGAAAUUACUACAUUCCCCGACAGAACCCUCUUCUAAUCUUCUUGGGCGUCUCUUUUGUUGGGUCGGUUGGAUCACCCACUUCUUCCUCGGUGUCGAUGCCAGUGGUCUUGACGGUGUUGGUAAUGAAUAAAUUCCACUUGGGUUGCCCAGUCAACUUCAAGCAACAAUGCACGAGGACGAAGUUAUUCUUGUCCACCUUCAGAAACAGGUUACACGCACGGGAAGGCUGCAAAGGCAAACAUGUCAUCAAGUUGCAUAUCCGGCCAAAUGACCAACACACAUAACAACGUACUUGUUCGGUGAUUUGCACACCACUUGGCCACCGAUCAAUUAGUUGCUUCAAAUUGCCGCAAUACUUGGACACGUCCUUUUGGAUAAUGUAUCACCGAUGGUUAAACGACUUUACCCCACGGUUGCGGAUUAGUUCGUCGGCGUAGGGAUCAAAAUAUUUGUGCUCAUCGAACCAAGUGUGAAUGUUGGCCUAAAAUGUUGUGCCCUUUUGCUUCGUGCCAUGGAUCGGAAUGAUGCUAGUGGCCAACCACGAAUCACCUUCAUGUGCACUCCCUCAUGUUGAAGCUUUCUCCUCUACCCUACUUCUUUGGAUCCGCAACAAAUUCAUCUGGAUCAAGGUCGUCGUUGCAAUCCUCCUCCGGCUCCUGCUGGCCGGUGUACGAAUCUGGUUGCUGGUAUACGUGUCUGACUCCAUGCCCGGCUGCGUGGACUCCAAGUCAUCCACUUGUCUGUCCUCGUAGCAGCUCCGCCUUCGUCGUGAAUCAUCUCAAACAUCUGCUUGUCUGUGUCGUCAUACGCCGGCUCGCCCGGUUGAGACAUACCGUCGAACAGAUAGCAGGCACCAAGCUGCUCCACGCGCGGUGCCUGAGUCCGGACAAGUAGUGGGGCUGUAAACCCGACGCGCGAGAGGAUGCGUAUCGGACGGCCAACUACAAUCAAGCCACGAAAUCUGAUGUCAAGAAGCGUGGAUGCGUGAGAGGACAUGGAUCAGGCUCAGCUUUUGUUGUCCUGAAUAAAUACUUUUGUGUGAAUAAAGCUCUCUCAAUUGUCCGAAAAAAUAGAAAAACAUAAAAGAGGAAACCUCUCCUUUUGGUUGAAAAAAUAAAAUAAAAGAGAAAAUCUCUCGUCUUGGUUGGCAGCAUGGUGGGAGUUGAAUAACCAGGGCAAUAAUGACGAGAGUUUUUCACGGGAAUUAAUUACACGCCUUGGCCCCUGCGCACCGGCUGGCCUGCCUGUAGACUGCAGUCCUGUGCGGGCUCGAGACUGGCUGGCAUGCCUACCGAUGCGUUGACCAGAACUCUUGAUGUUCACUACUCGUUGACCUUGUUUCUAAAAAAAACUACUCGUUGACCUUUCCGCGAAGCCUGCCUGCACGCGUACCUCGGUGCCCAAAACAGCACUCUACUCAUGACAUAGAGGUCUAUGCACAUUUCUUAUUUUAUUUUAUUUUGCUAGAAAACUUUCAGUCUAUUCAUCUUCUAUUUCCUAAUUGCAGAAAAUGAACCUCAAGUCUGUUCUUUGUAGUACAAAAAUAGAGAAUCAAAUUUGUGUCAGUAGGGCAAAACACAAUAGAAUCUUUUUCACGUCGUUCACUCCUCGUAUCCGGGACCAAAGCUUCGUCGUGCGUACUUUAUUUUUUUAACAUAUCAGAAAUUAGUCAACGAGUAUGCUUUUACUAAGUGUAUCAUUCAUUGAUAGAAGAAGAUCAGAACGAAUACAAGAUAUGAUUACAACACAUGACACGGACGCAAAAGGCGUGAACAUGGUGAUCUGAGCAGAGAAACAAGGGAUGCUCGGCCCAAAAUAAGAAAAAACACAGCUAAACUCGCCAUCUUGAGAAGUAGCGCAAACCACCAACAAGACAACCAACAACCUCAGAUCCAAGCCCGAGGACGCCACGAGCAAAGAAAACGACACCUUCAAGAAGGAGAACGACGCCUAGACGCCGCCGCCGUCCGAUCCAGAUAGCCGGACCUAGGGUUUCCCCCGCUGCUCGAAGAGGGGCUCAGAACCGGCCGUGACAACGCCACCAAGGAGGGGACGGCACCCACGGGUGUCGCCGCUGCCAGCAUCCAAUGCAGGGAUUUCGCCCUGGCCAUAGUCCGAGCAAUCCCAAGCCGUCAGAACACGAUCGGAGUAGAGGAAGUCUGGUAUAGGUCGGUGCCAGAACCGCAGGAGGGGAGCCACGCCCGUCACUGAAGAGGCAUCGGGAUCAAGCUCCGUCGUGCGUACUUUAUUAUUUGCUUUAACAUAUCAGAAAUUAGUCAUUCCUUUUUUUGCGAGGGAGAAAUUAGUCGUUCCUAAAAAUCUUAUUCUACGAGACAUGCAAAACAAAAGUGCUCAGCGAGACAUUUUCUUGAACACGAUACAAUCGAAGUCACGAGACAAUCAGUCGUCACUUGCACUGUUUGAAGAUAUAAAUCCAAUGCUAAGUUUAGUCGAGUUGUUUGGAUGGUAGCCCACACUUACUUUACCAAUAUUUUGGCGUUGACCAAAAGCAUGGGUUUGUAUUUGGUUUGAAGCCUUUUCACUUCACACUAAUUUUGUGGUAUGCUAGUUGAGACACUGCACCAUUCACGGACGGCGAAUUUGCUUGCCAAAAUCUUGGUAUGCCCUUAUUUGGUAGGGUUGCCUCAGGCGUCAACCAAACAGUCCCCUAGUAAUCGUCACUUGAUGUUUGGCUCAUGCUUUACGGUUCCUGCACAACGUGUCCAUCGACUGGUUCAAAAAAAAUCGACUGACCAAAAUGGUGUAAGUCGAUUCCAAGAGAUAAUUAACUUGUCCAAAUUAUAUUUUGAGGCGACUUGUCCGUAGCCAGUCCCAUAGUGCAAGCUUUGACGAGCAAGGGCCAGCCCCUCUCAAAUCGCUCGUUGCGCUGGAGAUCAGUCACAUGCACUCCCCCACGCUUUCACGAAAAAUAGCACGCCGGAGGCCUCCUCGCAUGUCGCAUGGCCCAAGUUCCACCGCGCGCAGGAGAUAAUUUUGCCCUGUUUGUUUGAGCUUCAGGAAUCAGAUUCGGCUUUGCCGGUGAAGCUGAAUCUGGAAUCGGAAACAAACAGCUAUUUCAAAUCAGCUUUGCGAGUGAAGCUGAAUCUGGAAUCGGAAACAAACAGCUAUUUCAAAUCAGCUUUGCGAGUGAAGCUGGAUCUGGAUUUGGGUCAUUUUUAGUGCAAUUUGUUGAAGCACCUCAAAGUGUAUUUCGGUGGCGAAGCUGAUUCGCAGAAUCUGCUUUACCACUAAAGCGAAAUUACAGAUGAUUUGAAUCCAAUCAAAACUGGAACAAACAUGAUCUAUAUAACUGUGAAUCAGCUUUGCCACUAAAGUGAUUCCCUAGGUGAUUCGAAUCAGAUCAAAGCUGAAACAAACAAGGCGACUCAGGGAAACUGGUUGUGGGCGCGUCAAGCCACUGCAGGGCAGGCCAUCGUGUCGUGCGGUGAGACGAAAUUACUAAUUUCAAAAUUUUGAAAUAACAAGCUGCUAGUACUGCUUGUCUAUUAGUACAUCUACAUAUCCAAAUGAAUGAAAAAAAUAUGAUUUGUAGAACACUAUUAGCGAGAAAAGCAAGUCAUGCACCAUACAAAUACAGGAGGAGAUGAACAAUGCAGAUUCAAAAACACUACUUAUAUACUGAUGAUAAACUGACAAACCAUCAAACAAGACUGGAAUAUCAACCAAAUACUCUCAGAGGUUGACCAUGCACUAGUAGAAAAAGGGGCUUUUACCCCGGUUGGUAAGGGUUUUUUGUCCCGGUUUUCGAACCGGGACUAAAGGGUCGUUACUAAAGCCCUAACCCUUUAGUCCCGGUUCUUACACGAACCGGGACAGAAGGUCCUCCACGUGGCCGCUGCUGCCAGCCCAGGUAGGGGGGCCUUUGGUCCCGGUUGGUGGGCAGGGACCAAUAGGCAUCCACGCGUCAGCAUUUCAGGGGCUGGGGUUUUUGUUUUUUUUAAGGGGGGUGGGGGGUUUUGGGGGGUUAAUUUAGGUGUUUCAUAUAUUGUGUUAGCUAGCUAAUUAAUAGAGAGAAGUGUCCUCUCUUAUCUCCGUGCUUGGUCGACGCUACGUACUAUAUACGUAUGGAGAGGACUAGACACGCUAGCUAGUAAGCAAAUGAAGGAAACAGAAGAUCGUCAUGAACAUAUGCAUACAGAGAGAAGUGAUAUCGACCACCUCUCCUUCUCCGAGAGAUUGGUCGAACAACAAGUUCUCGUAUAUCUAUUUGACACUACCGGCUACAUAUAUACAAUAAUUAUCUCUUACAAUAUAAUCUCCUAAUUAAAUUGUAAGAACACAGGGUCCACAUAGUAUUCUUCGUUUUCAGCGAUCACGUGGUCAAGGAAGAAUGCCGCCAAUUCCUCUUGAAUUGCUCGCAUACGAUCUUCUGCUAGGAGUUCAUCCCGCAUCUGAAACAUCUAAUUUGAAGAAGGGGGUCAAUACAUAUAUAUAUGAAUAAAUGAAACUCGACACAAAUGAUGGUAAUAAAAUAAAAUUAUGAAUAUUAUUGCUUACGCACUUCAUAUUGUUCAUCAGAGUAGCCCCGCUCACAGGUCGUGUGACGGAUAGACUCACAAACGUAGUAUCCACAUAAAUCAUUCCCUUGUUCCUGCCACAACCACUUUACAAGAAAUAGAGGUCAAUCUAACUGAUAAGCAAGCGUGCUAAAUGGUAUUGAUGAAACUAGCGCUUGAAUCACUAGGAGAUGUGCGGAACAUGCUACUAUAGUACUUACUUUCGGGUGUCUAAAUUGCAGCUUCUUCGGCAGUCCCGGAGCUUUUGUGGUGAAUUUUCUCCAAACCCUGCCAGACAAAGAAAACAAUUACUUGAUAUCAGGAAAUGAAUAAAGUUGCUGAUAUGGUGGAUAAUGAUCGAUUUAACUUACUUCUCGAGCAUUUGAGUCAUGUCCGCAUAGUCCUGGGGAUCUUUUCGUCUCGAGUCUAAGACGGUUACUACUCCCUGCUCAAGCUUAAUCUCUAGGAGAAUAUAGUGGAAGCUGCGCAUGCAUGCAUAAGUCAUCAAUUACAUUACCAUAACAUGGACUAAUAAGGGAAACCGAUUAUGCACAAGACAGUAACACUCACUUGAAGUUGUAAGGAAAGAGUAUUAUAUCUUUGUUUUGAUUUAAUACCAACGAUCGUAGCAAGUUGGCCUCGGCUUUUUGGCAUGUUUUUCAACCGUAUAUGCAUCUAUGAGAUUUGUGUUAAUGAACCCAAUAUCACCGAUUUGUCUUUUCUUCAAUUCGGCGAUCUUCAAUCUGCAUAAUAUAGUGAGGAUAAUUAUAAAUACAUGCAAUGAAAGAGCUGACCUAUAUAGAGAGACUUAAUAACAUAAGUAGUACUACUUACAGACAGUAGCAAGUGAUCGUUGAUUUAUCGAGGGCCUUUUGAUUGAAAAACUGGAAGAACUCCUCAAAUGGAACAUUCAGCAGUUCAAUUCCAACGAGGUCAUGCUCCGGUUUAACUCUCAGCGUCAAAGUAUUCAUCCCAUCAAACUCUCUGCAGGUUUUCAUGUACCAAUCAUGUAAUCUUCGCAUCAUCGUUGUUAGAGAUCUUUCAUCUUUGACGAGAGGCUUCCCAUAAUGGUAUUUGUGUUCGUCCACCUCCAUGAUUUCAUAAUGUACAUCGUCGGGCAGGUAAUCUCCAAGAUUGCUAUAACCGGCCACCAUCCUCGGAUCAUUAGUGACAAUGUCUUUAGACACCUUGAGCAGGGGGCACGAUUGGUUCGUUGUUCGCCGAGCUGGGCAAUUUUUUUCCCAGCUCGUCGUUCUUUUAACCUUUGAUCACUGACAGUACUUCCCGACCGCUCCGCUUCGACAAAUGUCUUUGAAAUAAUGCGCUCAUAGUUGCCUUUCGGCGGAGACUUUGGUGGUUUUGUCAGGGCAUCCAGAGUGCGCUUCGCUUUCACCGGAUCUACCUUCUCCUCCGGAGGUGGAUGUUUCUUUGCUUUCACCCCUUCAAAGAAGUUCUUCACUUCGGCUCGCACGAUCUUCGCGUUCUCCUCCUCGGUCCUCUCGUAUGGUAACUUCUCUGGAGUCUUCAGAGAAGGACCGAAUCUGUAUUGCCUCCCACCUCUGGCAGCUGUACUGCUAGACGCCGGCAGAGCAGACGGAGCGGCUGCGGCUGUCUUCUUUCCUUGCUUACGAGGCGGAGGAGAAGGACUACGACGCGCCGGAGCAGCCGGAGCGGCGGCGGGUCUCUUCCGCCCUUGCUGACGAGGCGGAGAAGGAGGAGGCUGGCUGCUCUGGCACGCCGGCGCAGGCGGAGAAGGAGGCGGAGUGCCGCCACGCGCCGGAGAAGGAGGCUGAGUGCCCUGAUCACUCGCCGGAGGAGGAGGCGGAGUGCCGCCACGCGCCGGAGAAGGAGGCUGAGUGCCCUGAUCACUCGCCGGAGGAGGAGGCGGAGGAGGAGGCGGAGUGCCGCCACGCGCCGGAGAAGGAGGCUGAGUGCCCUGAUCACUCGCCGGAGGAGGAGGCGGCGGCGGAGUGCCCUUACUCGCCGGAGGCGUCCAGUUCGGAAGGUUAAUGAGCUCCUUCCGCCAUAGGCACGGAGUCUUCAGAGCUAAACCCAGCCGAGUCUCCCCUUCACCGGUAGGAUGGUCAAGCUGGAGGUCCUCAAAUCCCUCCGUUAUUUCAUCCACCAUCACCCUAGCAUAUCCUUCUGGAAUCGGCCGGCAGUGGUAGGUUGCGCCGGGUUCAGGAGGUAAAACAGAGCCAACAACCGCCUUGACUUUGAAGUUCUGCCAUUGCGCCAUAAGGUGGCAAUGUUGAGACUCCGUGAUAGCAUCCACGGGGUAGCUAGCAGGAGCCGUCAAGACAUGCUCUGGCUGAAGCAGCUCGGUGGAAGCCACACUGCUUCUCCGCUGAGAUGGCGGGGUAGUUUCGGCAUGUCGAUUGCCGUCUCGUUCCUCUAGCGCUUGAACCCUUUCGUGCAGCUUCUGAAUUUGGGUCUGCUCCAUUUUUUUCCUCCUCUCCUGGCUUUUGUAACCGCCUGCGUCCGGAAAACCAGCCUUCCACGGAACGAAGCUUGGCGUGCCUCGUGUCCGUCCAGGGUGCUCAGGAUUCCCGAGGGCCAUUGUGAGCUCGUCGUUCUCUCUGUCUGGAACGAACGUCCCUUCCUGCGCUGCAUCGAUAUAUUGCUGAAUCUUCUUGACUAGUAUUCUCAAAAGCUCGUUCGUCCAAACGCACCUCCCUGAUACAGGGUCCAAGGUUCCGCCAGCCCCGAAGAACCAAGUCCGACAACGGUCUGUCCAGUUCAUCGUCUGUGGUUCGAUCCCUUUUUCAAGCAGAUCAUUCUCAGCCUCGGCCCACUUAGGCCGGGUUUUGAGGUAGCCACCUGACCCCGUGCGAUGGUGAAGCUUCUUCUUCACAGCAUUCUUCUUGUUUGUCGCUGACAUCUUCUUACUCUUUUCCGAUGUCUUGUGGGCCACAAAUGCAGGCCAGUGAUCUCUGAUCUUCUCAUACCGGCCGAUGAAUUCUGGUGUCUCUUCUUUGUCGACAAACGUUUUCAGUUCAUUCUUGCACCUCCUGAAUAGGUCUGCCAUCUUCUUAAGAGAAUGAGACUUGACUAAUUGCUCUUUAACUAGCUUCUCCAGAUCCUCCUCUGGCGGUAGGGUGAAAUUUGCCUUCAGCUCGGUCCAAAGAUCAUCUUUCUGCAUAUCAUUGACAUAAGACACCUCAGGGUCUUCCUUCUUAGGCUUAUACCAUUGGUGGAUGCUGAUCGGGAUCUUGUCCCUAACUAGAACCCCGCACUGAGCAGCAAAUGCAUCCUUUGUCCGGAUGGGUUCAAUCGGUUGGCCGUCGCGCGCGAUUGCUGUGAUCUCAAACCUUUCAUCCGAGCGCAACUUUCUCUUCGGGCCUCGUCUCUUUACCGAAGUUGUGCUUGAUCUGGAGGGAUAAAAAAAGAAGAAAGACGAGUGUUAAUUAAUAUGUGUACAUACCAAAACAAUGAAUGCAUCAAUUAGCUAGUCAGCACAGGCUUAACUAAUAUAUUUACCUGGCCGGACUCUGUUCGGUCACCGGAGCCGUCACCACGGGCUCCUUCUUGCACCAGCAUUGGGUCACCGGAGCCAUCAUAAUCAUGUCUUUCCUCCUCCACUCUUCGAUCACCGUAGCCUGCUUCUUCACCCUGUUCUUCCAGACCAUCAUUGUCGUUAAGAUACGACAAGAUAUCACCUCCGUCUAAGAUUAUGUCCCCCAACACCUCUUCUGCUUGCUCGUCUCGUCCGUGCUCCAUUGUUUCUGCAAAUAUUACAACAUGGCAAUUAUUACACAAACAUGACAGCAGGUGGAUAUAUUAGUGCAAACGUAGACCUAGCUUAUUCCGGGUUUGGGGUGGCCUUGGUAACGCUUCAAGGGUAGGGGCGCGGCGGGAGGGGGUAGGAGACCGACAUCGUUUUUUUCUAGGGUUUGGGUGUCCUCGAGAGUUUUGGUCGAGCGAGAGGGCCGGGGGGUGCUCCCGUGGUAUAAGUUAUCACAGUCGAGAGGGGGUAUAAAUAUCGACCGUCCAUCAUGUCGAAGUUAUCUGGGAGGGAGUUAUAUAUAUCGACAACGACGACAUACAUACAUGGGAAAAUAAUGUUAUCGGGGAGGGGGUAUAUCGACCCCCCCACAUGUUGAAGUUAUCGGGAGGGGGUUAUAUCGACAACGACGACAUACGUACAUGGGAAAAUAAUAUUAUCGGGGAGGGGGUAUAUCGACCCCCCCCCCUCGUGUUGAAGUUAUCGGGAGAGGGGUAUAUCGACGACGACAGACCCGAUAAAACAUAAGAAAACAAAGAAGAAAUAAAAAGAGGAGAAGAAGAAAUUAAUAGAGGAGAAGAUCGAAGAAAAAAANNNNNNNNNNNNNNNNNNNNNNNNNNNNNNNNNNNNNNNNNNNNNNNNNNNNNNNNNNNNNNNNNNNNNNNNNNNNNNNNNNNNNNNNNNNNNNNNNNNNNNNNNNNNNNNNNNNNNNNNNNNNNNNNNNNNNNNNNNNNNNNNNNNNNNNNNNNNNNNNNNNNNNNNNNNNNNNNNNNNNNNNNNNNNNNNNNNNNNNNNNNNNNNNNNNNNNNNNNNNNNNNNNNNNNNNNNNNNNNNNNNNNNNNNNNNNNNNNNNNNNNNNNNNNNNAGAAAAAAAAGAAGAAAAAAAAAGAGGAGAAGAAGAAAGGAAUAGAGGAGAGAAGAAGAAAAAAUAGAAUUUUUUCUAUUUUUUCUUCUUUUCUUCUAUUCCUUUCUUCUUCUCCUCUUCUUUUUCUUCUUUUUUCCUCUUCUUAUUUAUUUCUCCUCUUCUUCCUCUCCUCUUCUUCUCCUUUCUUCCUCUUCUUAUUUUCCUUUUUCCUCUCAUUCAUAAAAAAAUGUUCAUAUAGAAAAUUUCAAAAAAAAGUAAAGGUUUUGCCUAAUGCAUUGUUCAUAUGAAUAUACAAACAUUUGCAUAUUAUCCAAUAAUUAAUAUCACCAAAAAAUCUAUGAACAGAAAAAAAUCCUAACUUUUCUAAAAAUCUAUCUUUUGCAUAUAUACAUGAAUAUAUAUAUACACAGAGAACAUAUAUACAUACAUAUAUACAUUUUUAUAAAAUGCAAAAAAAGAUCUAAAAAAAGGACAUAUAAACAGAUAUACACUCAUACAUAUACAUAUAUAUGUGCAGAAAAAAAUCGGGAGGAAGGGGCAGUGCCGGCCCUGACCAAGGCGACGGCGGCGCGUCGGGGCAGGGGCAGAGGCGAUGGCGGCGUGGUCGGGGCAGGGGCAGAGGCGACGGCGGCGUGGUCGGGGCAGGGCGAGGCAGAGGCGACGGCGGCAUGGUCGGGGCAGCUGGGGCGACGACGACGUGGUCGGGGCAGGGGCGCGCGGCGUGNNNNNNNNNNNNNNNNNNNNNNNNNNNNNNNNNNNNNNNNNNNNNNNNNNNNNNNNNNNNNNNNNNNNNNNNNNNNNNNNNNNNNNNNNNNNNNNNNNNNNNNNNNNNNNNNNNNNNNNNNNNNNNNNNNNNNNNNNNNNNNNNNNNNNNNNNNNNNNNNNNNNNNNNNNNNNNNNNNNNNNNNNNNNNNNNNNNNNNNNNNNNNNNNNNNNNNNNNNNNNNNNNNNNNNNNNNNNNNNNNNNNNNNNNNNNNNNNNNNNNNNNNNNNNNNNNNNNNNNNNNNNNNNNNNNNNNNNNNNNNNNNNNNNNNNNNNNNNNNNNNNNNNNNNNNNNNNNNNNNNNNNNNNNNNNNNNNNNNNNNNNNNNNNNNNNNNNNNNNNNNNNNNNNNNNNNNNNNNNNNNNNNNNNNNNNNNNNNNNNNNNNNNNNNNNNNNNNNNNNNNNNNNNNNNNNNNNNNNNNNNNNNNNNNNNNNNNNNNNNNNNNNNNNNNNNNNNNNNNNNNNNNNNNNNNNNNNNNNNNNNNNNNNNNNNNNNNNNNNNNNNNNNNNNNNNNNNNNNNNNNNNNNNNNNNNNNNNNNNNNNNNNNNNNNNNNNNNNNNNNNNNNNNNNNNNNNNNNNNNNNNNNNNNNNNNNNNNNNNNNNNNNNNNNNNNNNNNNNNNNNNNNNNNNNNNNNNNNNNNNNNNNNNNNNNNNNNNNNNNNNNNNNNNNNNNNNNNNNNNNNNNNNNNNNNNNNNNNNNNNNNNNNNNNNNNNNNNNNNNNNNNNNNNNNNNNNNNNNNNNNNNNNNNNNNNNNNNNNNNNNNNNNNNNNNNNNNNNNNNNNNNNNNNNNNNNNNNNNNNNNNNNNNNNNNNNNNNNNNNNNNNNNNNNNNNNNNNNNNNNNNNNNNNNNNNNNNNNNNNNNNNNNNNNNNNNNNNNNNNNNNNNNNNNNNNNNNNNNNNNNNNNNNNNNNNNNNNNNNNNNNNNNNNNNNNNNNNNNNNNNNNNNNNNNNNNNNNNNNNNNNNNNNNNNNNNNNNNNNNNNNNNNNNNNNNNNNNNNNNNNNNNNNNNNNNNNNNNNNNNNNNNNNNNNNNNNNNNNNNNNNNNNNNNNNNNNNNNNNNNNNNNNNNNNNNNNNNNNNNNNNNNNNNNNNNNNNNNUUAUGAAAAUUAUUUUUGCUUUCAAUGAUUUUGAACAGAAAAUACUUCGAUAAUUUUAGUUGCAUCAAUUUUAUAUAAUUUUAGUUUCAAUAAUACUAGAGGUUGCUUAUAAUGUUUUGAACAGAAAAUACUUUGAUAAUUUUAGUUUCAUAAAUUUUAUUUAUGUUAUUAAAGUUUAUUUUAUUUUGUUUCUACUUAUAUAUUUUAUUAAAGUUUAUAUUAUUUUGUUUCUAAUUACUUAUUUAUUUUAUUUGUUAUUUUUCAUGCACCAUUUUUCAUGCAUUUACUGAUUAUUUUGAGCUAUAAGACCCUAAAAUUAAAAAGCAUUUCAAAUGAACUCUGAAAAGGUUUGAAAGUUGGCAUGGUAUCAUCAUUUCAUCCACAUAGCAUGUGCAAGAAAGUUGAGAGAGUUACGGCAAAAACUGGAUGCACUUCAUGUACAAAACGGACAAUCUCUUUCGAAGUAUCAGGAUUUCAUACGGAAACUCGUGUGUUACAAAGGGAUUUCAUUUUUUAAAACUUAUUUGAACUCCUGACUUUUUGUGUGUUCAAAAUGCACCAUUCAAAGCCACAUCAUCAAUUUUCAACCCUUUCUGACUUCAUUUGUUAUUUUUCAUGCAUUUACUGAUUAUUUUGAGCUAUAAGACCCUAAAAUUGAAAAGCAUUUCAAAUGAACUCUGAAAAGGUUGAAAGUUGGCAUGGUAUCAUCAUUUCAUCCACAUAGCAUGUGCAAGAAAGUUGAGAGGGUUACGGCAAAAACUAGAUGCACUUCGUGUACAAAACGGACAAUGGUAUCAUACUCGUCUGUUACAAAGUUGGCAUGGUAUCAUCAUAAUAGUUGCGGGAGAAAGUCUUCACUUUUUCUUCGCUUGUGUCAUUUGCUUAUUGUGCCGUAACCAUGGAUAAUCUCCAUCGUUUAUCAGGAUGCUUGGGUCAGCCUUGACUUUGAAGGGAGGAAUUUCAUGAAACUUUUCAUAAUCUUCAGACAUGUCUGUCUUGCCCUCCACUCCCACAAUGUCCCUUUUUCCUGAAAGAACUAUGUGGCGCUUUGGCUCAUCGUAUGAUGUAUUCGCUUCCUUAUCUUUUCUUUUUCUCGGUCUGGUAGACAUGUCCUUCACAUAGAUAACCUGUGCCACAUUAUUCUCUUUAUAUUCGACGAGAAGCCAGUCGGGACCUUCAUACUGAGCAGGCAUUCAAAGAAGAUUUCUUUCUCUUCUUUCGUAAGAGCAUAGCUGGCAGAACCUUCAUACUGCUUCGGAGGCAUGCCGUCUUUUUCGUGCAAACGUUGCAGGUCCUCCCAUGCCUCAGGUGUAUCUUUUGUCUUCCCAUACACGCCCAAGAAGCCUAGCAGGUUCACGCAAAGGUUCUUCGUCACGUGCAUCACGUCGAUUGAAGAGCGGACCUCUAGCUCUUUCCAGUAGGGUAGGUCCCAAAAUAUAGAUUUCUUCUUCCACAUGGGUGCGUGUCCCUCAGUGUCAUUCGGAACAACUAGUCCGCCGAGACCCUUUCCAAAGAUUACGUGUAAAUCAUUGACCAUAGCAAGUACGUGAUCACCGGUACGCAUGGCAGGCUUCUUCCGGUGAUCUGCCUCGCCUUUGAAAUGCUUGCCUUUCUUUCGACAUUGAUGGUUGGUCGGAAGAAAUCGACGAUGGCCCAGGUACACAUUCUUCCUGCUUUUGUCCAGGUAUAUACUUUCAGUGUCAUCUAAACAGUGCGUGCAUGCGUGGUAUCCCUUGUUUGUCUGUCCUGAAAGGUUACUGAGAGCGGGCCAAUCGUUGAUGGUUACAAACAGCAACGCGUGCAGGUUAAAUUCCUCCUGUUUGUGCUCAUCCCACGUACGUACACCGUUUCCAUUCCACAGCUGUAAAAGUUCUUCAACUAAUGGCCUUAGGUACACAUCAAUGUCGUUGCCGGGUUGCUUAGGGCCUUGGAUGAGAACUGGCAUCAUAAUGAACUUCCGCUUCAUGCACAUCCAAGGAGGAAGGUUAUACAUACAUAGAGUCACGGGCCAGGUGCUGUGAUUGCUGCUCUGCUCCCCAAAAGGAUUAAUGCCAUCCGCGCUUAAACCAAACCAUACGUUCCUUGGGUCAGCUGCAAACUCAGCCCAGUACUUUCUCUCGAUUUUUCUCCACUGCGACCCGUCAGCGGGUGCUCUCAACUUCCCGUCUUUCUUACGGUCCUCACUGUGCCAUCGCAUCAACUUGGCAUGCUCUUCGUUUCUGAACAGACGUUUCAACCAUGGUAUUAUAGGAGCAUACCACAUCACCUUCGCAGGAACCCUCUUCCUGGGGGGCUCGCCGUCAACAUCACCAGGGUCAUCUCGUCUGAUCUUAUACCGCAAUGCACCGCAUACCGGGCAUGCGUUCAGAUCCUUGUACGCACCCCGGUAGAGGAUGCAGUCAUUAGGGCAUGCAUGUAUCUUCUGCACCUCCAAUCCUAGAGGGCAUACGACCUUCUUUGCUGUGUAUGUACUGUCGGGCAAUUCGUUAUCCUUUGGAAGCUUCUUCUUCAAUAUUCUCAAUAGCUUCUCAAAUCCUUUGUCAGGCACAACAUUCUCUGCCUUCCACUGCAGCAAUUCCAGUAUGGUACCAAGCUUUGUGUUGCCACUUCGCAAUUGGGUGUGACGCCCCGAUUUGACCGUACACUAAUCAUGCACGCAAAUGUGUACGACCAAGAUCAGGGACUCACGGGAAGAUAUCACAACACAACUCUAAAACAUAAAUAAGUCAUACAAGCAUCAUAAUACAAGCCAGGGGCCUCGAGGGCUCGAAUACAAAUGCUCGAUCACAGACGAGUCAGCGAAAGCAACAAUAUCUGAGUACAGACAUAAGUUAAACAAGUUUGCCUUAAGAAGGCUAGCACAAACUAGGAUACAGAUCGAACGAGGCGCAGGCCUCCUGCCUGGGAUCCUCCUAACUACUCCUGGUCGUCGUCAGCGGCCUGCACGUAGUAGUAGGCACCUCCAGUGUCGUAGGUGUCGUCGUCGACGGUGGCGUCUGGCUCCUGGACUCCAACAUCUGGUUGCGACAACCAGAUAGAAAGGAAAGGGGAAAAAGAGGGAGAGAAGCAACCGUGAGUACUCAUCCAAAGUACUCGCAAGCAAGGAGCUAUACUACAUAUGCAUGGGUAUAUGUGUAAAGGGGCAUAUCAGUGGACUGAACUGCAGAAUGCCAGAAUAAAAGGGGGAUAGCUAGUCCUGUCGAAGACUACGCUUCUGGCCAUCUCCAUCUUACAGCAUGUAGAAGAGAGCAGAUUGAAGUCCUCCAAGUAGCAUCGCAUAGCAUAAUCCUACCCGGCGAUCCCCUCCUCGUCGCCCUGUUAGAGAGCGAUCACCGGGUUGUAUCUGGCACUUGGAAGGGUGUAUUUUAUUCAGUAUCCAGUUCUAGUUGUCAUAAGGUCAAGGUACAACUCCGGGUCGUCCUUUUACCGAGGGACACGGCUAUUCGAAUAGAUAAACUUCCCUGCAGGGGUGCACCACAUAACCCAACACGCUCGAUCCCAUUUGGCCGGACACACUUUUCUGGGUCAUGCCCGGCCUCGUAAGAUCAACGCGUCGCAGCCCCACCUAAGCACAACAGAGCGGUCAGCACACCGGUCUAAUCCUAAGCGCGCAGGGGUCUGGGCCCAUCGCCCUAUGCACACCUGCACGUUGCGAACGCGGCCGCGAGCAGACCUAGCAACCCACACGAUCACGGCGGUUACGUCAAAGCGGUCCAACACGGCGCGCGCCACUCAGUCGCAUACGUCACGAAGGCUUCGGCUGAUACCACGACGCCGGGAUACCCAUAACUACUCCCGUGUAGAUGGCUAGUGCGUAUAGACCAAAUGGCCAGACUCAGAUCAAAUACCAAGAUCUCGUUAAGUGUGUUAAGUAACCGCGAACGCCGACCAGGGCCAGGCCCACCUCUCACCUGGGUGGUCUCAACCUGCCCUGUCGCUCCGCCACAAAGAUCCACUUGCGGGUACUCCUACGAGCCGACCCGACUUUAGUCAUCACAUGUGUCAUGUAAAUAGUAUAUAAGUAUAUACCCGUGAUCACCGCCCAGGUGAUCACGGCCCGAUAGUAUAGCACAGCAGACGGACAAGAAUGUAGGGCCACUGAUGGAAAACUAGCAUCCUAUACUAAGCAUGUAGGAUUGCAGGUAAAGGUAACAACAGUAGUAGCAAGGAUAGGCUAUGCAUCAUGAUAGGAUAUCGAAAAGCAGUAACAUGCUACACUACUCUAAUGCAAGCAGUAUAGAGAAGAUUAGGCGAUAUCUGGUGAUCAAGGGGGGGGCUUGCCUGGUUGCUCUGGCAAGUAGGAGGGGUCGUCAACUCCGUAGUCGAACUGGGCAGCAGCAGGGUCGGUCUCGUAGUCUACCGGAGAGAAGAGGGGGGAAGAAACAGUAAAUAUAAUGCAAACAUAAACAUGACGAUGCGUGACAUGACAAUGAGCGGUGCUAGGUGUGUCCUAACGCGACAGUAGGUGGUACCGGUGAAGGGGGGAACAUCCAGGAAGUAUUCCCGAUGUUUCGCGUUUUCGGACAGACGGACCGGAGGGGGAAAGUUGCUAGUUCGAUAGGUUAGGGAGGUGUGGUGGACGAACGGACUGCGUAUUCGGAUUCGUCUCGUCGUUCUGAGCAACUUUCAUGUAGAAAACAUUUUCAUCCGAGUUACGGUUUAAAAGAUAUGAAUUUUCGAAGAUUAUUUGAAUUUCUGGAAUUAUUUGAAUUUAGAAAAAAUGAAUUAUGACGUCAGCAUGAGGUAAUGCUGACGUCAGCAGGUCAACAUGUCGGCUGACCAGUCAAACCAGACAGGUGGGUCCAGUGGGACCCACAUGUCAUUGACAGGGCACUAACAGAGUUUUAUAAUUAACUUAAACAAGGUUAUUAGCAGGUAGGCCCCACCUGUCAGUGCCUAAUUAGAUUAAUUAAUUAGUUUUAUUUAUAAAAACAUUUUUUUUGUUAAUUAUGCGGCGGGGCCCGCAUGUCAGUGGCUGGGCCUGCCCAGUCAGCAGUUGACUGGGGUCAACCCAGUCAACGGGGCCCACGGGGCCCACUGGCAGUGGCUCUGGGUGGCCCCAAGCCAGCCACGUCGGCGGCCGGCGCCGGAGCGACUCCGGCGACCAAAACAGAGGCGGCCCCUCGCCGGAGUUGGCCGGAAUCGCGCUACGGGGCUCGGGGAGGAGCGGGGCUAGGCUCAUUCGAAGGAGCUCGCAGCGCCGCAUCCAGUGGUGGCCGUAGCUUCGCCGGACUUGGCCGGAAUCGGCGCCGGCGAGCGGCGGAGGCGGCGGCGUGCACGGGUGCCCGACGGAAACGGGGCUACGGCGUGCUAUCGAGCAAGCGGAGGGGCUGGGGAGCAUCUACGCGGUGUGGGGAGUGCAACGGGCUGGAGCCCGUGACCAAAAGGUCACCGGAGCCUUGCCGGCGGCGAGCUCCGCGGCGACGCGUUCGGGCGCAAGCAGAGCGGCGGCUACAAGAGCUCAAGAGGCCAGGAGAGCGAGGGGAGAGGAUGAGGGGCUCACCGCGCGGCGCAAGAAAGGCCCGUGGGUGGCUUAGUAGCAGCAGCAGUCGUCGGAGUCGAAGAAGACGGCGGCGACCCGAGGAAGAAGGCGACGGCGUUGGGGGGUGAUGUAGGGGGGUCCCGGCUCGAGCAGGUGGUCGGGGAGGACGGGCUCGACGCGGCGGAGCUCGUGGACACGUCGGGGAGGGGAACGGGGCUCGGUGGCCGCGUGAACGACGGAGAACGGCGGCGACCGCGCUCGGGCGGUGGGGAAGGCGGGAGCGGCGUGGAUCUGGGGGGAGAGGGAGAGGCGCAGAGGCCAAGAGGGGCAAGUGGGAGGGAUGGGCGGAGGCCGAGGCGUCGGGGCGGCCUUAUCCUCCCCCGUCGCCGGCGAGGUGGUGCGGCGGGGACCUGCCCCUGUUCCGACCCCGGUCGGGGGAACAGGGAAGGGGAGGGCGACCCGGGGAGGUGGGCUAGGCCAGCUGGGCCUGGGGUCGGCCCAGUUGGGCCAGGGUCCAGUGGGGGGGGCUUCUCCUUCUCCUUUUUUUCUUUGUUUGUUCUGUUUUCUUUUGUAUUUUCUUUUUAUUUAUUUAUUUUCUUUUCUGCUUUAUUUCAUUUAAAAGUAUUUAGGCAUUUUAUAAAAAUGUGUUUUCUCCACAAUAAUUAUGAGUGCAAUAUCUGGCAUGGCCCGAACAUUUUUGUUUAAAUUUUUGAAAACUUUUAUUUUCCACUUUAAAUUUAAUUGAAGUUUGAAUUAGGAGUUUGAAAAAAAAUGUGAUUCAAAUGGGAUCAAGCCCUGUUUAGCAACAUGAUUAGCUUAAUCACAGAGAGUUACUGUAGCAUGAUUCUCGGGGUGUUACGAAUCUCCUCCACUACAAGAAAUCUCGUCCCGAGAUUUAGGAGGUAGAAGGAAACAGUGCGGGGUAUUCUUUGCGCAGACGAUCCUCUCGUUCCCAAGUGGCCUCUUCUUCAGAAUGGUGCGACCACUGGACUUUGAGAAACUUGAUCGCCUUCUGACGUGUGCGGCGUUCAGCUUGAUCGAGAAUGCGGACCGGAUGCUCCUUAUAGGAGAGGUCUUGCUGCAAUUCGAGCACUUCAUGAUCCACAGCUCGGAUUGGGUCCUUGAAGCAACGGCGGAGCUGUGACACAUGGAACACAUCAUGAACCUGAGAAAGGUUCGGCGGUAGCUCCAGUUGGUAUGCCACUUUUUCACGCCUUUCGAGAAUAAGGAAUGGGCCAAUAUAUCGAGGAGCUAGUUUGCCCUUGAUUCCGAAGCGGUGAGCACCCUUCAUAGGUGUGACUCGAAGAUAAGCCUUUUCGCCAGGUUGAUAGACCAUGUCUUUAUGAUGACGGUCAUACUGACUCUUCUGACGUGACUGAGCAGUCUUGAGAUUCUCGCGAAUAAUGCGGACUUGUUCUUCGGCAUCUUGGAUAAUAUCCGGACCGAAGAGUGGACGUUCCCCAGUUUCUGACCAGUUCAGAGGGGUUCGGCACUUUCGUCCAUAUAACACUUCGAAGGGGGCCAUCUUCAGACUAGCUUGAUAGCUAUUAUUAUAAGAGAACUCAGCAUACGGGAGAGAUUCCUCCCAUUUCUUGCCGAAGGAAAUAACGCAAGCUCGAAGCAUGUCUUCGAGAACUUGGUUGACGCGUUCAACUUGUCCUUGCGAUUGAGGAUGAAACGCAGUACUGAAUGACAGAUGAGUUCCCAUGGCUUCUUGGAAACUUGCCCAGAAUCUUGAAGUGAAUAAGCUGCCACGGUCUGAACUGAUAACCAAUGGAAUGCCGUGGAGUGAAACAAUCCUGGACAUAUAGAGCGUUGCCAGUUGACUAGCAGUGAUCGUUUCCUUGACCGCCAGGAAAUGUGCAACUUUGGAAAGCCGGUCAAUGACGACAAGAAUAGCAUCAUUACCUUUCUGUGACUUGGGAAAUCCAGUGACGAAGUCCAUCUCAACAUGGUCCCAUUUCCACUCAGGAAUAGAGAUAGGUUGCAGAGUUCCAGCAGGCCUUUGAUGUUCUGCUUUGAUACGACGGCAAACGUCACACUCAGCAACAUAACGAGCAAUGGCUUGCUUCAUAUUAGACCACCAGAAUCUCUGACGGAUGUCUUGGUACAUCUUUGUACUACCAGGAUGGAUACAUAGAGGCGUAUCAUGAGCUUCUUUCAUAACUUCCUGUGUCAUAUCCAGGUUUUUCUCUGCACAUGGCACCACUAGGCGGCCCUUGAAGUAUAAGGUGCCAUCUUCAGCAAUAGUGAAGAAUGAGGGCUUUCCUUCUGCGAGGUAGCGCUUAAUCUUGUGGGCUUCAGAGUCAUACUUCUGUAGCCUUUUGAUGCUGUCCUCGAGAUCUGGUUUAGCAACUAGGGUAUUGAGGGAACCCUGGGUAACAACGUGGAGGUUCACCUUGCCAAACUCCUUAGGAGGGGGAGUGAGUGCACCCGAAGGAACAAUAUGGAGGUUCAGCUUCCUGAAUUCUUCAACAAGCGAGGGCUGAACUUUGUGAACCUGGAGGUGGUUGCAGUAAGACUUGCGGCUCAAGGCAUCAGCCAUUACAUUAGCCUUGCCUGGCGUAUAGGAAAUACCCAAGUCAAAGUCUGCAACAAGCUCCAUCCAUCUCUGCUGACGGAGGUUCAGAUCUGGCUGAGUAAACAAAUACUUCAGACUUUGGUGGUCAGUGAAGAUCUCGCAAUGAUUACCGAGAAGGUAAUGUCGCCACUACUUCAGCGCAUGAAUGACAGCAGCAAGUUCGAGGUCGUGAACUGGGUAGUUCUCUUCGUGAGGGCGCAAUUGCCGAGAGGCAUAAGCAAUCACUUUGCGGUCUUGCAUUAGGACACAGCCUAAUCCUUGACGGGAAGCGUCGCAGUAAAUGACAAAGUCCUUCUUAGUAUCAGGUGGAGCUAGAACUGGAGCAGAAGUCAACUUGUCUUUGAGUGCCUGGAAACUUUCCUGACAUUUGUCUGUCCAUUGGAACUUGACGCCCUUAUGCAACAGGUUAGUCAGAGGCCUGGCGAUCUUGGAGAAGUUCUCGACGAAUCGACGGUAAUAGCUGGCGAGACCGAGAAAACUUCUGACUUGCUUAACGUUCUUGGGAGGAGUCCAAUCAAGAAUAGCCUGAACUCGCUCGGGGUUGACGGCAAUACCAUCCUUAGAGAUGACAUGCCCAAGAUAGGUUACUUCCGGUAGCCAGAAUUCACAUUUGGAGAACUUGGCAUAUAGUUGAUGCUCUCGUAGCUUUUCCAGCACAAGUCGAAGAUGUUCAGCAUGUUCUUCUUCGUUCUUGGAAAAUACCAGGAUAUCAUCCAGAUAAACCACGACGAACUUGUCGAGGUAAUCCAUGAAUAUAUAGUUCAUCAGACGAGAGAAGGUGGCUGGAGCAUUGGUUAAACCGAAAGACAUGACAGUGUACUCGUAUGAACCAUAGCGAGUCACGAAGGCGGUCUUUGGGAUAUCCUCUUCGCGAACACGGAUCUAGUGGUAGCCCAACCUCAAGUCGAGCUUAGAGAACACUGACGAACCCGCCAGUUGAUCAUACAGAUCAUUGAUCCGAGGAAGGGGGUAUUUAUUCUGGAUGGUAGCUUGGUUUAUAGGACGGUAGUCUUGAACUAACCGGUUUGUCCCAUCCUUCUUCUUGACAAAGAGAGAAGGUGCUCCCCAAGGAGAGCAACUUGGGCGAAUGAAUCCUUUGCGAAGAGAUUUGUCGAUUUCCUCCUUAAGCUCAAGAAGUUCAUGCGGCGGCAUCUUGUAGGGUCGCUUGGCUAUAGGAGUGGUGCCUGGUUUCAAGUCGAUGAUGAAUUCGACAGCUCUAGCAGGGGGAAUCCCUGGAAGUUCUUCAGGGAAGACGUCGAGGAAUUCACGCACGACGGGUUCAAUGCCCUCGAGUGGUGCAGCGUUCAAUGCAUUCAAUGCAUAGAGCCUUGCCUCGGCAUUUUGCACCAGAUGGGCUUGGUAAGUAACUAUCUCAUCUGAAGGGUGUAGCAGAUGGACGGUCUUAGUGGUGCAAACGAUUGAAGCAGUAUGCGCUUUUAACUAAUCCAUUCCCAGAAUGAGAUCAAUGCUACAGGACUUCAGUACGAUGGGAGAGACAAGAAAUUCCAGUCCUUCAAUUUCAACAGUAACGUCGUGACUAACCAUAGAGGUUUGACAUUGGCCCGCAGGGGUGUGUACCACUAGCGGAGUGUUUAUCUCUUCGUAAUUAAUGCCAUGCAGGAAUGCAAAUUCUGCUGAUAUGAAUGAAUGGGAUGCUCCUGUAUCAAAUAAAACGGAUGCUGGUACUGAAUUUACGAGGAGUGUACCCAUCACAGUAGCAGGCUGGUCUUGAGCUUCGCUGAGAUCAACGUGGUUGGCAUGAGCACGACCAUAAGACUUAGCAUUGUUGUUGCGGGGCUGGUUGUUACCACGGCCAGCUGCUGGAAGGGCCAGUUGAUUCUGGUUCUGAUAGCAGUUCCUGGCAAAGUGACCCGGUUGACCACACUUGAAGCACAGACCAUUAUCGGAAGUGGGAACAAGAGCCCCAGGUGGGGGAGCUGGUAGCUUUGACUGCCUAGAUGGUGGAGGAGGCAGACGCGAUGCAGCAUAAGAUUUCCUGGGAGCGAGUGCAUUUGGACGGUACAUGCUGUUCGGGAUCCAUAUCUUCCGUUUCUGCGAGGGCGGGCCCGAAGAUGAGCCCGUGUCACAGUUGCGCCUCUGAGAGCUCUGGUAUUCUUGCAGACCAGUAUCGACAUUGAUGGCCUUGUUCACCAAGGUGGCGACGGGGCCCACUGGCAGUGGCUCUGGGGCGGCCCCAGGCCAGCCACGUCGGCGGCCGGCGCCGGAGCGACUCCGGCGACCAAAACAGAGGCGGCCCCUCGCCGGAGUUGGCCGGAAUCGCGCUACGGGGCUCGGGGAGGAGCGGGGCUAGGCUCAUUCGAAGGAGCUCGCAGCGCCGCAUCCAGUGGUGGCCGUAGCUUCGCCGGACUUGGCCGGAAUCGGCGCCGGCGAGCGGCGGAGGCGGCGGCGUGCACGGGUGCCCGACGGAAACGGGGCUACAGCGUGCUAUCGAGCAAGCGGAGGGGCUGGGGAGCAUCUACGCGCUGUGGGGAGUGCAACGGGCUUGAGCCCGUGACCAAAAGGUCACCGGAGCCUUGCCGGCGGCGAGCUCCGCGGCGACGCGUUCGGGCGCAAGCAGAGCGGCGGCUACAAGAGCUCAAGAGGCCAGGAGAGCGAGGGGAGAGGAUGAGGGGCUCACCGCGCGGCGCAAGAAAGGCCCGUGGGUGGCUUAGUAGCAGCAGCAGUCGCCGGAGUCGAAGAAGACGGCGGCGACCCGAGGAAGAAGGCGACGGCGUUGGGGGGUGAUGUAGGGGGGUCCCGGCUCGAGCAGGUGGUCGGGGAGGACGGGCUCGACGCGGCGGNNNNNNNNNNNNNNNNNNNNNNNNNNNNNNNNNNNNNNNNNNNNNNNNNNNNNNNNNNNNNNNNNNNNNNNNNNNNNNNNNNNNNNNNNNNNNNNNNNNNNNNNNNNNNNNNNNNNNNNNNNNNNNNNNNNNNNNNNNNNNNNNNNNNNNNNNNNNNNNNNNNNNNNNNNNNNNNNNNNNNNNNNNNNNNNNNNNNNNNNNNNNNNNNNNNNNNNNNNNNNNNNNNNNNNNNNNNNNNNNNNNNNNNNNNNNNNNNNNNNNNNNNNNNNNNNNNNNNNNNNNNNNNNNNNNNNNNNNNNNNNNNNNNNNNNNNNNNNNNNNNNNNNNNNNNNNNNNNNNNNNNNNNNNNNNNNNNNNNNCCCCCGUCGCCGGCGAGGUGGUGCGGCGGGGACCUGCCCCUGUUCCGACCCCGGUCGGGGGAACAGGGAAGGGGAGGGCGACCCGGGGAGGUGGGCUAGGCCAGCUGGGCCUAGGGUCGGCCCAGUUGGGCCAGGGUGCAGUGGGGGGGGGGCUUCUCCUUCUCCUUUUUUUCUUUGUUUGUUCUGUUUUCUUUUGUAUUUUCUUUUUAUUUAUUUAUUUUCUUUUCUGCUUUAUUUCAUUUAAAAGUAUUUAGGCAUUUUAUAAAAAUGUGUUUUCUCCACAAUAAUUAUGAGUGCAAUAUCUGGCAUGGCCCGAACAUUUUUGUUUAAAUUUUUGAAAACUUUUAUUUUCCACUUUAAAUUUAAUUGAAGUUUGAAUUAGGAGUUUGAAAAGAAAUGUGAUUCAAAUGUGAUCAAGCCCUGUUUAGCAACAUGAUUAGCUUAAUCACAGAGAGUUACUGUAGCAUGAUUCUCGGGGUCUUACAUUGGGGUACAACCCUUUUUUGUGAUCCUCUAACAUGCGAUCGAACUUCAGCUUCUCCUUUUUACUUUCGCAUUGCGUCCUUGCAUCGACAAUGAUCCGGCGGAGAUCAUCAUCAUCGGGCAGUGGUUCCUCUUGAUCUUCAGCAGCUUCCCCCCUUGCAGCAUCAUUGGGCACAUCGUCUGGUUCCUCUUGAUCUUCAGCAGCUUCCCCCGAUGCAGCAUCACCGUAUUCAGGGGGCACAUAGUUGUCAUCGUCCUCUUCUUAUUCGCCGUCUUCCAUCAUAACCCCUAUUUCUCCGUGCCUCGUUCAAACAUUAUAGUGUGGCAUGAAACCCUUGUAAAGCAGGUGGGUGUGAAGGAUUUUUCGGUCAGAGUAAGACUUCGUAUUCCCACAUGUAGGGCAUGGACAACACAUAAAACCAUUCUGCUUGUUUGCCUCAGCCACUUCGAGAAAAUCAUGCACGCCCUUAAUGUACUCGGAGGUGUGUCUGUCACCGUACAUCCAUUGCCGGUUCAUCUGCGUGCAUUAUAUAUAAUUAAGUGUGUCAAAAACCAUUACAGAACAUCAUGAAUAGAUAAUUAAGUGACCAAAUUAAUAUAAGUUCAUCAUCACAUUAAAACCAAAGUCCAUACAUAGUUCUCAUCUAACAACAUAUAUAUAGCUCUCCAGAGCAUCUAAUUAAUUAAACCAUACAUUGAAACUAUGUAAAACAUUUCAAUGCGAAAACAAAUGCGAUCAUAAUCGCAACCAAGGUAACAAUUGAUCCAACGACAUAAUGAUACCAAGCCUCGGUAUGAAUGGCAUAUUUUCUAAUCUUUCUAAUCUUCAAGCGCAUUGCAUCCAUCUUGAUCUUGUGAUCAUCGACGACAUCCGCAACAUGCAACUCCAAUAUCAUCUUCUCCUCCUCAUUUUUUUUAUUUUUUCCUUCAAGUAAUUGUUUUCUUCUUCAACUAAAUUUAACCUCUCGACAAUAGGGUCGGUUGGAAUUUCAGAUUCAACCACCUCCUAGAUAAAUAAAAUCUAUGUCACGUUGGUCGGCAUAUUUGCCAUAAAUAAUAAAUGAACCAAAUAGUUAUAAAAAGAUAAUAUAUACCACAUCCGAAUCAUAGACAGGACGAGGGCCGACGGGGGUGGAUACCAAAACCAUCGCACUAUGUAAUAAGAAGGAAUAAUAAAAGUAACAAAAUUAGACAAGUAUCUAUCUAAAGUAAGAAUUUUUUUCUUUCAGAAAGAAGAUAAGAACAAGAGGCUCACCACGGUGGUGCUGGCGACGAGAUCGGCGUGGGCGAUCGACGGCGGUGAAGACGGGGACGGGACGUGACGGACCGCUAAACCUAGACACAUCUCGGGGAAAAUGGAGCUCGGAGGUCGAGUUUCGAGAGGAGAAAGAUUAACUAGUUUGGCUCAGACAUUUCAUCGAACACCUCAUGUGCUUUCGGGCCUAACCGUUCUCUUUGCCUGUGAGGCCUACUGGGUCUUCUGCGGGCCUGAAUCCUGGCCCAUGGAUGGGUUUCAAGUCGUAUUCAAGCCGUGGUGGCCCAGUAGAUGGCAUAAUUUUUUUCCCUGUUUUUUGUUUUCUCUUUUGCUUUAUUUAUUUUGUUUUGUUUCUACUUACAACAAAAAACUUAUUUAUUUUAUUCCAUUUUGUUUCUAAUUACUUAUAUAUUUUACUUUAUUUAUUUUAUUUUUAUUUAUUUUACUACUGUUAUUUUUAUUUAUUUUAGUACUGCUAUUUUUAUUUAUUUUAUUAAGGUUUAUUUAUUUUAUUUACUAUAGUUUAUUUUAUUUUAUUAAGGUUUAUUUAUUUUUAUUUAUUUUAUUAAGGUUUAUUUAUUUUAGUUACUAUAAAAAAUGAACAUAGAUGCACCUAUAGAGAAAAUUCAACCUAAAUUCAUAAUAAAUUUCUAUGAAAUUCAAAGAAAUUUACUUUGAAUUUAGGUCAAAUUCCCUGUAUAAGGGCAUCUAUUUUCAAUUUGAGAGGAGCUCAACAAGGCAAAGAGGGACGGGCUUAUAAACCGGUGUGAGCGCCCUUCGGUUGGCGAGGUGGGACUAAAGUCUGACCGCUACUAGGACCAACCCUUUAGUCCCGGUUUCUGGUAUGAACCGGGACUAAAGGGUGAGUCUCUGGUCCCGGUUCAAGCCACCAACCGGGACCAAUGGUGGUGGGCCAGGAGCGAGGCCCAUUGGUCCCGGUUUGUCCCCCCAACCGGGACCAAAGGGGCCGGACGAACCGGGACCAAUGCCCCCACGAGGCCCGGCAGGCCCCUGGCCGCACGAACCGGGACCAACGCUCACAUUAGUCCCGGUUCAUGACUGAACCGGAACUAAUGUGAAUAUUGCCCUGUGACCAAAGCCCAGUUUUCUACUAGUGAUGCUAUCUCUGUUUAGGCCUCAAUCUCAUGCUCAUUGCAGAUUAAAAAAUAAAUGGUACGAAAUGAGCACUCUAGCAUGCUCUCUGUUUUGAAGCGGCAGCAAGGAACUGGAAAUACAUUCCUCGGUAGAAACUGCUACACAGCAAGCCAUACUUACAGAUUAAUUGGCCAAGUAUCUCCUCCAGCAGCGUCCUUGUUCACCAUCAAUUCAGGUCAGAUCCCUUCUUUUUAGUUUCACAUUUGCGCUACAUAUACACAUGAUUGAUAACUAACACUGGACAGACAAUUGAUUGAUUCAAAGAAAAGAUAUCAAAAUGCUAGAGGAUACUGACAUCACACACAAUCUGCAAGCAUUUUGUCCUAUUCGAUAGCCCAUCCACAAGUCAAAACCCAGAGCAUAGGAAAUACAUGAAAAUAGCACACAGAUCGGCCAUAGCUCAAAGGCUACUGAUCAGCAAAAGAAAGGUAGCAAAUAUCUAUUCUUAUUGCACCCGGAUCAAACAAGACCAAGAAUAACCUCACGAAGCAGGAAAUAUGAACUUUAAAUGAGAAUCCUAGCAUGGCCAAGAAGCAUAUCCGUUGAAUUACAACUCGAAGAGUAGCAUAACCAUGCUAAUUCAACAGAUUAAACUUAGAAAUUAACAUCAUCUCGGAAUAAACAAGCUAUACCAAGGACCAAAUCAAUUAGCAGCCUUGUUCGUAUCAAAAUUACUCCAUAGCAGUCAACAAAAGCAUGUCAGUUGAUAGACAGUUUCUACUUUUAAACUGAACCCAUGAUGAUACAGUUUCAACUAAACUUAACAUGAAUGCCAAACAAUAACCCUACAAUUAACCAUGGCAUAGCAAUACAUAAUUCUUUGUGUUCCAAGCAAAUGGAAGGUGCGAGACCUUUGUGUUCCAUGACUCUGCAUUGUUUUUGACUCAUGUUAACUUGAGCCUGAUCGGUCAUAGUAGGUUUGCUUUGUUAAUGAACUCCAAGAGACCCAACUGUUUCCAGACUUCACUGACACGCUUGCACCCAAAAGAUUCCGCCUCGUUUUGUUAAUCAACUUGGGGAUGAACCAAGUUGCAGCAACUAUAAACUACCCUAUUCAAAUCUGAGUAUUGCUCCAGUAGCCCAGCCAAUUCCUCCUCUUGGAACGAAGCAUCGACAUUGACUUUCAAGAACCGUGCAUAGGCUUUCUCCAUUUUUGAUCUUAGUUCUUCCUCUUAAUUUUAGUGCUUGUUGCUCGCAUGAAAUUUGUGGGCAAAGCUCUGAUAGAAGUAGUUGUUCUUUGGGUUGGCCGAACGGUCUCGCCCUUUGUCAAUUGAUGAUGUUGCCCCUAAACAUACCAAGAAGCAACAACUAUAAGCUCAGGGAAACUAGGCAGAGCUGCGCUGCCUAGUAUGAUUUGCAUGGAGUGUUGUGCUGCAGCUAUUACGGUUGCUGUUUUUCUUUUUCUUUUUUUCUUUGAUCUUUCGGAUCCUCUGGUGGUCCUAGGACCUUCACCACCUUGGUAUUUUCCGUUGCUUUCUGCUAUUAUCUAUGAAUGCGAGCGAUGCUAGAUCUAAAAAAAAUAUAAGCUCUGGGAUAGCAGUUGACUCAUGACUGAGCCUGAUCGGUCAUAGCAGGAUGCUUUGUUAAUGAGCUCCAAGAGACCGAGCUGCUUCCAGACUUCGCUGGCACGCUUGCACCCAAAGAUUCCGCCUCGUUUUAAUAAAAAUAAGAAAAUUGCCUUUUUUUUCGCGUUCCCUCGUUUCAAUAAAAUAAGCGAAAACGACCCCAUAAAAAAGCAGCGAGGCCCCGCUCCACUGCUGGCAUUCCGCUCACUCACCUUUUGCAGAAAACCCACCGAGUUCUCCGAAGCAUCCCAUUUCCGCCCCCCUCGCUGCCCCCCUUCCCAAUCUCCACACCGCACCGCUCCGCGAGCGGCGGCACGCGCGCGCCAGAUCGCCCGCCCGCUCGCCGCCGCACCGGCGCAGGUCCGCCGCGGCCCCGGCUGCCGCCAUUGCGCGGGGGUGGCCGAACCGACCGCACCCCACCCCGCCCCCUGAAGGACGCGAGGCGCCGCACCCACCGCGCGCGCGGGGGAGGACGCCGCCGCGGCGCGCACGGCGAUGAUGAUCAGCAGGCAGCUCCUGCUCACCUACCUCUACCUGCUCAUCUACAUCUGCCUCUCGUCGGGGGUCAUCCUCUUCAACAAGGUACGUCCUCCCUCCCCCUCCCCAGCGCCGGCUUCACCGCUCGGAAACCCCUGUGUGUGCCCAGUCCCACUGUGCGGCGGAGUGGAGCAAGUGACGACGUCAUGAUGAACUACCAUUCGUCCUGCUCACGAUGUCGUUCGCAUGGUAGUAGUAUUUUAUUUCCCGUCGACGGUUUCAGGUGUAGUGUGGAUUAAGUUUAGUACGUACUAGCUCCAGUGUGAAUGCCUGCUACCUUGAUUGCCCGCACUUGCUGAUUUGGUGCGCGGUCUGUUACAAUGCCACUUAUGCUCUGUAAACUGUAGGGGUUUCUGUGGUUGGUAGGUGGAUCAAGGUUUUGCUGCAUCACGCUUUCAGUAAUCUGUAGCAUAAUGUAGCUCCAUGGGUAACCAAUUUGAGGGAUGCUGUAUUCGCAUGCUAGUGCAGAUCCAAACUCCAAAGCAUUGUGUUCUUUAACCCCUUUUUUUUUUUUGGUAUUAUGUGCUUUCUUAUGUAUAUGUGACUUUGAUUAUGAUGUAUGUAUGUUUUUCUAAAAAAUAUCUUGUUUAUUUUUACAGUGGGUGCUAUCUCCCAAGUACUUCAAAUUCCCCUUUCCUAUCACUCUCACAAUGAUUCACAUGUCAUUUUCCGGAGUCGUGGCAUUCUUCCUAGUCCGUGUUUUCAAGGUAUGCUUCUCCAUGCCACUUCCCUGUUAGAGCCUUCGAUUAUCCUUGUAUAAUACUAUCACAUCUCUUAUUUAGCGAAUAAUGGUGGGCCUGCUUCAACAGAACGACUUGUAAAUCAAUAAUAUUCUCACAUAUGCAAAGCUUGGGCUACUAGCUUUAAUUGAAUCGUUAAUUUUUCUAGUGAUGUAAUUUGGUUUUUCCUAGAUGAGCUAAUGGAGUCACUUGUAUUUUGGUUAUCCAGGUUGUUGCACCUGUCAAGAUGACUUUCCAAAUGUAAGAGCAUUCAUUUUUGUUCCUUCAUUGCAUAAAGCUGAGCAUUCAUUUUUCUUCCUUCAUUGUAUAAAGCUGAGCAUUCAUUUUUCUUCCUUCAUUGAUAAAGCUGAGCAAUCAUUUUUCUUCCUUCAUCAUAUAAAGCUGAUGAUUCUUUUUUGUUCCUUCAUUGUAUAAAGCUGAAUAUUAGUAAUUUGUGUCCUCCCUGAUGCAGAUAUGCCACAUCUGUAAUUCCCAUUAGUGCCUUCUUUGCGUCAAGUCUUUGGUAAGCUAAUUGAAGACAAUAUGAAAUUCUAUUCCAUCUCUUUUUAUUUCUCUAGGCUUCUUUACAAUAUCCCUACAUGCAAAGGCAAGCCUAUGCAGGCAUGUAGUAUGUGAAUGCAUAUAUGCCUAAAAUGGUGAAGCAUCUUAAACUAAUUUUGACUAUUAAUAUUGCACAAAUGCAUACUUGCAACAUUGGUGUUUGUAUCAACCGAAUUGUUUGCCUUGAAAUGAUUAUGUGUUUGUGUUGAAGUUGUUUGCACACCUAGCAGGUGCUGCGAUGUUCUUUGUGUUGGACUGUCUUAUUGCCCUAUUUGCCUGAUAUACCUGUUGCUUGGAAUUGGAUGAUGCAACUUCCUUAUUAUGUGAAAUUGCUUAAUGCAAUAGCAAUCUUAGUUGACAUGGGUUGCUGUAUGGACAAAGGAGUGCUUUCUACACAGGCUUUAAGCCUUUGACUUAAUUCUAUACCAAUUAUAACUUAGUUAAUUUACUAGUUUCCAUUCUCAAGCUCCAUAUAGUACUUAUUAUCCACUGAAUGGCAGUUUGUUACUUUUCUUUAGAGUUGUCUUAACUCAGGUUUCGCAGCAUGACUCUCCCUCACAUACUAUUCAUGCGAAACUUUAUUGAUUUUUGUUUUUGUUUUACAGGUUCGGAAAUACAGCAUACCUAUACAUUUCAGUGGCCUUCAUUCAAAUGCUCAAGGCUUUGAGUGAGUUUACUGCGCACCUUCCUUAUAUUAUUGUUAUGAUAUGGUACUGAUUUGAAUUAAUUCGAAUUGCAGUGCCUGUGGCAACAUUUAUAAUGGCCGUUCUAUGUGGUACUGACAAAUUAAGGCGGGACCUUUUCUUGAACAUGGUGCUGGUCAGUGUUGGUGUUGUAGUUUCAUCAUAUGGGGAGAUUCAUUUUAAUGUGAUAGGAACAUUAUACCAAGUAACUGGCAUUGUUGCGGAAGCCCUCAGGCUGGUCCUGACACAGGUCCUCCUCCAAAAAAAGGGAUUAACCCUGAAUCCUAUUACAAGCCUGUAUUACAUAGCGCCUUGCAGGUACCGGAUACUUUAUCUAAAAUUCUGAAUACUUGCUUGCUUAUUAUAUUCUCUCUUGAAGAAUCCUUGUACAAAAAUAUGUGAAUUAUCAUUUCUAUGUAACAGGAUACUUGAAAAAAUGAUGACUGGCAUUUUCGUAAAUUCUUUUGAGUGAUACUAACGAGCCAGUGACUUAAAAUGCUCUUAAUGCUUGAUAGAUGAUUGGAUAGGGAUGCCGACUUAAGGAAUAGAGAUGACAACUUGACAUGAGAUUGAGGCCACACAACUAUGUUUGUAAUAUGUGUGUAAAAAUAAACUAGAACACUCUAUUGUUAUUGGUUUUAGUAUGGAUAUGAACCGAAUCAGUAGUUCCCAAAAGGCAUAUCAAAAAACAUAUAUAAUCCUAUUAGGCGUAUGUUCAAACUCUGUAAUCAUGUAAUGUUUCUGGUAGAUGUACAUAUGCAUUAUGCAACAAGCCCAUUUAUGGUAGGUUUAUCUGUUCAUGACAACUUUCGCUAGGACUUUUUUAUAUGAUGCUAGGACUCUUAUAUGAGGUUGUUACUAACAAACAUCUGCUGGCUACUUUUCUCCAGGACUCAGUUCAAAUGAGCUGUCAAAAUUAAUUAACUUGCUAUAUUUGAUUGGUCAUAUUACUGAAGUCUUCAUGUUCUAUGGUGAAUUUAGGUUCAUAACAAUUAACAUAUGUUGCCUAUAUGUUAACCAAAGAAUCAUAUGCAUAUAUUGAAGGGCUUAAGUUAUAUUGGAUGACUAUUUUACUCGUUACUUGGAGUAUUUGAUCCCGAGCUCAUAUGCUCCCGCAUGAACAGUAAAAUCCAAAAAAAUAGUAAAAAAAAUUCAAAAAAAUCUGAAUUUUUUUUGUGAUGAACAUUGAUAAAUUUUCUAACUGCAUGCAAAAUUUCAGGUCAAAAUGACAUUCGUGGAAGUCUGGGCAAAAAAAAUAAAAUCGAUGGUCCAAAAAAACUAUUGUUGGAAGCAUUUUGGAGCAUCGAUUUUGUUAUUUUUGCCCAGACCUCCACGAAUGUCAUUUCGAACUGAAAUUUUGUGUGCAGUUAGAUCAUUCAUCAAUGUUUAUCACAAAAAAAAAAUAGAUUUUUUUGAAUUUUUUACUAUUUUUUUCGAUUUUGCUGUUCAUGCGGGAGCAUAUGAGCUCGGGAUCAAAAGAGCACUUUCGUUACUAAGUGCUCUACUUACAAUGUUCAGUACUAGAUUAAUAUCCAUGAGAUUAUUGUCAAAUGUACUUUACAAGGAAUAUUUGGUUUUUAAGCAUGAACCAUAAAUUCUGUUUAGCCAUCUACAACCCGUUGGCUGUUGCUUAGCAUGGCAUUUUAGUCUAGUUGAGUGUCGAGUCAAAUUUGUCGUAAGCCUAGUUAGCUGAAAUCCUAUACUUUGUGAAGUACAUAUGCAUCUAGAAACAUUUGACUUCUCAUGAUUGUUAUGACUUAUGAGUGUCAUUCCUUUUCAUGCUUUAGAAUAUCAUUUGCUCAUAAUGAUUUAAUUAAGUAUGAACGCUCUCAGUUUAUUCCAGAAGAGCUUCUUUGUAUUACUAGAAACCAAACCAUAUGCACUUUUCCAUAAGCUAUAUAUGUUGUGUAAAACAAGCAGAGUUUGCCAAUACUAAUGACUAGCUCAAUGCUGUUUCUUUUUAAAACAUGCUGUGAGCAUAUCUUUCGUUGACAUUCCUUUGCAGCCUUUAUCAUUUCCAUUUGAGGUCAUUAUGCAACUUGUUCUGUAAUAUAACUAAAUAUUGCAUGUUCUGUAUGUCUCCAGAAUGCUUUAGUCUUCCACAUUUAUUUUAGAUGCAAUUUAUCUAAUGUAUUAUUCUUUCAUGCAGUUUCAUCUUCCUAUUUGGUCCAUGGUAUUUACUGGAAAAGCCAGAAAUGGACAUCUCUCCAAUUCAGUUCAAUUAUUGGAUAUUUUUCUCGAAUGCACUUGCUGCAUUUGCAUUAAACAUAUCCAUAUUCCUAGUUAUUGGAAGAACAGGAGCAGUCACUGUCAGAGUUGCAGGAGUUCUAAAGGACUGGAUACUUAUUGCCCUCUCGACCAUUAUCUUUCCUGAAUCUACUAUUACAAGCCUCAACAUAAUUGGAUAUGCCGUUGGUAAUUAUCAUGCAUUCAGUUUCCGUCCAGAUAUAAUUUGCAAAUGGAUCUUGUAAUAAUAAGUUGGUAUGCCUGUUUUGAAUAUAUAUUUUGCGAACAAACUCUUAACUUGUAGUAAUUUAAUGUGUAGCGCUCUCUGGCGUUGUCAUGUACAAUUAUUUGAAGAUGAAAGAUGUGACAGCAAUUCAACUUCCAAUUGAUAACACUGCUGAUAGAGCUACCAAGGUUAGUGUACAUAUCACACUGUAGUUUCAAUAUUUAAUUUUCUUUAGCUUUUUUAGGUCGUCCAUCGUACAAUGUCAUCAAGAGAAGCCUUUGAUGUAUCACUACUUCAGAGGGCAUUAUCGUUGCAUUUUUCAUAUUUUUUUUCCAUAUUCUUUCCUUCUCCCUAUUUUAUUCGUUGUUGCGUAUGACACCUCUAGUACAAAAAUUCAAUUGUUUUGCCCUGCCGAUGUGUAUCGUGUUGUCAGACAGGACAUAUGAGGUUGUGGACCAGAGAUGACUAUUCUUAUUCCUAUGUUUUCUCACCAUUUAGUACAUGCCAUUUUUAUCUCCUAUUUCUUGAGCUUAUCCUUGUUCUAUCAUCUAACAAACUUUUACAAUCAUCUGUGCACCUGGCAGCGACCAUCUUAGUGUCAGACACGCCUGGCAUGCUGUUUCUUCGCUUAGCUUCCACUAAAGUUGAUAGAACAUAUGGUUCCAAUUUGUAGCGUAUGCCACUCCGGUUCUCAUCUGGUCACAAACAUCUUAUUAAUCCACGGAUACUAGUUUUAGAGUUUGUCUCUCGGGGAUGUCAAGUUGCAUUAUAUAAGUGUUCUGCUGCCAUUCCGGUCACGAAAUGGCUGCUUUCAGUUUCUGAUACGUUCCUUUUCCUCUUUCAGGAAAAGAAGGUUGUCAACAUAUACAAACCCGACAGUUCCAUUGACAGUAUUGAUGAAACUGUUGUUGGAGGUGUGGCAGUUGGAAGUCUGGCAACAGAAGCUGCAGCUGUUGACGAGGAAGCCCCAUUGAUCCCUUCAUCACGCAUCUCCCAUGUAACCCGGACACAAACAGGCGGUCUCAGUAGCAGAUGACCACGGUUUUCUAAAGUUUUGAGUCAGGUUGAGGUAGCAAACUUCAUCCUAUAUCUUCCUCCUGGAUAGUCCGAGAACUACGAGAAGACCCUCUUUGGAAGCUUUGCCGAUCGAUUGGUCUUGCACGUUCCUUUUCUCCACGACAUGUUUGCCUGGAUGUCUUGCUAGUUGGCGCUGAAAGCUGUUUCAGGAGACACCUGGAGGUGAAUUAGAGAAAGUAGCAGUGAUAGAAUGAUUCAUUACUUGUUAUCUGUACCUGCGUAUUUUGAGAAUUUUUUGCCGGUAGUCCAUGUUAGAUAUACGACAUUUCUUAACCCAGCGUAUGGAAAUGCUGUCGGAUCAUAGAUGGUGUAAGGCAUCUUUGUAGAUGCUAAAUCUAAUAGCAGAGGUUCCAUUCCGUCAGUCGAUGUGUGCUGUUCUUGUUGCCUUCAGCAUGAGUACCAAAUGUGGAUUUUAGCUGGAUAAUAUGAUCUAUUGAUCUGAUAUUAUACAUGGUAAUGGCAGGAACUUUUCCAGUGAACUGGUAUGUAAGCACCAAAUGCAUGAGCCCUUUCUGUUGGAUACUGUACGUGCAAGCGCAGUUAUGUUUUUCUCAAGUUUUGUCUUAGUCUGAGCAUGUAAAAAUGUAGGGAAAACUAUAAUGCAAGUUUUUUUGGUUGAAAGACUAUGAUGCAAGUUUUUUUUUUUGAAAAACUAUAAUGCUAGUUUUUUUACAAAGCGCCUCAAACAUAACAAAAGUUACAUCGAGGUCUAUGAAUCGCCGUUGUCGCCGCUCUCAUACUAAGAGUCGCCCUAACCUUGUCGACGAUAGUAGGGAAGUCUUCAUGCACUUGCUCCUAAUGACCAACGCUUUAGAACCACAGUCAUUGUCAUUGAAUCAUUGAAUCGAUCCGAAAAAUCUGACACCAAAUCUCGCCGUUGCCUACGCACGGUGAGAAACCCUAACCUCGCCGCCCCAAAGAGUCGGCAGGAAUCGUUAACCCACAGUUUGCAAUCGGGGUCACUUUUAACGGUAAGGUGGUUUUGAUCUGUUUAAGUAAUCUAGCUUUCUCAAAUCAUACCUUAAUUAUAUUCUCAAGGCCAUAUUUUAUGCAAAGUGGAUAAUACUUGGAUACAAAUACGACUACACCAGUAACAUUUUUUUAUUCCAUCCCAUUCCAUAUAGAUACACAUUGUAACGAGUAAACAACAUUGAGUCAUUUGACUCGUAGCAACUCUAGCCAUAGCCCCAAAAAUUCUCUCCUCCACCCUCAACACUAUUUGGGGGGAGGGAGGCUCCCAAAAUAGUGUCUACUUUUUUUAGUGGCAUUACAAUGAUAUCCUCCAAAACCUCCCCCCUUCCCACAUUUAUUCUUCUUCCAUUUUCACAUGAAAAGACAAAAUAAGAACUCAUUGAUGGUGAACCAUGACAAGCGAUGGCGGGAGGUGGCAGACAGCGACAAGAAACGGCGGUUGUCGGUGGACAACGGUCGACAAUAACAUAUAUCGGCCAAUAGGAUUCAUGAAGGAAUGGAGAGCCGUUAUAGUUGCCCCCUACACAUUUGGGAGAAAGACGGUGUGGAUGGAGGGACCCCAAGAUGAAACAGGAGUUGGAGUAGGGUUUUAGCUUAUAAACGAGAGAGGUGAAAGGAAGAAUGGCGACGCAAGGUUUGCCCUGCUCCAGCGAGGGAGGAGCGAUGACGGCGGCGCGUCUUCGGUUCGCUUCAGUGCUUGUAGUCGUCGCUAGGUGGUCUACGGAUCUGGAUGUAAUUUUUAUUAUUUCUCGAAUUCGUUGUACUACCAUGUUUGAAGAUGAAUAGAUUGAGUUUGCAAAAAAAAUAAAAUAGAUUGAAAGUUUUUCGAAAAAAAAACGAGAGAGGUGAAAGGAAGAAUGGCGACCCAAUCUUUUUUUGAGUAACGAAUGGCUACACAAUUUGUAGUUGCUCUCACCGGUGUCGCCUGACCCGAGCCCCUCUCCCCGAGCCCGGCCCGGCCUGGCCCGGUCUGCUACUGUGUCCCUGGCCCUACCCAAAGCUCCAAUCCGACCCGACCCAGCGCUCUAAAAUCCGUCCUGGAGUCCAUCGCCGCUGUACUGUGCCGUGGCUUUAGCGUCAACGCCGACGCCCCCCUUCCCACACACAGCCCCCUCCGCCCGCCGCCGCCACCGCCGCCGUCGCCGUCCCACCUCGUCGCCUCCGCCCCGUUCGCAACCCCCGACAUCUGCUCCUGAGGUAUGCCGUCCAGUCAUCCACCCACGGUCGGAUUACUUGAACCCAAAAACCUGGACUUAGAUUUGGGGCGCGGCGGCGUGCGCCGCUCGCCGCCACGCCGCCUAGAACCCUAGAUCCGCUCCCCUGCAGCCGGGUCCGGGCUUAGAUUCGGCCAGGCUUCCGUUUCGCCGCGGCGUUGUUCUUAGCUCUACCGCGCUUAGAGAUCUGGUCGGAUUAGUUGCUUAUUAGGGUUUUUGUUUCUUGCGUUUCUGCCGCUGCGGAUUGGCGGCGACCGUCAUCUUGUGCCUCGUCUCCCUUUGCAUACGCAUAUUCUCAUCGGUUUGUGCCUCAUCGGUUCAAAUAUUUACAUUGCUGAAGUAUUAUUUUUCCCGGACGCUGGCUAGAUUUGAGGCUAUGUUCGAUGAGAAGCACCACUUCUAGAUUAAAAUUGACUCACAGUGGUACAGCUCUAUGUCUAUGUUGCUAUAUUUACAUUGCUUAAGUAUUAUUUUGCCUGGAUGCUGGCUAGAUUUGAGGCUAUGUUCGAUGAGAAGCACCACUUCUAGAUUAGAAUUGACUCACAGUGGUAUAGUUCCAUGUCUAUGUUGGAGGCUUGGUCUAUCGUAUUUCCUAUGCUUGAGCACACACUAUUCGUUAGUGCUGUGUAGUAGUAAGAAGUAGCCUGCAGUUCUAGAUCUUCUGGAUCUUGAGCUGUUUGGAGGUUUUUCGAAGCCGAACGUUGCAUGGUGGUGUGCAUGUGAUUGCCACGUAGCGUAUGUUUAGAAUCAAUUCUGAGGACCUUGAAGGCCAUGCGCUUCCUGCUUUUUGUAAGUUGUAACGUUUCUCACUUGAGAUACGCAGAGCUCGCUUUGUUUUUUUUUGUUCGAAAGAAAUUAUCACGUGAUUCCUGGGUUAUUUCCGAAUCGGUCAACUCAUACAUGGUAUUUUUACCGUUGCUGGCAUUGGCUAUUAAAUUGUAGAGCUUAUGUGGUUAUCCACUUCGCUACCUGCCAUUUUUUUCAGGUAACGUAGAUCGCAUGUUGGAUUUAAUUCUUUCAGUGUUUAAGUAAAGUGACUGUGCAGCUACUGGAAUAGGUUGACAUACGUUGUCGUAUUGCAUUGAAUGCCUCGCUUUCACGUGAUUCCUGGGUUAUUUCCGAAUCGGUCGACUCAUACAUGGUAUUUUUACCGUUGCUGGCAUUUUCGAUUAAAUUGUAGAGCUUAUGUGGUUAUCCACUUCGCUACCUGCCAUUUUUUUUCAGUUAAUGCAGAUCGCAUGUUUUCUUUCAGUGUUUAAGUAAAGUGACUGUGCAGCUACUGGAAUAGGUUGACUUACAUUGUCGUAUUCCAUUGAAUGCCUCGCUUUUUUUUUUCCAUGCAAAAUCUGAAGUCAAGACUCCAUCACUUACAUCACUCUGUUCGUUUCUUACACUUGGUAGCUUCUGUAUUCUGCAGGUGAACUGAGCACCCAACUUUUGUCAAGAUGUCUGAUAGUCAUGAAACCGACAAGAAUAUUGAGAUGUGGAAGAUCAAGAAGCUGAUCAAGGGACUCGAGUCUGCUAGAGGCAAUGGCACAAGCAUGAUCUCUCUGAUUAUGCCUCCACGUGAUCAAGUCUCGCGUGUGACAAAGAUGUUGGGUGAUGAAUAUGGUACUGCUUCAAACAUAAAGAGUAGAGUCAAUCGUCAAUCUGUUUUGGGAGCCAUCACCUCAGCUCAGCAGAGGCUGAAGCUGUAUAACAGGGUUCCCCCAAAUGGACUAGUUCUUUACACUGGAACAAUUGUUACUGACGAUGGCAAGGAAAAGAAGGUCACAAUUGAUUUUGAGCCAUUCAAGCCCAUCAAUGCGUCCUUGUACCUUUGUGACAACAAAUUCCACACUGAAGCCUUGAGUGAGCUCUUGGAAUCCGAUGACAAGUUUGGCUUCAUCAUUAUGGAUGGUAAUGGAACUCUUUUUGGCACACUUAGUGGCAAUACUCGUGAAGUGCUUCACAAAUUCAGUGUGGAUCUCCCCAAGAAGCAUGGAAGAGGAGGGCAAUCUGCUCUGCGUUUUGCUCGCCUUCGGAUGGAGAAGCGUCACAAUUAUGUUCGGAAAACAGCUGAACUUGCUACUCAGUUCUUCAUCAACCCAGCUACCAGCCAGCCUAAUGUUGCGGGACUAAUAUUGGCUGGUUCUGCUGAUUUUAAAACAGAACUGAGCCAAUCUGACAUGUUUGAUCAGCGCCUUCAGUGCAAAAUACUUAAUGUGGUUGAUGUUUCUUAUGGUGGCGAGAGCGGUUUCAACCAGGCCAUUGAGUUAUCAGCUGAAAUUCUAGCAAAUGUGAAGUUCAUACAAGAGAAGAAGUUGAUCGGGAAGUACUUUGAAGAGAUUAGUCAGGAUACUGGGAAGUAUGUCUUUGGAGUUGAUGACACCCUGAAGGCUCUUGAAAUGGGUGCUGUUGAAACUUUGAUGGUGUGGGAAAACCUUGAUGUCAAUCGGUUUGUGCUUAAGCACAGUGCAACUGGAGAAAUUAUCAUAAAGCAUCUGAACAAAGAAGGUGAAGCCGACCAGAGCAACUUCCGUGAUCCAUCUACCAAUGCUGAGUUAGAAGUCCAGGAGAAGACCUCACUUUUGGAAUGGUUUGCUAAUGAAUACAAAAAGUUUGGCUGCACCCUUGAAUUUGUUACCAAUAAGUCUCAAGAGGGCUCACAGUUCUGUAGAGGAUUUGGUGGCAUUGGCGGUAUCCUCCGCUAUCAGCUGGACAUUCGCUCCUUUGAUGAUCUUGAUGACGACGAGGGUGUCUAUGAAGACUCUGAUUAGCAACCAAUCAAUCACAUGCCUGAGGCAGUCGCGGUUAAAUCUGAAUUUGGCGUGACUAUUUGCUCCGGGGCACCUCAAAGAAGCUGUGAGUUUCGUAUCAUAUGCAAUUAGCUUGUAGUAAUUCCAUUGUCAUUUGCAUGAUUUCUGAAGCUCUCCUGUUCUAUUUUCAGAUCCAUUGAAUGAUGGGCGCGGGUCAGCUACAUAUUAUGCUUUAGAAGUCUGAGACGAUACAACCGCAAUUCCUCUAUCAAACGACGUCGAGAUGUUAUCCUAAAUCGCAAUGAUGACUCGUGUACUGAACCUUGUUUUUUCCCCAGGAACUCCUGCGUCGCUGUUGUCUGAACUGACUCUGUGUCUAUGGUUCAAUUUAGCAACUUGUCUGCCCUAAUGGUAGAACAUGGCAAAUGUCUGCCUGAAUUUGAGUUGUUGUAAGCUACCUAUUGUUGUUGUCAUGCGGGAAAGGUUGAAUUGGGAUUCAUUCAAGUGUGUCUUUUAACUUCCGGUCUGUUACCUCCGCCCCAAAUUAGAUUUAUCUAGGUAUGGAUGUAUAUCUGUCUGGACAAAUCUAAGUCAUCUCAUUCGAGACGCUAAGUUAUUUGUCUUAGAUUUAUCUAGGUAUGGACAAAUCUAAGUCAUCUCAUUCGAGACGGAGGGAGUAUUUAUCAUCUGCAUCUGCAGUAUAAAGAGCACCAAAAGCUUCAUCUGCAUCUGCAGCACCAGAAGCAGCUGACCGGCUGAAACUUCGGCCGGGCGGCCGCGUGAGACUCGUUCGAUCGUAUCACUUGUUUGCUAAAGCGCAUCGUCUCCUACCUUUGAAAGCGCUCCUGCAAGACGCCCCAUUGCGCUUUUUUUUUCUCCUUUCGAUCUCCACACCGUGGUGCACAGAUGCUCCUGCAACAGAGGUGCCGGGACUUUGUGCCGACAAGUCUCUGCAUGGAUGACCACGGCGAAGGUUGCAACACCGGCGAGUGGACUUGCUGCAACCGGCCGAAGCCAGAGCUGGAACCACAGUUGGUUUUUGCUGCAAAUAAGCAAGUUGAAACCACACUUGGUUUUUGCUACGACCGCAUCACCUUUUCUGCUAUCAGAAAGCUGCAAACCACACUAUGAAAAAGCUAUGACUGACAAGAACAAAAGCGACGACCGUCAGACUGACUGUUGCAACCAACAACGGCGAACUUGUGGCCGGCAACGGCGCACGGCUGCAACCUACGAAGGAGCCGCAACUGGCAUCCAAUUUUGCUAAACUUGUGUCGUGCUGUGUUACCACCGGUGUUGAGUUUUGCUACAACCAGUGUCGACGGUUGGAAAAAAGCUUCAACCGGCGUGAGAAAAAGCUUCAACCUGGUGUGGACGAUGAUGCUGAGAGCUGUGGCCAGGGGCACCGUGGUGUUGCGACGGACGUCCUACGACGGCGACGACUAGGUGUUGCAUCGACAGAGACGUUGGGCAUGCUACAAGACGGCNNNNNNNNNNNNNNNNNNNNNNNNNNNNNNNNNNNNNNNNNNNNNNNNNNNNNNNNNNNNNNNNNNNNNNNNNNNNNNNNNNNNNNNNNNNNNNNNNNNNNNNNNNNNNNNNNNNNNNNNNNNNNNNNNNNNNNNNNNNNNNNNNNNNNNNNNNNNNNNNNNNNNNNNNNNNNNNNNNNNNNNNNNNNNNNNNNNNNNNNNNNNNNNNNNNNNNNNNNNNNNNNNNNNNNNNNNNNNNNNNNNNNNNNNNNNNNNNNNNNNNNNNNNNNNNNNNNNNNNNNNNNNNNNNNNNNNNNNNNNNNNNNNNNGCCGCCGAGCUGGCUGGCAUCUCGGAGGAUCACGACAUGGACGCGGUGGGCAGGUGCCAUGGCUUUCCUUUCUGUUUUUUGAACGAAGCAGAUGGAAGAGAGAGAAUAUCGUGCGGCUAUAACUAGUAACUAGGCAGAUUGUACGUGUGCGGUGCGAUCGUCCAAAAUUUGACCGGCCAACUUGCGCCUAUCACUGGCCUAACAAUAAUUACAUGGAGGUCGACCAACUAGUGACGACUACAAGCAUUGCGUAAAAAUGAAGACUGGAUCCAAGCAGAUCCAUUGAAGUUCAACAUGGGUCGAGAUCUGCUAGAGACACAUCUUCACACGUCUUCCAACGACUCUAGACCUUAUUCAACCUUACCAAGAAAAGGCCUUCACCCCGCUUUAUAUAUAAAACAACAACCAACUUGCAACGAGUGAUACAACACCACACGCACCCAAGGCAAGAUACAAAGAUGCUAAGAAGCAGCUAACACUCCCACAACAAGUCCAAGUAAACAACAUAUACACACUAAGCCUCACUAGGAAAUCGAGGGAGCACUCAAGCGGGAACAAGCCACCGAGAAGAGACCAAGCCGCACGUCGUCGAUCUAUGAGGCCCAAGGCGAUGAUUUCAAGAAGAUUACGCCACCGGAGUACCGCCACCACCCGAUCCGGAGGAUCACAAUUUUCAUCCGGGGCACCUUGGAGGAUAUGGAGUAACCACGACGGAGCCUUCAAGAAGAUAACGAUGUCCACGGACGACACCUCCGUCGGCCCGAGAAAGCCAGGCAGGGUAUUCACCCCGGUAAACACACUCCAACUCUGAAUAGGUUGCGGCCAGUCCCGGGGACAAAUGCCACAUCACAGCCACCGAUCGACAAGCACCAACCGCCAUGCCGCCCACACGGCCAUAGAGACUAGCCUGCACCUGAGCCGCGAGCUCCGCCCACGAGCACGCCGCUCCCGCCACCAAGGCCGUCGCCCUGCAUCCCGACGCUCUAGAAACCAACAAAGGAACGGACUUGGAACCGACCGGCAAAACCCAAGCAUCAGCAGAGCCGCCGGUGACCAGACUGCCCCGAACAACUCAAUCUGGAGCUCGGAGGCGCUAGGCAGGGGAAACGAGGAGAGGAGAGGAGCAUGUCCGGACCGACGCCCGCCGCGUCGGUGACGGGUAGAGAGACCACUCAUCCCUCCUGCAACCUCCCCACACGUCACCCCUGACGCCCCAUCACGGCCUCCAGCCAGCUCCAAGCGGGGCAAUAGCAGCCACCCUUCCAUCGGCAAGGGAUGUCGGCUUGUCCGCAUCCUGCCGCCAAAGAGGGCCACAUAGAGCCCAUCCACCGAGGGGCCACCGCACCCCUGCAGCAGCCCACCGCGCACUGCCGCGGUCCACUCCCAGCGCCACGACCACGCCAGGUCGUGGCCAGCCACCCCGCGCCGCCUGUCGAGGGAGAGCCACCCGAUCUCGAUUUGAGCACGCGCUGCCUCCGCCACCGCGAGCACAUCCCCGCCGGCCACACCACGCGGCCCUCCACGCCGGGGCAACAACCACCAGCGCUAUCGUGCCCCGAAACGACGUGGUCGUCCCGCGCUGCCCACCACCGCUCAGAUAGGAGAGGAGGCCCCGCCGCCGCCUCUGCCGGCUGGGCUUUGCCCGCCAGCGAGCUCCCGCGGCGACUAGGGUUUACCUGAAGGAAAUAUGCCCUAGAGGCAAUAAUAAAGUUAUUAUUUAUUUCCUUAUAUCAUGAUAAAUGUUUAUUAUUCAUGCUAGAAUUGUAUUAACCGGAAACAUAAUACUUGUGUGAAUACAUAGACAAACAGAGUGUCACUAGUAUGCCUCUACUUGACUAGCUCGUUGAUCAAAGAUGGUUAUGUUUCCCAGCCAUUGACAUGAGUUGUCAUUUGAUUAACGGGAUCACAUCAUUAGAAGAAUGAUGUGAUUGACUUGACCCAUUCCAUUAGCUUAGCACAUGAUCGUUUAGUAUUCUGCUAUUGCUUUCUUCAUGACUUAUACAUGUUCCUAUGACUAUGAGAUUAUGCAACUCCCGUUUACCGGAGGAACACUUUGUGUGCUACCAAACGUCACAACGUAACUGGGUGAUUAUAAAGGUGCUCUACAGGUGUCUCCGAAGGUACUUGUUGGGUUGGCGUAUUUCGAGAUUAGGAUUUGUCACUCCGAUUGUCGAAGAGGUAUCUCUGGGCCCACUCGGUAAUGCACAUCACUUAAGCCUUGCAAGCAUUGCAACUAAUGAGUUAGUUGCGGGAUGAUGUAUUACAGAACGAGUAAAGAGACUUGCCGGUAACGAGAUUGAACUAGGUAUUGAGAUACCGACGAUCGAAUCUCGGGCAAGUAACAUACCGAUGACAAAGGGAACAACGUAUGUUGUUAUGCGGUCUGACCGAUAAAGAUCUUCGUACAAUAUGUGGGAGCCAAUAUGAGCAUCCAGGUUCCGCUAUGGGUUAUUGACCAGAGACGUGUCCCGGUCAUGUCUACAUAGUUCUCGAACCCGUAGGGUCCGCACGCUUAAAGUUUCGAUGAUAGUUAUAUUAUGAGUUUAUAUGUUUUGAUGUACUGAAGGUUGUUCGGAGUCCCGGAUGUGAUCACGGACAUAACGAGGAGUCUCGAAAUGGUCGAGACAUGAAGAUUGAUAUAUUGGACGACUAUAUUCGGACACCGGAAUGGUUCCGGGGGUUAUCGGAUAUAUACCGGAGUACCGGGGGUUACCGGAACCCCCCCUGGGGAUUAAUGGGCCUAUAUGGGCCUUAGUGGAGAAGAGGAGGGGCGGCCAGGGCAGGCCGCGCGCCCCUCCCCCUCUAGUCCAAAUUGGACAAGGAGGGGGGGGGGGGCGGCGCCCCCCUUUCCUUCUUCUCCUCCUCCUCUUUCCCCCCUUCUCCUAAUCCAACAAGGAAGGGAGGGAGUCCUACUCCCGGUGGGAGUAGGACUCCUCCUGGCGCGCCCCUCUCCUGGCCGGCCGCCUCUCCCCCCUUUGCUCCUUUAUAUACGGGGGCAGGGGGCACCCCAAAGACACAACAAUUGAUCUGUUGAUCUUUUAGCCGUGUGCGGUGCCCCCUCCACCAUAAUCCACCUCGAUAAUACUGUAGCGGUGCUUAGGCGAAGCCCUGCAUCGGUAGAACAUCAUCAUCGUCACCACGCCGUCGUGCUGACGAAACUCUCCCUCAACACUCGGCUGGACCAGAGUUCGAGGGGCGUCAUCGGGCUGAACGUGUGCUGAACUCGGAGGUGCCGUGCGUUCGGUACUUGAUCGGUCGGAUCGUGAAGACGUAGGACUACAUCAACCGCGUUGUGCUAACGCUUCCGCUUUCGGUCUACGAGGGUACGUGGACAACACUCCCCCCUCUCGUUGCUAUGCAUCACCAUGAUCUUGCGUGUGCGUAUGAUUUUUUUUGAAAUUACUACGUUCCCCAACAGUGGCAUCCGAGCCUGGUUUUAUGCGUAGAUGUCAUAUGCACGAGUAGAACACAAGUGAGUUGCGGCGAUACAAGUCAUACUGCUUACCAGCAUGUCAUACUUUGGUUUGGCGGUAUUGUUGGAUGAAGCGGCCCGGACCGACAUUACGCGUACGCUUACGCGAGACUGGUUCUACCGACGUGCUUUGCACACAGGUGACUGGCGGGUGUCAGUUUCUCCAACUUUAGUUGAACCGAGUGUGGCUACGCCCGGUCCUUGAGAAGGUUAAAACAACACUAACUUGACGAACUAUCGUUGUGGUUUUGGGGGUAGGUAAGAACGGUUCUUGCUAAGCCCGUAGCAGCCACGUAAAAUUUGCAACAACACAGUAGAGGACGUCUAACUUGUUUUUGCAGGGCAUGUUGUGAUGUGAUAUGGUCAAGACAUGAUGCUAAAUUUUAUUGUAUGAGAUGAUCAUGUUUUGUAACCGAAUUAUCGGCAACUGGCAGGAGCCAUAUGGUUGUCGCUUUAUUGUAUGCAAUGCAAUCGCCCUGUAAUGCUUUACUUUAUCACUAUGCAGCAACGAUAGUCGUAGAAGCAUAAGAUUGGCGAGACGACAACGAUGCUACGAUGGAGAUCAAGGUGUCGCGCCGGUGACGAUGGUGAUCAUGACGGUGCUUCGGAGAUGGAGAUCACAAGCACAAGAUGAUGAUGGCCAUAUCAUAUCACUUAUAUUGAUUGCAUGUGAUGUUUAUCUUUUAUGCAUCUUAUCUUCUUUGAUUGACGGUAGCAUUUUAAGAUGAUCUCUCACUAAAUUAUCAAAGUAUAAGUGUUCUCCCUGAGUAUGCACCGUUGCGAAAGUUGUUCGUGCUGAGGCACCACGUGAUGAUCGGGUGUGAUAGGCUCUACGUUCAAAUACAACGGGUGCAAAACAGUUGCACACGCGGAAUACUCAGGUUAAACUUGACGAGCCUAGCAUAUAACAGAUAUGGCCUCGGAACACGGAGACCGAAAGGUCGAGCGUGAAUCAUAUAGUAGAUAUGAUCAACAUAGUGAUGUUCACCAUUGAAACUACUCCAUCUCACGUGAUGAUCGGACAUGGUUUAGUUGAUUUGGAUCACGUGAUCACUUAGAGGAUUAGAGGGAUGUCUAUCUAAGUGGGAGUUCUUAAGUAAUAUGAUUAAUUGAACUUUAAUUUAUCAUGAACUUAGUCUUGGUAGUAUUAGCAUAUCUAUCUGGUAGAUCAAUAGCUCGCGUUGUUGCUUCCCUAUGUUUUAUAUAUGUUCCUAGAGAAAACUAAGUUGAAAAAUGUUAUGAACGUCUGGCAGAGCAAAGCUGAUGACUACUCGAUAGUUCAGUGUGCCAUGCUUUACGGCUUAGAACCGGGUCUUCAACGACGUUUUGAACGUCAUGGAGCAUAUGAGAUAUUCCAGGAGUUGAAGUUAAUAUUUCAAGCAAAUGCCCGGAUUGAGAGAUAUGAAGUCUCCAAUAAGUUCUACAGCUGCAAGAUGGAGGAGAAUAGUUCUGUCAGUGAGCAUAUACUCAAAAUGUCUGGGUAUAACAAUCACUUGAUUCAACUGGGAGUUAAUCUUCCGGAUGAUAGCGUCAUUGACAGAAUUCUUCAAUCACUGCCACCAAGCUACAAGAGCUUCGUGAUGAACUAUGACAUGCAAGGGAUGGAUAAGACGAUUCUCGAGCUCUUCGCAAUGCUAAAGGCUGCGGAGGUAGAAAUCAAAAAGGAGCAUCAAGUGUUGAUGGUCAAUAAGACCACCAGUUUCAAGAAAAAGGGCAAAGGGAAGAAGAAGGGGAACUUCAAGAAGAACAUCAAGCAAGUUGCUGCUCAGGAGAAGAAAGUCUGGACCUAAGCCUGAGACUGAGUGCUUCUACUGCAAGCAGACUGGUCACUGGAAGCGGAACUGCCCCAAGUAUUUGGCGGAUAAGAAGGAUGGCAAGGUGAACAAAGGUAUAUGUGAUAUACAUGUUAUUGAUGUGUACCUUACUAAUGCUCGCAGUAGCACCUGGGUAUUUGAUACUGGUUCUGUUGCUAAUAUUUGCAACUCGAAACAGGGACUACAUAUUAAGCGAAGAUUGGCUAAGGACGAGGUGACGAUGCGCGUGGGAAAUGGUUCCAAAGUCGAUGUGAUCGCGGUCGGCACGCUACCUCUACAUCUACCUUCGGGAUUAGUUUUAGACCUGAAUAAUUGUUAUUUGGUGCCAGCGUUGAGAAUGAACAUUAUAUCUGGAUCUUGUUUGAUGCGAGACGAUUAUUCAUUUAAAUCAGAGAAUAAUGGUUGUUCUAUUUAUAUGAGUAAUAUCUUUUAUGGUCAUGCACCCUUGAAGAGUGGUCUAUUUUUGUUGAAUCUCGAUAGUAGUGAUACACAUAUUCAUAAUAUAGAAGCCAAAAGAAGCAGAGUUGAUAAUGAUAGUGCAACUUAUUUGUGGCACUGCCGUUUAGGUCAUAUCGGUGUAAAGCGCAUAAAGAAACUCCAUACUGAUGGACUUUUGGAACCACUUGAUUAUGAAUCACUUGGUACUUGCGAACCGUGCCUCAUGGGCAAGAUGACUAAAACGCCGUUCUCCGGAACUAUGGAGCGAGCAACAGAUUUGUUGGAAAUCAUACAUACAAAUGUAUGUGGUCCGAUGAAUAUUGAGGCUCGAGGCGGAUAUCGUUAUUUUCUCACCUUCACAGAUGAUUUGAGAAGAUAUGGGUAUAUCUACUUAAUGAAACAUAAGUCUGAAACAUUUGAAAAGUUCAAAGAAUUUCAGAGUGAAGUUGAAAAUCAUCGUAACAAGAAAAUAAAGUUUCUACGAUCUGAUCGUGGAGGAGAAUAUUUGAGUUACGAGUUUGGUCUUCAUUUGAAAAAAUGCGGAAUAGUUUCGCAACUCACGCCACCCGGAACACCACAGUGUAAUGUGUGUCCGAACGUCGUAAUCGUACUUUACUUGAUAUGGUGCGAUCUAUGAUGUCUCUUACUGAUUUACCGCUAUCGUUUUGGGGUUAUGCUUUAGAGACGGCUGCAUUCACGUUAAAUAGGACACCAUCGAAAUCCGUUGAGACGACGCCUUAUGAACUGUGGUUUGGCAAGAAACCAAAGUUGUCGUUUCUUAAAAGUUUGGGGCUGCGAUGCUUAUGUGAAAAAGCUUCAACCUGAUAAGCUCGAACCCAAAUCGGAAAAAUGUGUCUUCAUAGGAUACCCAAAAGAGACUGUUGGGUACACCUUCUAUCACAGAUCCGAAGGCAAGACUUUUGUUGCUAAAUUUGGAAUCUUUCUAGAGAAGGAGUUUCUCUCGAAAGAAGUGAGUGGGAGGAAAGUAGAACUUUAUGAGGUAACUGUACCUGCUCCCUUAUUGGAAAGUAGUUCAUCACAGAAACCGGUUUCUGCGACACCUACACCAAUUAGUGAGGAAGUUAAUGAUCAUGAUCAUGAAACUUCAGAUCAAGUUGUUACUGAACCUCGUAGGUCAACCAGAGUAAGAUCCGCACCAGAGUGGUACGGUAAUCCUGUUCUGGAAGUUAUGUUGCUAGACCAUGACGAACCUACGAACUAUGAAGAAGCGAUGGUGAGCCCAGAUUCCGCAAAAUGGCUUGAGGCCAUGAAAUCUGAGAUGGGAUCCAUGUAUGAGACCAAAGUGUUGACUUUGGUUGACUUGCCCGAUGAUCGGCAAGCCAUUGAGAAUAAAUGGAUCUUCAAGAAGAAGAUUGACGCUGACGGUAAUGUUACUGUCUAUAAAGCUCGACUUGUUGCGAAAGGUUUUCGACAAGUUCAAGGGAUUGACUAUGAUGAGACCUUCUCACCCGUAGCGAUGCUUAAGUCUGUCCGAAUCAUGUUAGCAAUUGCCGCAUUUUAUGAUUAUGAAAUUUGGCAAAUGGAUGUAAAAACUGCAUUCCUGAAUGGAUUUCUGGAAGAAGAGUUGUAUAUGAUGCAACCGGAAGGUUUUGUCGAUCCAAAGGGAGCUAACAAAGUGUGCAAGCUCCAGCGAUCCAUUUAUGGACUGGAGCAAGCCUGUCGGAGUUGGAAUAAACGCUUUGAUAGUGUGAUCAAAGCAUUUGGUUUUAUACAGACUUUUGGAGAAGCCUGUAUUUACAAGAAAGUGAGUGGGAGCUCUGCAGCAUUUCUGAUAUUAUAUGUGGAUGACAUAUUGCUGAUUGGAAAUGAUAUAGAAUUUCUGGAUAGCAUAAAGGGAUACUUGAAUAAGAGUUUUUCGAUGAAAGACCUCGGUGAAGCUGCUUAUAUAUUGGGCAUCAAGAUCUAUAGAGAUAGAUCAAGACGCUUAAUUGGACUUUCACAAAGCACAUACCUUGACAAAGUUUUGAAGAAGUUCAAAAUGGAUCAAGCAAAGAAAGGGUUCUUGCCUGUGUUACAAGGUGUGAAGUUGAGUAAGACUCAAUGCCCGACCACUACAGAAGAUAGAGAGAAGAUGAAAGAUGUUCCCUAUGCUUCAGCCAUAGGCUCUAUCAUGUAUGCAAUGCUGUGUACCAGACCUGAUGUGUGCCUUGCUAUAAGUUUAGUAGGGAGGUACCAAAGUAAUCCAGGAGUGGAUCACUGGACAGCGGUCAAGAACAUCCUGAAAUACCUGAAAAGGACUAAGGAUAUGUUUCUCGUUUAUGGAGGUGACAAAGAGCUCAUCAUAAAUGGUUACGUUGAUACAAGCUUUGACACUGAUCCGGACGAUUCUAAAUCACAAACCGGAUACAUGUUUACAUUGAACGUGAAGGAAAUAUGCCCUAGAGGCAAUAAUAAAGUUAUUAUUUAUUUCCUUAUAUCAUGAUAAAUGUUUAUUAUUCAUGCUAGAAUUGUAUUAACCGGAAACAUAAUACAUGUGUGAAUACAUAGACAAACAUAGUGUCACUAGUAUGCCUCUACUUGACUAGCUCAUUGAUCAAAGAUGGUUGAGUUUCCUAGCCAUAGACAUGAGUUGUCAUUUGAUUAACGGGAUCACAUCAUUAGGAGAAUGAUGUGAUUGACUUGACCCAUUCCGUUAGCUUAGCACUCGAUCGUUUAGUAUGUUGCUAUUGCUUUCUACAUGACUUAUACAUGUUCCUAUGACUAUGACAUUAUGCAACUCCCGUUUACCGGAGGAACACUUUGUGUGCUACCAAACGUCACAACGUAACUGGGUGAUUAUAAAGGUGCUCUACAGGUGUCUCCGAAGGUACUUGUUGGGUUGACGUAUUUCGAGAUUAGGAUUUGUCACUCCGAUUGUCGGAGAGGUAUCUCUGGGCCCACUCGGUAAUGCACAUCACUAUAAGCCUUGCAAGCAUUGUAACUAAUGAGUUAGUUGCGAGAUGUUGUAUUACGGAACGAGUAAAGAGACUUACCGGUAACGAGAUUGAACUAGGUAUUGAGAUACCGACGAUCGAAUCUCGGGCAAGUAACAUACCGAUGACAAAGGGAACAACGUAUGUUGUUAUGCGGUUUGACCGAUAAAGAUCUUCGUAGAAUAUGUGGGAGCCAAUAUGAGCAUACAGGUUCCACUAUUGGUUAUUGACCGGAGACAUGUCUCGGUCAUGUCUACAUAGUUCUCGAACUCGUAGGGUCCGCACGCUUAAAGUUUCGAUGACGGUUCUGUUAUGAGUUUAUGAGUUUUGAUGUACCGAAGGUUGUUCGGAGUCCCGGAUGUGAUCACGAACAUGACGAGGAGUCUCGAAAUGGUCCCCAACAGCGUUAGCACAACGCGGUUGAUGUAGUCGUACGUCUUCACGAUCUGACCGAUCAAGUACCGAACGCACGGCACCUCUGAGUUCAGCACACGUUCAGCCCGAUGACGUCCCUCGAACUCCGAUCUAGCCGAGUGUUGAGGGAGAGUUUCGUCAGCACGACGGCGUGGUGACGAUGAUGAUGUUCUACCGACGCAGAGCUUCGCCUAAGCACCGCUACAGUAUUAUCGAGGUGGACUAUGGUGGAGGGGGGCACCGCACACGGCUAAAAGAUCAAACGAUCAAUUGUUGUGUCUCUAGGGUGCCCCCUGCCCCCGUAUAUAAAGGAACGAGGGGGGAGGUGCGGCCGGCCAGGAGGGGCGCGCCAGGUGGAGUCCUACUCCCACCGGGAGUAGGACUCCCUCCCUUUUCCUAGUUGGAUUAGGAGUGGAGGGGGAAAGAGGAGGGAGAAAGGAAGGAAAGGGGGGGGGGCAUCGCCCCCCUCUCCUUGUCCUAUUCGGACUAGGGGGGAGGGGCGUGCGGCCCUUCCCUGACCGCCUCUCCUCUUCUCCACAAAGGCCCACUAUGGCCCAUUAAGCCCCCGGGGGGUUCCGGUAACCCCUCGGUACUCCGGUAAAAUCUCGAUUUCACUCGGAACAAUUCCGAUAUCCAAAGAUAGGCUUCCAAUAUAUCAAUCUUCAUGUCUCGACCAUUUCGAGACUCCUCGUCAUGUCCUUGAUCACAUCCGGGACUCUGAACAACCUUCGGUACAUCAAAACAUAUAAACUCAUAAUAUAACUGUCAUCGAAACUUUAAGCGUGCGGACCCUACAGGUUCGAGAACUAUGUAGACAUGACCGAGAUACGUCUCCGGUCAAUAAGCAAUAGCGGAACCUGGAUGCUCAUAUUGGCUCCCACAUAUUCUACGAAGAUCUUUAUCGGUCAGACCGCAUAACAACAUACGUUGUUCCCUUUGUCAUCGGUAUGUUACUUGCCCGAUAUUCGAUUGUCGGUAUCUCAAUACCAAGUUCAAUCUCGUUACCGGCAAGUCUCUUUACUCAUUCCGUAGUACAUCAUCCCACAACUAACUCAUUAGUUGCAAUGCUUGCAAGGUUUAAGUGAUGUGCAAUACCGAGAGGGCCCAGAGAUGCCUCUCCGACAAUCAGAGUGACAAAUCCUAAUAUCGAAAUACGCCAACCCAACAAGUACCUUCGGAGACACCUGUAGAGCACCUUUAUAAUCACCCAGUUACGUUGUGACGUUUGGUAGCACACAAAGUGUUCCUCCGGUAAACGGGAGUUGCAUAAUCUCAUAGUCAUAGGAACAUGUAUAAGUCAUGAAGAAAGCAAUAGCAACAUACUAAACGAUCGAGUGCUAAGCUAACGGAAUGGGUCAACUCAAUCACAUCAUUCUCCUAAUGAUGUGAUCCCGUUAAUCAAAUGACAACUCAUGUCUAUGGCUAGGAAACAUAACCAUCUUUGAUCAACGAGCUAGUCAAGUAGAGGCAUACUAGUGACACUCUGUUUGUCUAUGUAUUCACACAAGUAUUAUGUUUCCGGUUAAUACAAUUCUAGCAUGAAUAAUAAACAUUUAUCAUGAUAUAAGGAAAUAAAUAAUAACUUUAUUAUUGCCUCUAGGGCAUAUUUCCUUCAGUCUCCCACUUGCACUAGAGUCAAUAAUCUAGAUUACACAGUAAUGAUUCUAACACCCAUGGAGCCUUGGUGCUGAUCAUGUUUUGCUCGUGGAAGAGGCUUAGUCAACGGGUCUGCAACAUUCAGAUCCGUAUGUAUCUUGCAAAUUUCUAUGUCUCCCACCUGGACUAAAUCCCGGAUGGAAUUGAAGUGUCUCUUGAUGUGCUUGGUUCUCUUGUGAAAUCUGGAUUCCUUCGCCAAGGCAAUUGCACCAGUAUUGUCACAAAGAUUUUCAUUGGACCCGAUGCACUAGGUAUGACACCUAGAUCGAAUAUGAACUCCUUCAUCCAGACUCCUUCAUUUGCUGCUUCCGAAGCAGCUAUGUACUCCGCUUCACACAUAGAUCCUGCCACGACGCUUUGUUUAGAACUGCACCAACUGACAGCUCCACCGUUCAAUGUAAACACGUAUCCGGUUUGUGAUUUAGAAUCGCCUGGAUCAGUGUCAAAGCUUGCAUCAACGUAACCAUUUACGAUGAGCUCUUUGUCACCUCCAUAAACGAGAAACAUAUCCUUAGUCCUUUUCAGGUAUUUCAGGAUGUUCUUGACCGCUGUCCAGUGAUCCACUCCUGGAUUACUUUGGUACCUCCCUGCUAAACUUAUAGCAAGGCACACAUCAGGUCUGGUACACAGCAUUGCAUACAUGAUAGAGCCUAUGGCUGAAGCAUAGGGAACAUCUUUCAUCUUCUCUCUAUCUUCUGCAGUGGUCGGGCAUUGAGUCUUACUCAACUUCACACCUUGUAACACAGGCAAGAACCCUUUCUUUGCUUGAUCCAUUUUGAACUUCUUCAAAACUUUGUCAAGGUAUGUGCUUUGUGAAAGUUCAAUUAAGCGUCUUGAUCUAUCUCUAUAGAUCUUGAUGCCCAAUAUAUAAGCAGCUUCACCGAGGUCUAUCAUCGAAAAACUCUUAUUCAAGUAUCCCUUUAUGCUAUCCAAAAAUUCUAUAUAAUUUCCAAUCAGCAAUAUGUCAUCCACAUAUAAUAUCAGAAAUGCUGCAGAGCUCCCACUCACUUUCUUGUAUAUACAGGCUUCUCCAAAAGUCUGUAUAAAACCAAAUGCUUUGAUCACACUAUCAAAGCGUUUAUUCCAACUCCGAGAGGCUUGCACCAGUCCAUAAAUGGAUCACUGGAGCUUGCACACUUUGUUAGCUCCCUUUGGAUCGACAAAACCUUCCGGUUGCAUCAUAUACAACUCUUCUUCCAGAAAUCCAUUCAGGAAUGCAGUUUUUACAUCCAUUUGCCAAAUUUCAUAAUCAUAAAAUGCGGCAAUUGCUAACAUGAUUCGGACAGACUUAAGCAUCGCUACGGGUGAGAAGGUCUCAUCAUAGUCAAUCCCUUGAACUUGUCAAAAACCUUUCGCAACAAGUCGAGCUUUAUAGACAGUAACAUUACCGUCAGCGUCAGUCUUCUUCUUGAAGAUACAUUUAUUCUCAUUGGCUUGCCGAUUAUCGGGCAAGUCAACCAAAGUCCACACUUUGUUCUCAUACAUGGAUCCCAUCUCAGAUUUCAUGGCCUCAAGCCAUUUUGCGGAAUCUGGGCUCACCAUCGCUUCUUCAUAGUUCGUAGGUUCGUCAUGGUCUAGCAACAUAACUUCCAGAACAGGAUUACCGUACCACUCUGGUGCGGAUCUUACUCUGGUUGACCUACGAGGUUCAGUAACAACUUGAUCUGAAGUUCCAUGAUCAUCAUCAUUAACUUCCUCACUAAUUGGUGUAGGCGUCGCAGAAACCGGUUUCUGCGAUGAACUACUUUCCAAUAAGGGAGCAGGUACAAUUACCUCAUCAUGUUCUACUUUCCUCCCACUCACUUCUUUAGAGAGAAACUCCUUCUCUAGAAAGAUUCUGAAUUUAGCAACAAAAGUCUUGCCUUCGGAUCUGUGAUAGAAGGUGUACCCAACAGUCUCCUUUGGGUAUCCUAUGAAGACACAUUUCUCCGAUUUGGGUUCGAGCUUAUCAGGUUGAAGCUUUUUCACAUAAGCAUCGCAGCCCCAAACUUUUAAGAAACGACAACUUUGGUUUCUUGCCAAACCACAGUUCAUAAGGCGUCGUUUCAACGGAUUUUGAUGGUGCCCUAUUUAACGUGAAUGCGGCCGUCUCUAAAGGAUAACCCCAAAACGAUAGCGGUAAAUCAGUAAGAGACAUCAUAGAUCGCACCAUAUCUAGUAGAGUACGAUUACGACGUUCGGACACACCAUUACGCUCUGGUGUUCCGGGUGGUGUGAGUUGCGAAACAAUUCCGCAUUGUUUCAAAUGAAGACCAAACUCAUAACUCAAAUAUUCUCCUCCACGAUCAGAUCGUAGAAACUUUAUUUUCUUGUUACGAUGAUUUUCAACUUCACUCUGAAAUUCUUUGAACUUUUCAAAUGUUUCAGACUUAUGUUUCAUUAAGUAGAUAUACCCAUAUCUGCUUAAAUCAUCUGCGAAGGUGAGAAAAUAACGAUAUCCGCCACGAGCCUCAACAUUCAUCGGACCACAUACAUCUGUUUGUAUGAUUUCCAACAAAUCUAUUGCUCUCUCCGUAGUUCCGGAGAACCGCGUUUGAGUCAUCUUGUCCAUGAGGCACGGUUCGCAAGUACCAAGUGAUUCAUAAUCAAGUGGUUCCAAAAGUCCAUCAGUAUGGAGUUUCUUCAUGCGCUUUACACCGAUAUGACGUAAACGGCAGUGCCACAAAUAAGUUGCACUAUCAUUAUCAACUAUGCAUCUUUUGGCUUCAAUAUUAUGAAUAUGUGUAUCACUACUAUCGAGAUUCAACAAAAAUAGACCACUCUUCAAGGGUGCAUGACCAUAAAAGAUAUUACUCAUAUAAAUAGAACAACCAUUAUUCUCUGAUUUAAAUGAAUAACCGUCUCGCAUCAAACAAGAUCCAGAUAUAAUGUUCAUGCUUAACGCUGGCACCAAAUAACAAUUAUUUAGGUCUAAAACUAAUCCCGAAGGUAGAUGUAGAGGUAGCAUGCCGACCGCGAUCACAUCAACUUUGGAACCAUUUCCCACGCGCAUCGUCACCUCGUCCUUAGCCAAUCUUCGCUUAAUCCGUAGCCCCUGUUUCGAGUUGCAAAUAUUAGCAACAGAACCAGUAUCAAAUACCCAGGUGCUACUGCGAGCAUUAGUAAGGUACACAUCAAUAACAUGUAUAUCACAUAUACCUUUGUUCACCUUGCCAUCCUUCUUAUCCGCCAAAUACUUGGGGCAGUUCCGCUUCCAGUGACCAGUCUGCUUGCAGUAGAAGCACUCAGUCUCAGGCUUAGGUCCAGACUUGGGUUUCUUCUCCUGAACAGCAACUUGCUUGCUGUUCUUCUUGAAGUUCCCCUUCUUCUUCCCUUUGCCCUUUUUCUUGAAACUGGUGGUCUUAUUGACCAUCAACACUUGAUGCUCCUUUUUUAUUUCUACCUCCGCAGCCUUUAGCAUUGCGAAGAGCUUGGGAAUCGUCUUAUCCAUCCCUUGCAUGUUAUAGUUCAGCACGAAGCUCUUGUAGCUUGGUGGCAGUGAUUGGAGAAUUCUGUCAAUGACACUAUCAUCCGGAAGAUUAACAUCCAGUUGAAUCAAGUGAUUAUUAUACCCAGACAUUUUGAGUAUAUGCUCACUGACAGAACUAUUCUCCUCCAUCUUGCAGCUGUAGAACUUAUUGGAGACUUCAUAUCUCUCAAUCCGGGCAUUUGCUUGAAAUAUUAACUUCAACUCCUGGAACAUCUCAUAUGCUCCAUGACGUUCAAAAUGUCGUUGAAGUCCCGGUUCUAAGCCGUAAAGCAUGGCACAUUGAACUAUCGAGUAGUCAUCAGCUUUGCUUUGCCAGACGUUCUUAACGUCGUCAGUUGCAUCAGCAGCAGGCCUGGCACCCAGCGGUGCUUCCAGGACGUAAUUCUUAUGUGCAGCAAUGAGGAUAAUCCUCAAGUUACGGACCCAAUCCGUGUAAUUGCUACCAUCAUCUUUCAACUUUGCUUUCUCAAGGAACGCAUUAAAAUUCAACGGAACAACAACAUGGGCCAUCUAUCUACAAUCAACAUAGACAAGCAAGAUACUAUCAGGUACUAAGUUCAUGAUAAAUUUAAGUUCAAUUAAUCAUAUUACUUAAGAACUCCCACUUAGAUAGACAUCCCUCUAAUCCUCUAAGUGAUCACGUGAUCCAUAUCAACUAAACCAUGUCCGAUCAUCACGUGAGAUGGAGUAGUUUCAACGGUGAACAUCACUAUGUUGAUCAUAUCUACUAUAUGAUUCACGCUCGACCUUUCAGUCUCCGUGUUCCGAGGCCAUAUCUGUUAUAUGCUAGGCUCGUCAAGCUUAACCUGAGUAUUCCGCGUGUGCAACUGUUUUGCACCCGUUGUAUUCGAACGUAGAGCCUAUCACACCCGAUCAUCACGUGGUGUCUCAGCACGAAGAACUUUCGCAACGGUGCAUACUCAGGGAGAACACUUAUACUUUGAUAAUUUAGUGAGGGAUCAUCUUAUAAUGCUAUCGUCAAUCAAAGCAAGAUAAGAUGCAUAAAAGAUAAACAUCACAUGCAAUCAAUAUAAGUGAUAUGAUAUGGCCAUCAUCAUCUUGUGCUUGUGAUCUCCAUCUCCGAAGCACCGUCAUGAUCACCAUCGUCACCGGUGCGACACCUUGACCUUCAUCGUAGCAUCGUUGUCGUCUCGCCAAUCUUAUGCUUCUACGACUAUCGCUACCGCUUAGUGAUAAAGUAAAGCAUUACAGGGCGAUUGCAUUGCAUACAAUAAAGCGACAACCAUAUGGCUCCUGCCAGUUGCCGAUAACUCGGUUACAAAACAUGGUCAUCUCAUACAAUAAAAUUUAGCAUCAACCGUUCUUACCUACGCAUCAAAACCACAACGAUAGUUUGUCAAGUUGGUGCUGUUUUAACCUUCGCAAGGACCGGGCGUAGCCACACUCGGUUCAACUAAAGUUGGAGAAACUGACACCCGCCAGCCACCUGUCUGCAAAGCACGUCGGUAGAACCAGUCUCGCGUAAGCGUACGCGUAAUGUCGGUCCGGGCCGCUUCAUCCAACAAUACCGCCGAACCAAAGUAUGACAUGCUGGUAAGCAGUAUGACUUAUAUCACCCACAACUCACUUGUGUUCUACUCGUGCAUAUAACAUCAACGCAUAAAACCUGGCUCGGAUGCCACUGUUGGGGAACAUAGUAAUUUCAAAAAUUUCCUACGCACACGCAAGAUCAUGGUGAUGCAUAGCAACGAGAGGGGAGAGUGUUGUCCACGUACCCUUGUAGACCGAAAGCGGAAGCGUUAGCACAACGCGGUUGAUGUAGUCGUACGUCUUCACGAUCCGACUGAUCAAGUACCGAACGCACGGCACCUCCGAGUUCAGCACACGUUCAGCCCGAUGACGUCCCUCGAACUCCGAUCCAGCCGAGUGUUGAGGGAGAGUUUCGUCAGCACGACGACAUGGUGACGAUGAUGAUGUUCUACCGACGCAGGGCUUCGCCUAAGCACCGCUACAGUAUUAUCAAGGUGGACUAUGGUGUAGGGGGGCACCGCACACGGCUAGAAGAUCAAACGAUCAAUUGUUGUGUCUCUAGGGUGCCCCCUGCCCCCGUAUAUAAAGGAGCAAGGGGGGAGGUGCGGCCGGCCAGGAGGGGAGCGCCAGGUGCCCUUUUCCGAGUUGGAUUAGGAGUGGAGGGGGAAAGAGGAGGGAGAAAGGAAGGAAAGGGGGGGGGGCGCCGUCCCCCGCUCCUUGUCCUAUUCGGACUAGGGGGAGGGGCGCGCGGCCCUGCCCUGGCCGCCUCUCCUCUUCUCCACAAAGGCCCACUAUGGCCCAUUAAUCCCCCGGGGGGUUCCGGUAACCCCUCGGUACUCCGGUAAAAUCCCGAUUUCAUUCGGAACACUUCCGAUACCAAAUAUAGGCUUCCAAUAUAUCAAUCUUCAUGUCUCGACCAUUUCGAGACUCCUCUUCAUGUCCGUGAUCACAUCCGGGACUCCGAACAACCUUCGGUACAUCAAAACAUAUAAACUCAUAAUAUAACUGUCAUCGAAACGUUAAGCGUGCGGACCCUACGGGUUCGAGAACUUUGUAGACAUGACCGAGAUACGUCUCCGGUCAAUAAGCAAUAGUGGAACCUGGAUGCUCAUAUUGGCUCCCACAUAUUGUACGAAGAUCUUUAUCGGUCAAACCGCAUAACAACAUACGUUGUUCCCUUUGUCAUCGGUAUGUUACUUGCCCGAGAUUCGAUCGUCGGUAUCUCAAUACCUAGUUCAAUCUCGUUACCGGCAAGUCUCUUUACUCGUUCCGUAAUACAUCAUCCCACAACUAACUCAUUACUUGCAACGCUUGCAAGGUUUAAGUGAUGUGCAUUACCGAGAGGGCCCAAAGAUACCUCUCCGACAAUCGGAGUGACAAAUCCUAAUCUCGAAAUACGCCAACCCAACAAGUACCUUCGGAGACACCUGUAGACCACCUUUAUAAUCACCCAGUUAUGUUGUGACGUUUGGUAGCACACAAAGUGUUCCUCCGGUAAACGGGAGUUGCAUAAUCUCAUAGUCAUAGGAACAUGUAUAAGUCAUGAAGAAAGAAAUAGCAACAUACUAAACGAUCGAGUGCUAAGCUAACGGAAUGGGUCAAGUCAAUCACAUGAUUCUCCUAAUGAUGUGUAACACCCCCAGUGUCAUGCUACAGUAACUCUCUGUGAUUAAGCCUAAUCAUUUGGCUAAAGAAUGCUUAAUCACCUUUGUUCAAUAUCUCUUUUCAACUCCCAUCUGAAUUCAAAUUCAAAUCAUAAGUGAAAUUUGAAGUUGCACAAAAGUUGCUGGAAAAAUGUUCAUCAUUUAGCAAAUAUUCCAAUACAAUUUGAUGUAAUUAAAAACAACAUCACUCCUAUGCUAAAAUGGACACUAACAUUUAUAACAGUGCCAUUCCAGCAAUUUAAAAUGCAAAUUCACUUAUGAAAAUUCCAAAUGAAUCUAAACCUCUCCCAAAAAUAAUUGUGGCAGUGCCUAAAAAUGCACUGGACCUUUAUGAUCCAGUUCCACAUUUUUCCUAAAUCAUUAGGGUCCCCAGAUAAAUCAUUUUCCUUCUCUUGUGAUUAAAGAAAAGAAAAGGAAAAGCAGAAGAGAGAGAGAGAGAGAACCCCCCCCCCCGUGUCCCUCUGGACCUCAACCAGCCUUGCCGGCCCAGUCGGCCCAGCUCCCCGCACCGCACCCUCCCUUCCUGUUCCUCGGUCGCGCGCCGCUACAGGGCACGGUCGCCACCGAACCCACCUCGUCGGCGCCGUCCCGAGGGGAUAAGGCCGACAGCCGUGCCCCCUCGAGCUCCCCCCGCCCUCUCCCACUCGCCUCUCCCAGAUCCACUCCCCUCUCUCCAUCCGCUCGCUCCUCGCCUCUCCCCUUCGUUCCCCAUCGCCACCGAGCGCCAUCGCCGCCGAGCACCGCGGCCACCGACGCCCAUUCCUCCCUCCGAGGUGUCCAGGAGGUCCGCGGUGGACUGCUUCUUCAUCCUCGUCACCGGAUCGAUCCCGAGGAGCGCCACCGUCGUCGCUCGCAUCUUCUUCCCCAACUGCGGCCACCGCUACGCCGCCGUUCGAUCCGCCUCGAAUCUGCAGCUACUAAACCCCCGAGGGCCACCGUGCGUGCCGCAAGGUGAGCCCCUCUUCCCCUUCCAUCGCUCCCCUGGCCUCUUGCGCUCCCGUAGCCACCGCGUCCGCCAGGGCCGAGCUCAGCUCCGCCGCAUAGCUCGCCGCCGUCGCCACGGGCAUCGUCACGCUCGCCCGAGCACUCGAGAGUGCUCAGGCCACCUCGCCGCAUCCGCCCGUGCCGCUAGGUCCCUUCCCCGUAGCCUCUAGCGCCGACCGCCCGUUUGCCCGUACUCCGGUGACCACCGCGGUGCGCGCCGCCAUCGUUUUAGUGCGUUUCCGGCCAGGACACCACUGCUGUUCGACGCGCGCUACUCCGCUUGUUCGAACGCGCCCUCGCGCGCGCGAAACGGUUGCCCGUAGGCGAAAUCCGACGAGGUCCGAGGCCCUCCGCCGUGUUUGCCGUCACCGGCGAUGUGCCGCCGGCCGCCGCUGACGUGGCACACCUGGGGCCUCCCCUGGGUCACUGCCAGCGGGCCCCGCGGGCCCCGUUGACUGGGUUGACCUAGUCAACGUGCUGACUGGGCGUCUAUGUGACGCUGACAUGCGGGCCCCGCCACUUAAUCUUCUAAUUAAAUGUUUUAUUAAUUAAAACUAAUUAGUUUAGUUAAUUAGUCCAUGACAGGCGGGACCUACCUGCUAAAUAACUCUGUUUAGUUAGUUUUAAAACUCUGUUAACUCUCUGUCUAUGACAUGUGGGCCCCGCUGGACCCACAUGUCAGUUUUGACCUGGUCAGCGAGUCUGUUAACUGCUGACAUCAUCCCCACGCAAUGCUGACAUCAUAAUUCCUUUUCUGUUAAUAUUAAUAAUUCCAAAAUAUUGUUUAAACUUUGAAAAUUCAUAGUAAUUAAACCGUAACUCCGAUGAAAAUGUUUUCUACAUGAAAGUUGCUCAGAAAAAUCCAACGAAUCCGGAUACACGGUCUGUUUACCUGUCAGAUGCCUCUAACUAUCUGAACAUGGAACAUUCCCCCUUCGCUUAUCUGUCUGACACAGGUCCGGAACCGAGAAUACAUUCCCGGUUGAAUUCCCCCUUCACCUACAUCGUGUAGCCAUACGUUAGGUCACACCCGGCACAGCAUAUUGCCACGUUAUGCUUUGUGAUGCUAUGUUUGCUUUAUGUUUACUGUUUCUUCCCCCUCUUCUCUCCGGCAGACCCCGAGACCGAUGCUGCCCCUGUGAUCGACUACGUCGACGACGACACUUCUUCCUUUUUAGCAGAGCUUCCAGGCAAGCCCCCCCUUGAUCACCAGAUAUCGCCUAUUCUUCUCUAUACUGCUUGCAUUAGAAGAGCGUAGCAUGUUACUGCUUUCGGUUAAUCCUAUUCUGCUGCAUAGCCUAUCAUUGUUGCUACAGUUGUUACCCUUACCUGCUAUCCUACUGCUUAGUAUAGGAUGCUAUUGUUCCAUCAGUGGCCCUACACUCUUGUCCGUCUGCCAUGCUAUACUAUCGGGCCGUGAUCACUAGGGAGGUGAUCACGGGUAUAUACUAUAUACUUUAUAUACAUGGCACAUGUGGUGACUAAAGUCGGGUCAGCUCGUUGAGUACCCGCAAGUGAUUCUGAUGAGGGGGCUGAAAGGACAGGUGGCUCCAUCCCGGUAGAGGUGGGCCUGGGUUCCUGACGGCCCCUGACUGUUACUUUGUGGCGGAGCGACAGGGCAGGUUGAGACGACCUAGGAGAGAGGUGGGCCUGGCCCUGGUCGGCGUCCGCGGAUACUUAAAAAUAACACACUUAACGAGUUCUUGGUAUUUGAUCCGAGUCUGGCCAUUUGGUCUAUACGCACUAACCAACUACGCGGGAACAGUUAUGGGCACUCAACGUCGUGGUAUCAGCCGAAGCCUUCGUGACGUCAGCGACGGAGCGGCGCGCGCCGGAUUGGACUGGAACGCCUGCUAGGCUAGGUCUGCUUCCGGCCGCCCUCGCAACAUGCAGGUGUGCAAUGGGCGAUGGGCCCAGACCCCUGCGCCAUAGGAUUUAGACCGGCGUGCUGACCUCUCUGUUGUGCCUAGGUGGGGCUGCGACGUGUUGAUCUCCCGAGGCCGGGCAUGACCCAGGAAAGUGUAUCCGGCCAAAUGGGAUCGAGCGUGUUGGGUUAUGUGGUGCACCCCUGCAGGGAAGUUUAUCUAUUCAAAUAGCCGUGUCCCUCGGUAAAAGGACGACCCGGAGUUGUACCUUGACCUUAUGACAACUAGAACCGGAUACUUAAUAAAACACACCCUUCCAAGUGCCAGAUACAACCCGGUGAUCGCUCUCUAACAGGGCGACGAGGAGGGGAUCGCCGGGUAGGAUUAUGCUAUGCGAUGCUACUUGGUGAACUUACCAUCUACUCUCUUCUACAUGCUGCAAGAUGGAGGUGGCCAGAAGCGUAGUCUUCGACAGGAUUAGCUAUCCCCCUCUUAUUCUGGCAUUCUGCAGUUCAGUCCACCGAUAUGGCCCUUUACACAUAUACCCAUGCAUAUGUAGUGUAGCUCCUUGCUUGCAAGUACUUUGGAUGAGUACUCACGGUUGCUUUUCUCCCUCUUUUCCCCUUUCUAUACCUGGUUGUCGCAACCAGAUGGUGGAGUCCAGGAGCUAGAGAUCCCGAGGAUGAUUCUACGUGGAGUUCGGCUUCGAGGAGUAGUUAGGAGGUCCCAGGCAGGAGGCCUUGCCUUUUCGAUCGUUGCUACUUUUGUGCUAGCCUUCUUAAGGCAAUCUUGUUUAACUUAUGUCUGUACUCAGAUAUUGUUGCUUCCGCUGACUCGUCUAUGAUCGAGCACUUGUAUUCGAGCCCUCGAGGCCCCUGGCUUGUAUUAUGAUGCUUGUAUGACUUAUUUUUAUUUUUAGAGUUGUGUUGUGAUAUCUUCCCGUGAGUCCCUGAUCUUGGUCGUACACGUUUGCGUGUAUGAUUAGUGUACGGUCAAAACGGGGGCGUCACAAGUUGGUAUCAGAGCCGACUGCCUGUAGGAAUCCCCCUUCCACACUCCUUGGCCGAAGUCGAGUCUAGACAUUGCAAAACUUUUACUAACAUGGCUGUGUGUCUUACGGGCCCACGUCGCCAUUGGGUGGUAUUAGGAUCUUUUAUUCCUCGUCUGUACUCUGGGACUCUUAUCUCUCUUCUAUUCGGGUUAAAUGAUUUUUCUAAAAUCUACCUUUAGGUUCUCGAGAAAACUUCUCCUGGAGAGCCCCUUCAGUCCAGAUGACCGCCUGCUGCACCAGAAAAUUUUGAAGAUACUCUCCGAUGUUUCCCCGAGACCCUGGUGCCCUUCGCCGUUGCAAAUCCAUGCCACCGAUAAAUCCCUAUGGAAAGCUACAUACACUUGUCGUCCAUAACUUCAUUUCCAAUUGUUCUUGUUAUUACAAGAUACCCUGAAAUACUUCGGAUAUUCCGAGAAUCCUUUGGGUCUGCUGCCUUGCAGCUUCUUUUCCUCAUGAAUACAUGUAUGAAUAAUUCCUCACACUUACCGGGGAUUCGUUCAUCCCUAGUUAUUCAGGUGUUUCGCAAAUUCUUCGAAAUGCCAUUCGAUCUUCCAAAAUCCUCAGUAGCCUAUUGCCUUUGAUCUUCUUUACCUGCUUGCAUAAUGGUUACUUCCAUAUGUCUAGCAAUAUUCAUUAAAAUACUUUGUGAUCGACAUUCUGAUCAUGCUGGAUCAACAUGUGUGUGAAUGCACACAAUCAUCAAUUAAUCCUUGGAAAAUUUCUUUCCGGCUCAGACAUUGUUCUGGAUAUGAGCUCGUUCUUGCCAAAUCAAGAUUUGAUCGGGUGCACCUCUAAGUCUAUUCAACUUACUCAUCUUUUGAUCAGAGCCUCUGCUUCUGAUCCUUCGUCUUGAAAUCAUAAUUCCUUUGUACUCAAGCAUCGAAUUAUUCAGACGUUUCUAUAAGUCGAUGCCUUUGCAUCCCCUUCUUCAUCUGGCUGAUUACCGAUACUCACAUCACUCUGUCGUGAAUCACUAGAUCCACUGUUGGGUUGUUAUCCGACAAUGUCCUUCACAUCCAAAAUCUUAUGAGUUUUUCCCUGAUACAUAAUACCUUCGGUAAAUUGUAUCAUCUGCUUUGACCUCAAUAUUCUGCUUUCGAACUCGUAUCUUUUGCUUGGUUGAUGGUUGUAUAGAUUCGUAAAAAUGCCCCGAUGGGUUGAACUUAUGCCUUCCAUAAUCUGUGUGAACCCAAGAGUUCUCACGAGUCUCACUCUUCUGGUACUUCGCCAGAUAAAUCUUCUGCACUACAAUUUCUUCGAAAACGAAGAGUGAAUGAAAGGUUAUGCAUUGAAGAAGUGGGAGUCGACCUUGAACCUUUGUGUUCAUGCCCAUGAAACCGAUGUAGAACUUAUCAUGGAAGCUGCUCGUAAAAAUAAUAAUAAUAAACUCCUAUUAUAAUCCAUCUGGUAUUUUGCUUUGAUUCUUUGCAAUCGUGGUCCCGACCAUGAUUGUUCUUCUUUGAUCCCAUUUCGUGGGCAAGGUAAAGCACUUGUCUUUUGCAAACCAAUAUGCCUGCCCAACCUCUAUUCUGUUUUACCCUCGAGUGUUACCCCUUGGUAUCUCGGGAAUAUCGCAAGAACUACAUAACUUCUUAUGAGUUCUUCAUUGAACUACUAUUGAUCACCAAUUCCAGUAUCCCCGGGUUCUGAGUGGUUGGUCACUCGAGAACAUCGGUAAGUGAAUCGGUUCUGCACUCCGAUUCGAUAACUCUAAGUAAUUUUCGUUGCUUACGAGUUUAGUAAUCCUUCCAGUCAUUCCUAGCCUGAUCGGGUAUAUCAUUAUCGUGCUAAUUUUAACUGUGCUACCCGGUCCUGGAGCACAACUUUUUGACGAUGAGCGAAGCUUACGUCGAUCUUCCUCAUCUUAUCAUUCCACCUUGAACAACAAGCUUGAAUCCGAGCUUGUGUCGUAUACGUGGUUCCAAUAGCCUUUGCUUCAUCAUUCCUUUUGCUUGAUGUCGUUGCUGCUCGAUGGCAUCUUCAUAGAGCCUCUCGACAAAAUUUGUCGUGAUCACCGUCAAUAUACUGCCUUGUUCUAAGAUAUCAAUCGAAUUCUUGAGGAGAAAUACCAUCCUUGCCCGUCGAUGAUUCGUGUUGUCAUCGACACCAUCCUUGACUUCCUUCCAAUACAGACUUGGUCAUGUUUUGAUUAUAUCUUACAUUCCUUGUCAUUCUUGGAAUUGUUCCUUUGUACUUCUUGUGACCUUCAGAUUCAAUCUUGCUUGAAACACCCUGUUAAUGUUACCUCGAAGCAUGACUGUGGUAUGCCGAACAACAACAAGAACAUUGGAAGUGCAUUGCCAAAUGUUUCUUGCUCUAUUAUCCAAAACACCGUUGUAUGGAUAACAUCAUGAAUUCCCUUGCCCCUUUAUCCAAAAUGGUGAUGUACUUGUUGAUCUAACAUGUAUAUCAUGCUCUACUUUUCCUUGGGAAAAGUUACACUCCUAAAUCUUGUGUAUAAACACAUUUUCCUUUCCAUUGGUUUGAUUAACCUUUCUUGUGAUCUAUAUAUGUUAUAAGCAGAAAUAAUUCCCUGCUUAUGGAAACACCUCGGUUUACAACUCUGUCAGUGUGACCCUGUUACUAUUGCUGACGACAUCCUGGUAACCACCGAUGGACGAGAACUUUCCUAUUGCUCCGCCUCGUUCAACGAGCAGGAAAAUAGUUCUCUUCGUCCCUCGCCCUUGGUACCAACGAUGUUGGCAACAUAACUGGCAGUCUAUCAUCUGACAUGCCUUGCUAUCGACCCCCUUUCUACUUUUAACCCACAUGGUGGGCCCAAAACCCACAGUUCCACAGGAUCGGAACCUGACUCUCCUGUAUAUCUUUGAUUCUGAAAUAUUCUUGAAUUUGGCUUCGUAUCAUGUCACGAGCCACCUUUCGAGAGAUGAUCUAUUCCCGAUGCUCUGAACCCCUUUCUCACACCCUGUUCAGGUAUCGAUCGUUUGUCCAUUCGCUUGAAACUUCUUAUUGUACCUUCAUAUUUUGCUGUCGACAUUUUCUUAUAUUUCAACUCGAGAGAUACUUCUGUCACAUUCCCUGAAUUGUUCACUAGAUAAUUAACCCUAAAAGGGUCAGUUCUCCCGAAGUUACUCUUUACUUCCCCACUUAAAUCUCGGGACGAGAUUUCUUGUAGUGGAGGAGAUUUGUAACACCCCCAGUGUCAUGCUACAGUAACUCUCUGUGAUUAAGCCUAAUCAUUUGGCUAAAGAAUGCUUAAUCACCUUUGUUCAAUAUCUCUUUUCAACUCCCAUCUGAAUUCAAAUUCAAAUCAUAAGUGAAAUUUGAAGUUGCACAAAAGUUGCUGGAAAAAUGUUCAUCAUUUAGCAAAUAUUCCAAUACAAUUUGAUGUAAUUAAAAACAACAUCACUCCUAUGCUAAAAUGGACACUAACAUUUAUAACAGUGCCAUUCCAGCAAUUUAAAAUGCAAAUUCACUUAUGAAAAUUCCAAAUGAAUCUAAACCUCUCCCAAAAAUAAUUGUGGUAGUGCCUAAAAAUGCACUGGACCUUUAUGAUCCAGUUCCACAUUUUUCCUAAAUCAUUAGGGUCCCCAGAUAAAUCAUUUUCCUUCUCUUGUGAUUAAAGAAAAGAAAAGGAAAAGCAGAAGAGAGAGAGAGAGAGAGAACNNNNNNNNNNNNNUUCACUUAUGAAAAUUCCAAAUGAAUCUAAACCUCUCCCAAAAAUAAUUGUGGCAGUGCCUAAAAAUGCACUGGACCUUUAUGAUCCAGUUCCACAUUUUUCCUAAAUCAUUAGGGUCCCCAGAUAAAUCAUUUUCCUUCUCUUGUGAUUAAAGAAAAGAAAAGGAAAAGCAGAAGAGAGAGAGAGAGAGAACCCCCCCCCCCGUGUCCCUCUGGACCUCAACCAGCCUUGCCGGCCCAGUCGGCCCAGCUCCCCGCACCGCACCCUCCCUUCCUGUUCCUCGGUCGCGCGCCGCUACAGGGCACGGUCGCCACCGAACCCACCUCGUCGGCGCCGUCCCGAGGGGAUAAGGCCGACAGCCGUGCCCCCUCGAGCUCCCCCCGCCCUCUCCCACUCGCCUCUCCCAGAUCCACUCCCCUCUCUCCAUCCGCUCGCUCCUCGCCUCUCCCCUUCGUUCCCCAUCGCCACCGAGCGCCAUCGCCGCCGAGCACCGCGCUGCACCGCGGCCACCGACGCCCAUUCCUCCCUCCGAGGUGUCCAGGAGGUCCGCGGUGGACUGCUUCUUCAUCCUCGUCACCGGAUCGAUCCCGAGGAGCGCCACCGUCGUCGCUCGCAUCUUCUUCCCCAACUGCGGCCACCGCUACGUCGCCGUUCGAUCCGCCUCGAAUCUGCAGCUACUAAACCCCCGAGGGCCACCGUGCGUGCCGCAAGGUGAGCCCCUCUUCCCCUUCCAUCGCUACCCUGGCCUCUUGCGCUCCUGUAGCCACCGCGUCCGGCAGGGCCGAGCUCAGCUCCGCCGCAUAGCUCGUCGCCGUCGCCAUGGGCAUCGUCACGCUCGCCCGAGCACUCGAGAGUGCUCAGGCCACCUCGCCGUGUCUGCCCGUGCCGCUAGGUCCCUUCCCCGUAGCCUCUAGCGCCGACCGCGCGUUUGCCCGAACUCCGGCGACCACCACGAUGCGCGCCGCCAUCGUUUUAGUGCGUUUCCGGCCAGGCCACCACCGAUGUUCGACGCGCGCUGCUCCGCUCGUUCGAACGCGCCCUCGCGCGCGAAACGGUUGCCUGUAGGCGAAAUCCGACGAGGUCCGAGGCCCUACGCCGUGUUUGGCGUCACCGGCGACGUGCCGCCGGCCGCCGCUGCCGUGGCACACCUGGGGCCUCCCCUGGGUCACUGCAAGCAGGCCCCGCGGGCCCCGUUGACUGGGUUGACCUAGUCAACGUGCUGACUGGGCGUCUCUGUUACGCUGACAUGCGGGCCCCACCGCUUAAUCUUCUAAUUAAACGUUUUAUUAAUUAAAACUAAUUAGUUUAGUUAAUUAGUCCAUGAUAGGCGGGACCUACCUGCUAAAUAACUCUGUUUAGUUAGUUUUAAAACUUUGUUAACUCUCUGUCUAUGACAUGUGGGCCCUGCUGGACCCACAUGUCAGUUUUGACCUGGUCAACGAGUCUGUUGACUGCUGACAUCAUCCCCACGCAAUGCUGACAUCAUAAUUCCUUGUCUGUUAAUAUUAAUAAUUCCAGAAUAUUGUUUAAACUUUGAAAAUUCAUAGUAAUUAAACCGUAACUCCGAUGAAAAUGUUUUCUACAUGAAAGUUGCUCAGAAAAAUCCAACGAAUCCGGAUACGUGGUCCGUUUACCUGUCAGAUGCCUCUAACUUUCUGAACAUGGAACAUUCCCCCUCCGGUUAUCUGUCUGACACAGGUCCGGAACCGGGAAUACAUUCCCGGUUCAAUUCCCCCUUCACCUACAUCGUGUAGCCAUACGUUAGGUCACACCUGGCACAACAUAUUGCCACGUUAUGCUUUGUGAUGCUAUGUUUGCUUUAUAUUUACUGUUUCUUCCCCCUCUUCUCUCUGGUAGACCCCGGGACCGAUGCUGCCCCUGUGAUCGACUACGUUGACGACGACACUUCUUCCUUUUUAGCAGAGCUUCCAGGCAAGCCCCCCCCUUGAUCACCAGAUAUCGCCUAUUCUUCUCUAUACUGCUUGCAUUAGAAGAGUGUAGCAUGUUACUGCUUUCGGUUAAUCCUAUUCUGCUGCAUAGCCUGUCAUUGUUGCUACAGUUGUUACCCUUACCUGCUAUCCUACUGCUUAGUAUAGGAUGCUAGUGUUCCAUCAGUGGCCCUACACUCUUGUCCGUCUGCCAUGCUAUACUAUCGGGCCGUGAUCACUAGGGAGGUGAUCACGGGUAUAUACUAUAUACUUCAUAUACAUGACACAUGUGGUGACUAAAGUCGGGUCAGCUCGUUGAGUACCCGCAAGUGAUUCUGAUGAGGGGGCUGAAAGGACAGGUGGCUCCAUCCCGGUAGAGGUGGGCCUGGGUUCCUGACGGCCCCCGACUGUUACUUUGUGGCGGAGCGACAGGGCAGGUUGAGACCACCUAGGAGAGAGGUGGGCAUGGCCCUGGUCGGCGUCCGCGGAUACUUAAAAAUAACACGCUUAACGAGUUCUUGGUAUUUGAUCCGAGUCUGGCCAUUUGGUCUAUACGCACUAACCAACUACGCGGGAACAGUUAUGGGCACUCGACGUCGUGGUAUCAGCCGAAGCCUUCGUGACGUCAGCGACGGAGCGGCGCGCGCCGGAUUGGACUGGAACGCCUGCUAGGCUAGGUCUGCGGUGUGCAAUGGGCGAUGGGCCCAGACCCCUGCGCCAUAGGAUUUAGACCGGCGUGCUGACCUCUCUGUUGUGCCUAGGUGGGGCUGCGACGUGUUGAUCUCCUGAGGCCGGGCAUGACCCAGGAAAGUGUGUCCGGCCAAAUGGGAUCGAGCAUGUUGGGUUAUGUGGUGCACCCCUGCAGGGAAGUUUAUCUAUUCGAAUAGCCGUGUCCCUCGGUAAAAGGACGACCCGGAGUUGUACCUUGACCUUAUGACAACUAGAACCGGAUACUUAAUACAACAUACCCUUCCAAGUGCCAAAUACAACCCGGUGAUUGCUCUUUAACAGGGUGACGAGGAGGGGAUCGCCGGGUAGGAUUAUGCUAUGCGAUGCUACUUGGUGAACUUACCAUCUACUCUCUUCUACAUGCUGCAAGAUGGAGUUGGCCAGAAGCGUAGUGUUCGACAGGAUUAGCUAUACCCCUCUUAUUCUGGCAUUCUGCAGUUCAGUCCACCUAUAUGGCCCUUUACACAUAUACCCAUGCAUAUGUAGUGUAGCUCCUUGCUUGCGAGUACUUUGGAUGAGUACUCACGGUUGCUUUUCUCCCUCUUUUCCCCUUUCUAUACCUGGUUGUCGCAACCAGAUGCUAGAGUCCAGGAGCUAGAGAUCCCGAGGAUGAUUCUACGUGGAGUUCGGCUUCGAGGAGUAGUUAGGAGGUCCCAGGCAGGAGGCCUUGCCUUUUCGAUCGUUGCUACUUUUGUGCUAGCCUUCUUAAGGCAAUCUUGUUUAACUUAUGUCUGUACUCAGAUAUUGUUGCUUCCGCUGACUCGUCUAUGAUCGAGCACUUGUAUUCGAGCCCUCGAGGCCCCUGGCUUGUAUUAUGAUGCUUGUAUGACUUAUUUUUAUUUUUAGAGUUGUGUUGUGAUAUCUUCCCGUGAGUCCCUGAUCUUGAUCGUACACGUUUGCGUGUAUGAUUAGUGUACGGUCAAAACAGGGGCGUCACAUGAUGUGAUCCCGUUAAUCAAAUGACAACUCAUGUCUAUGGCUAGGAAACAUAACCAUCUUUGAUCAACGAGCUAGUCAAGUAGAGGCAUACUAGUGACACUCUGUUUGUCUAUGUAUUCACACAAGUAUUAUGUUUCCGGUUAAUACAAUUCUAGCAUUAAUAAUAAACAUUUAUCAUGAUAUAAGGAAAUAAAUAAUAACUUUAUUAUUGCCUCUAGGGCAUAUUUCCUUCAAACGCUUCCGCUUUCGGUCUAUGAGGGUACGUGGACAACACUCUCCCCUCUCGUUGCUAUGCAUCACCAUGAUCUUGCGUGUGCGUAGGAAUUUUUUUGAAAUUACUGCGUUCCCCAACAGUGGCAUCCGAACCAGGUUUUAUGCGUUGAUGUUAUAUGCACGAGUAGAACACAAGUGAGUUGUGGGCGACAUAAGUCAUACUGCUUACCAGCAUGUCAUACUUUGGUUCGGCGGUAUUGUUGGAUGAAGCGGCCCGGACCGACAUUACGCGUACGCUUACGCGAUACUGGUUCUACCGACGUGCUUUGCACACAGGUGGCUGGCGGGUGUCAGUUUCUCCAACUUUAGUUGAACCGAGUAUGGCUACGCCCGGUCCUUGAGAAGGUUAAAACAUCACUAACUUGACGAACUAUCGUUGUGGUUUUGAUGCGUAGGUAAGAACGGUUGUGUCUCAGCCCGUAGCAGCCACGUAAAACUUGCAACAACAAAGUAGAGGACGUCUAACUUGUUUUUGCAGGGCAUGUUGUGAUGUGAUAUGGUCAAGACGUGAUGAGAUAUAAGUUGUUGUAUGAGAUGGUCAUGUUUUGUUGAAGUUAUCGGCAACUGGAAAAAGCCUUAUGGUUGUCUCUCUAUUGCAUAAGAUGCAAGCGCCAAAUAAUUGCUUUACUUUAUCGCUAUGCGAUAGCAAUAGUUGCAAGAGCAAUAGUUGGCGAGACGACCAUGUGACGACACAUUGAUAUAGAUCAAGAUGAUGGAGAUCAUGGUGUCAUGCCGGUGACGAUGGAGAUCAUGACGAUGCUUUGGAGAUGGAGAUCAAAGGCACAAGAUGAUGAUGGCCAUAUCAUGUCACAUAUUAUGAUUGCAUGUGAUGUUUAUCUUUUAUACAUCUUAUUUUGCUUAGUUCGGCGGUGGCAUUAUAAGAUGAUCUCUCACUAAAUUUCAAGAUAAAAGUGUUCUCCCUGAGUAUGCACCGUUGCCAAAGUUUGUCGUGCCCAGACACCUCGUGAUGAUCGGGUGUGAUAAGCUCUACGUCCAUCUACAACGGGUGCAAGCCAGGUUUGCACACGCAGAAUACUCAGGUUAAACUUGACAAGCCUAGCAUAUGCAGAUAUGGCCUCGGAACACUGAGACCGAAAGGUCGAGCGUGAAUCAUAUAGUAGAUAUGAUCAACAUAGUGAUGUUCACCAUUGAAAACUACUCCAUUUCACGUGAUGAUCGGUUAUGGUUUAGUUGAUUUGGAUCACGUGAUUACUUAGAUGAUUAGAGGGAUGUCUAUCUAAGUGGGAGUUCUUAAGUAAUAUGAUUAAUGGAACUUUAAUUUAUCAUGAACUUAGUCCUCGUAGUAUUAGCAUAUCUAUGUUGUAGAUCAAUAGCUCGCGUUGUUGCUUCCCUAUGUUUUAUAUAUGUUCCUAGAGAAAACUAAGUUGAAAAAUGAUAGUAGCAAUGAUGCGGACUGGGUCCGUGAUCUGAGGUUUAUCCUCAUUGCUACACAGAACAAUUAUGUCCUUGAUGCACCGCUAGGUGACAGACCUAUUGCAGAGCAAAUGCAGACGUUAUGAACGUUUGGCUAGCUCAAUAUGAUGACUACUUGAUAGUUUAGUGCACCAUGCUUAACGGCUUAGAAUCGGGACUUCAAAGACGUUUUGAACGUCAUGGACCAUAUGAGAUGUUCCAGGAGUUGAAUUUAAUAUUUCAAGCAAAUACCCGAGUUGAGAGAUAUGAAGUCUCCAACAAGUUCUAUAGCUAAAAGAUGGAGGAGAAUAGCUCAAGCAAUGAGCAUGUGCUCAGAUUGUCUGGGUACUACAAUCGCUUGAAUCAAGUGGGAGUUAAUCUUCCAGAUAAAAUAGUGAUUGACAUAAUUCUCUAGUCACCAUCACCAAGUUACUAGAACUUCGUGAUGAACUAUAAUAUGCAAGGGAUAACGGAAACGAUUCCCAAGCUCUUCGUGAUGCUGAAAUCGACGAAGGUGGAAAUCAAGAAAAGCAUCAAGUGUUGAUGCUUGACAAGACCACUAGUUUCAAGAAAAGGGCAAAGGGAAGAAGGGGAACUUCAAGAAGAACGGCAAGCAAGUUGCUGAGUGAAGAAGCCCAAAUCUGGACCUAAGCCUGAGACUAAGUGCUUCUACUACAAAGGGACUAGUCACUGGAAGCGGAACUACCCCAAGUAUUUGGCAGAUAAGAAGGAUGGCAAAGUGAACAAAGGUAUAUUUGAUAUACAUGUUAUUGAUGUGUACUUUACUAGUGUUUAUAGCAACCCCGCGGUAUUUGAUACUAGUUCAGUUGCUAAAAGUAGUAACUCAAAACGGGAGUUGCAGAAUGAACAGAAACUAGUUAAGGGUGAAAUGACGAUGUGUGUUGGAAGUAGUUCCAAGAUUGAUAUCAUCAUCAUCGCACACUCCCUAUACUUUCGGGAUUAGUGUUGAACCUAAAUAAAUGUUAUUUGGUGUUUGCGUUGAGCAAGAAUAUGAUUUGAUCAUGUUUAUUGCAAUACAGUUAUUCAUUUAAGUUAGAGAAUAAUUGUUAUUCUAUUUUCAUGAAUAAAACCUUCUAUGGUUAUACACCCAAUGAAAAUGGUUUGUUGGAUCUCGAUCGUAGUGAUACACAUAUUCAUAAUAUGAAGACAAAAGAUGCAAAGUUAAUAAUGAUAGUGCAACUUAUUUGUGGCACUGCCAUUUAGGUCAUAUUGGUGUAAAGCGCAUGAAGAAACUCCAUGCUGAUGGGAUUUUGGAAUCACUUGAUUAUGGAACAGUUGAUGCUUGCGAACCAUGCCUCAUGGGCAAGAUGACUAAGACUCCGUUCUCCGGAACAAUGGAGCGAGCAACACACUUGUUGUAAAUAAUACAUACUGAUGUAUGCAAUCCGAUGAGUGUUGAGGCUCGCGGCAGGUAUCAUUAUUUUCUGACCUUCACAGAUGAUUUGAGCAGAUAUGGGUAUAUCUACUUGAUGAAACACAAGUCUAAAACAUUUGAAAAGUUCAAAGAAUUUCAGAGUGAAGUGGAGAAUCAUCGUAACAAAAAUAAAAGUUUCUACGAUAUGAUCGCAGAGGUAAAAUAUUUGAGUUAUGAGUUUGGCCUUCAAUUAAAACAAUGUGGAAUAGUUUCACAAACUCAUGCCACCUGGAACACCACAGCAUAAUGGUGUGUCCGAACGUCAUAACCGUACUUUAUUGGAUAUAGUGCAAUCUAUGAUGUCUCUUACCGAUUUACCACUAUCGUUCUGGGGUUAUGCAUUAGAGACAGCUGCAUUCACAUUAAAUAGGGCACCGUCUAAUCCGUUGAGACGACACCGUAUGAACUAUGGUUUGGCAAGAAACCUAAGCUGUCGUUUCUUAAAGUUUGGGGUUGCGAUGCUUAUGUGAAAAGGUUUCAUCCUGAUAAGCUCAAACCCAAAUCGGAAAGGUGCGUCUUCAUAGGAUACCCAAAAGUUACUAUUGGGUACACCUUCUAUCAUAGAUCCGAAGGCAAGAUAUUCGUUGCUAAGAAUGGAUCCUUUCUAGAGAAGGAGUUUCUCUCGAAAGAAGUGAGUGGGAGGAAAGUAGAACUUGAUGAGGUAACUGUACCUGCUCCCUUAUUGGAAAGUAGUUCAUCACAGAAAUCUGUUCCUGUGACUCCUACACCAAUUAGAGAGGAAGCUAAUGAUGAUGAUCAUGUGACUUCUGACCAAGUUACUACCGAACCUCGUAGGUCAACCAGAAUAAGAUCCGCACAAGAGUGGUACGGUAAUCCUGUUCUGAAGGUCAUGUUACUUGACCAUGACGAACCUACGAACUAUGAGGAAGCGAUGAUGAGCCCAGAUUCCGCGAAAUGGCUUGAGGCCAUGAAAUCUGAGAUGGGAUCCAUGUAUGAGAACAAAGUGUGAACUUUGGUUGACUUGCCCGAUGAUCGGCAAGCCACAGAAAAUAAAUGGAUCUUCAAGAGGAAGACGGACGCUGAUAGUAGUGUUACUAUCUACAAAGCUAGAAUUGUCGCAAAAGGUUUUCGACAAGUUCAAGGUGUUGACUACGAUGAGAGUUUCUCACUCAUAUCUAUGCUUAAGUCUGUUUGAAUCAUGUUAGCAAUUGCCGCAUUUUAUGAAAUCUGGCAAAUGGAUAAACAAACUGCAUUCCUUAAUGGAUUUAUUAAAGAAGAGUUGUAUAUGAUGCAACAAGAAGGUUUUGUCAAUCCUAAAGGUGCUAACAAAAUAUGCAAGCUCCAGUGAUCCAUCUAUGGACUGGUGCAAGCAUCUCGGAGUUGGAAUAUACGCUUUGAUAAGUUGAUCAAAGCAUAUAGUUUUAUACAGACUUGCGGUGAAGCCUGUAUUUACAAGAAAGUGAGUGGGAGCACUACAACAUUUCUGAUAAGUAUAUGUGAAUGACAUAUUGUUGAUCGAAAAUAAUGUAGAAUUAUUCUGCAAAGCAUAAAGGAGUGUUUGAAAGGAGUUUUUCAAAGAAAGACCUCGGUGAAGCUGCUUACAUAUUGAGCAUCAAGAUCUAUAGAGAUAGAUCAAGACGCUUGAUAAGUUUUUUCAAUGAGUACAUACCUUGACAAGAUUUUGAAGUAGUUCAAAAUGGAACAGUCAAAGAAAGAGUUCUUGCAUGUGUUACAAGGUGUGAAAUUGAGUAAGACUCAAAGCCCGACCACGGCAGAAGAUAGAAAGAGAAUGAAAGUCAUUCCCUAUGCCUCAGCCAUAGGUUCUACAAAGUAUGCCAUGUUGUGUACCAGAUCUAUUGUAUACCCUACCACUGAGUUUGGCAAGAGAGUACAAUAGUGAUCUAGGAGUAGAUCACUGGACAGCGGUCAAAAUUAUCCUUAGUGGAAUAAGGAUAUGUUUCUCGAUUAUGGAGGUGACAAAAGGUUCGUCGUAAAGGGUUACGUCGAUGCAAGUUUUUUGACACUGAUCCAGAUGACUCUAAGUCUCAAUCUGGAUACAUAUUGAAAGUGGGAGCUAUUAGCUAGAGUAGCUCCGUGCAGAGCAUUGUAGACAUAGAAUUUGCAAAAUACUUACGGAUCUGAAUGUGGCAGACCCGUUGACUAAAAUUAUCUCACAAGCAAAACAUGAUCACACCUUAGUACUCUUUGGGUGUUAAUCACAUAGCGAUGUGAACUAGAUUAUUGACUCUAGUAAACCCUUUGGGUGUUGGUCACAUGACGAUGUGAACUAUGGGUGUUAAUCACAUGGUGAUGUGAAUUAUUGGUGUUAAAUCACAUGGCGAUGUGAACUAGAUUAUUGACUCUAGUGCAAGUGGGAGACUGAAGGAAAUAUGCCCUAGAGGCAAUAAUAAAGUUAUUAUUUAUUUCCUUAUAUCAUGAUAAAUGUUUAUUAUUCAUGCUAGAAUUGUAUUAACCGGAAACUUAUACAUGUGUGAAUACAUAGACAAACAUAGUGUCACUAGUAUGCCUCUACUUGACUAGCUCAUUGAUCAAAGAUGGUUGAGUUUCCUAGCCAUAGACAUGAGUUGUCAUUUGAUUAGCGGGAUCACAUCAUUAGAAGAAUGAUGUGAUUGAGUUGACCCAUUCCGUUAGCUUAGCACUCGAUCAGUUAGUAUAUUGUUAUUGCUUUCUUCAUGACUUAUACAUGUUCCUAUGACUAUGACAUUAUGCAACUCCCGUUUACCGGAGGAACACUUUGUGUGCUACCAAACGUCACAAGUAACUGGGUGAUUAUAAAGGUGCUCUACAGGUUUCUCCGAAGGUACUUGUUGGGUUGACGUAUUUCGAGAUUAGCAUUUGUCACUCCGAUUGUCGGAGAGGUAUCUCUGGGCCCACUCGGUAAUGCACAUCACUAUAAGCCUUGCAAGCAUGGUAACUAAUGAGUUAGUUGCGAGAUGAUGUAUUACGGAAUGAGUAAAGAGACUUGCCGGUAAUGAGAUUGAACUAGGUAUUGAGAUACCGACGAUCGAAUAUCGGGCAAGUAACAUACCGAUGACAAAGGGAACAACAUAUGUUGUUAUGCGGUUUGACCGAUAAAGAUCUUCGUAGAAUAUGUGGGAUCCAAUAUGAGCAUCCAGGUUUCGCUAUUGGUUAUUGACCGGAGACAUGUCUCGGUCAUGUCUACAUAGUUCUCGAACCCGUAGGGUCCGCACGCUUAAAGUUUCGAUGAUGGUUAUGUUAUGAGUUUAUGAUUUUUUAUGUACCGAAGGUUGUUCGGAGUCCCGCAUAUGAUCACGGACAUGACGAGGAGUCUCGAAAUGGUCGAGACAUAAAGAUUGAUAUAUUGGAAGCCUAUAUUUGGAUAUCGGAAGUGUUUCGGGUGAAAUUGGGAUUCUACCGGAGUACCGGGGUUACCGGAACCCCCCCCCCCGGGGGGGGGCUUAUUUGGCCUACAUGGGCCUUAGUGGAAAUAGAGGGCAACAAGGGGAGUGUGGGGCGCGCCCCCCAAGGCCCAAACCGAAUUGGUUUAAGGCAAAGGGGGCCGGCCCCCUCUUUCCUUCUCCUCCUCUCCCUUUCCUUCCCCCUCUCCUACUCCUACUAGGAAUAGGAGGAGUCCUACUCCUAGUGGGAGUAGGACUCCCCCUUGGCGCGCCUCUCCCUGGCCAGCCGCCUCCUCCCCUUGCUCCUUUAUAUACGGGGGCAAGGGGGCACCCCAGAGACAAAACAAUUGAUCGUUUGAUCUUUUAGCCGUGUGCGGUGUCCCCCUCCACCAUAGUCCACCUCGAUAAUACUGUAGCGGAGCUUAGGCGAAGCCCUGCGUCGGUAGAACAUCAUCAUCGUCACCACGCCGUCGUGCUGACGAAACUCUCCCUCAACACUCGGCUGGAUCGGAGUUCGAGGGACGUCAUCGGGCUGAACGUGUGCUGAACAUGGAGGUGCCGUGCGUUCGGUACUUGAUCGGUCGGAUCGUGAAGAUGUACGACUACAUCAACCGCGUUGUGUUAACGCUUCCGCUUUCGGUCUACGAGGGUACGUGGACAACACUCUCCCCUCUCGUUGCUAUGCAUCACCAUGAUCUUGCGUGUGCGUAGGAAUUUUUUUGAAAUCACUACAUUCCCCAACAGAAUGGUGGAGCUGUCAGUUGGUGCAGUUCUAAACAAAGCGUCGUGGCGGGAUCUACGUGUGAAGCGGAAUACAUAGCUGCUUCGGAAGCAGCAAAUGAAGGAGUCUGGAUGAAGGAGUUCAUAUCCGAUCUAGGUGUCAUACCUAGUGCAUCGGGUCCAAUGAAAAUCUUUUGUGACAAUACUGGUGCAAUUGCCUUGGUGAAGGAAUCCAGAUUUCACAAGAGAACCAAGCACAUCAAGAGACGCUUCAAUUCCAUCCGGGAUUUAGUCUAGGUGGGAGACAUAGAAAUUUGCAAGAUACAUACGGAUAUGAAUGUUGCAGACCCGUUGACUAAGCCUCUUCCACGAGCAAAACAUGAUCAGCACCAAGGCUCCAUGGGUGUUAGAAUCAUUACAGUGUAAUCUAGAUUAUUGACUCUAGUGCAAGUGGGAGACUGAAGGAAAUAUGCCCUAGAGGCAAUAAUAAAGUUAUUAUUUAUUUCGUUAUAUCAUGAUAAAUGUUUAUUAUUCAUGCUAGAAUUGUAUUAACCGGAAACAUAAUACUUGUGUGAAUACAUAGACAAACAGAGUGUCACUAGUAUGCCUCUACUUGACUAGCUCGUUGAUCAAAGAUGGUUAUGUUUCCUAGCCAUUGACAUGAGUUGUCAUUUGAUUAACGGGAUCACAUCAUUAGGAGAAUGAUGUGAUUGACUUGACCCAUUCCGUUAGCUUAGCACACGAUCGUUUAGUAUUCUGCUAUUGCUUUCUUCAUGACUUAUACAUGUUCCUAUGACUAUGAGAUUAUGCAACUCCCGUUUACCGGAGGAACACUUUGUGUGCUACCAAACGUCACAACGUAACUGGGUGAUUAUAAAGGUGCUCUACAGGUGUUUCCGAAGGUAUUUGUUGGGUUGGCGUAUUUCGAGAUUAGGAUUUGUCACUCCGAUUGUCGGAGAGGUAUCUCUGGGCCCACUUGGUAAUGCACAUCACUUAAGCCUUGCAAGCAUUGCAACUAAUGAGUUAGUUGCGGGAUGAUGUAUUACAGAACGAGUAAAGAGACUUGCCGGUAACGAGAUUGAACUAGGUAUUGAGAUACCGACGAUCGAAUCUCGGGCAAGUAACAUACCGAUGACAAAGGGAACAACGUAUGUUGUUAUGCGGUCUGACCGAUAAAGAUCUUCGUAGAAUAUGUGGGAGCCAAUAUGAGCAUCCAGGUUCCGCUAUUGGUUAUUGACCAGAGACGUGUCUCGGUCAUGUCUACAUAGUUCUCGAACCCGUAGGGUCCGCACGCUUAAAGUUUCGAUGACAGUUAUAUUAUGAGUUUAUAUUUUUUUGAUGUACCAAAGGUUGUUCGAAGUCCCGGAUGUGAUCACGGACAUAACGAGGAGUCUCGAAAUGGUCGAGACAUGAAGAUUGAUAUAUUAGACGACUAUAAUCGGACACCGGAAUGGUUCCGGGGGUUAUCGGAUAUAUACCGGAGUACCGGGGGUUACCGGAACCCCCCCGGGGGAUUAAUGGGCCUAUAUGGGCCUUUGUGGAGAAGAGGAGGGGCGGCCAGGGCAGGCCGCGCGCCCCCUCCCCCUCUAGUCCGGAUUGGACAAGGAGGGGGAGGGCGCGGCGCCCCCCUUUCCUUCUUCUCCUCCUCCUCUUUCCCCCCUUCUCCUAAUCCAACAAGGAAGGGAGGGAGUCCUACUCCCGGUGGGAGUAGGACUCCUCCUGGCGCGCCCCUCUCCUGGCCGGCCGCCUCUCCCCCUUGCUCCUUUAUAUACGGGGGCAGGGGGCACCCCAAAGACACAACAAUUGAUCUGUUGAUCUUUUAGCCGUGUGCGGUGCCCCCCUCCACCAUAGUCCACCUCGAUAAUAUUGUAGCGGUGCUUAGGCGAAGCCCUGCGUCGGUAGAACAUCAUCAUCGUCACCACGCCGUCGUGCUGACGAAACUCUCCCUCAACACUCGGCUGGAUCGGAGUUCGAGGGACGUCAUCGGGCUGAACGUGUGCUGAACUCGGAGGUGCCGUGCGUUCGGUACUUGAUCGGUCGGAUCGUGAAGACGUACGACUACAUCAACCGCGUUGUGCUAACGCUUCCGCUUUCGGUCUACGAGGGUACGUGGACAACACUCUCCCCUCUCGUUGCUAUGCAUCACCAUGAUCUUGCGUGUGCGUAGGAAUUUUUUUGAUAUUACUACGUUCCCCAACAUUCCCCCCGUCGCUCGCAGGAGCGAUGCGGGGGUUCACGAAAGGGGCGUCUCUCAACAGUCAACCUUAUUCAACCUUCACGGAGUUGCCGCUGCCGCCUCGCCUCAUGGAACAAAAAAAAACACCUAAAACACAAAGCAGGAUCCCUCAAGGGCCGGGGUCCACCGCGCCUCCAUGGCCCCACGAUCAACGAAGAUGAGGCGGACCAGCGGCAGCGCUGACAGGGGCAGAGGAACCCUAAGCUAUUUUCAUGUCAAAUUCAAGUGUGUCUGUUCUCCUAUUAAUCAGCAUCUCAUUGCAUAGUCUACAUCAUACUGGAAUCAGCUGGAACUCUACAUCACCAUCAUACAUACAGGAAAAAAAGACCAGGAAGGUAUUCUACAAUGGAGGAUCAUCAGGACGACAUCUUCGGGUUUGCCUUCUCCCACCCGCCGCAGGAGUCGUCGCAGCAGCUCUCCUCGCCGAUGACCCUGUUGACGGUCCUGCCGACGCAGCUGGAGGAGGCACAGCCGCCGUCCCUGGCGUUGUCGAAGUCCGGCGCGAAGCCGAGGAACAUCGGCGGCUGCGUCUCCAUCCCGUGGUUGCUGCCCAGCGUCCCGUACUGCUUCUCGACGCCGCCGUCCUCCCGGAACCUGACCUUGCACCCGCCGCCGUCCUCCCUGCAGAGGAGCAGGUCGUGGCCGGGGUUCCAGAAGAUGCGCACGCCGUGCGCCCAGCAGAGGUUGGCGCCGCGGUAGGAGCAGAGCACCUCGAACACCUCGUCGCCGCGCACCGCCGGGAUCGACAUGCGCGCCUCCUCCGCGCUGGGGAUCUCCGCCCGCUCCGACCAGACCGGCGCGCUCAGGUUGUGCUCGCUGUAGCCGUGGCACAGCAGCUGCACGUUGCCGUCCGCCAUGUCCAGCUCCUCGCCCACCUGCUGCUCGUUGGUCACCACGAUCAGCAGCUUCGGCGCGGCGCCCGGCAGGAACGGGGACGGCAGGCGGGGGCACCGGUACCGGAGGAAGUAGCUGGUCGCCACCACCGCGGCAAUCAAGACGGCGAGGACCACGAUCUUGACCGGCCCCGCGGCCAUGACGGCGACGACAACGACGAUGAUGCUGCGACGGCGGUGGCGCGCCGGCGGAACUUAGGACCGUGGAGAUGGGGCUGCGCGUACGUGUGCGGUCGAGGCUGGCAUGCAAAGUGGCGCGCGCCUCGCUCAUGCAUGUUUCGCCGUGAUCCUUCCUUGGGCUGAGGGAGGCCACAGCGGAGGAAGGCAAACUUAGGCAGCGGACAGAGACGAAUGAGCUCGUUUUUUCCUCUAGGAGGCAAGAGCUGCACUGCCUAAUUUUGGGGUGUUUGCUCACCUGGCUAAAUUUGCCGAUUGACCAAGAACACAUGAAAUGCAACACUCAAAUAUCAUGCCAACUUUUAUUCUCAUUUGGUAGAGCAAAGCAUGCUCUGAAGUCUGAAUUAUGGUUCCAUUCGAACAACAGUAGGCAUAUGGUUCCAUUCGAACAACAGUAGGCAUAAACUCAGCAAGAUGAUGACAACAUCAGGAUGGUUGGGUAAUUCAGAAGCACUCCAUAUAUAUCAGUGCUGCAGCAGGUCUCUGAACCAGUAGGCCGACGCCUUGGGGUGCCGAUCCAGGGUGGGGCUGUUGAAGUCGACGUACACGAUGCCAAACUUGGAUGAGUAGCCGGAGAUCCACUCGAAGUUGUCGAGGAGAGACCACGCGAAGUAGCCGAGGACGUUGGCGCCGCCGUCGAUGGCCUUCUUCAGCUCGCUGAGGUAGCUCCGGUAGAACCGGACCCUCGUCGCGUCCCGCAAGUACUGGUCGCGGGUGAGGCCCCCCGGCUGAUCCAUUCCUGGCAACAUGAUGAUAACAAGGUUAGUAUAUGCAUGACAAGAUGAGUGAGAGGCAUGAAACCGAGCAAAGAUGAUAUGGAGCUUCAAAAAAGGAUGAAGUAUUUAUCCAGUACCGUUUUCGGUUAUGACAAUAGCUGGGUUUCCAUACUUCUGGCUGAGGUAGUGCACGCAUCCGUACAUCCCCGACGGGACGAUGUAAAGCCAGUUAGAAUUCGCCUACAAGAGUUCACAAGGAUUGAUCAUGUUAAUUUUGAACACAACGGUGCAAAUAAUGUCCGAGAAAAUAGAGCUGAAAAAGGUUGCAGCUAAGAGCUACACACACACCUUUGGUCCAAUCGGUUUGCCAUUUCUCUCAACUGCAAAGAUUUCGGCGAUGAUUAAAAGGGUGAACCGACAAUAUUCAUCGGAAUGCGAUGAUGUAAAACCUAGAGCUUGGGACAAGAAACUCACAGGCAUAGGUAACCUGCCAAUCGGCUGAGUAGCUGGUCGGCGUCUGCUGCGUCAACUUCUGCCCCUUCAUGAGGCUGGCCGUGUACUGGUUGAUCCCAAUGUAGUCUGCUGAGCCCUUGACCAAUUUAGCUUCAUCGGGAGUGAACCUGGGCAACCUCUCUUUCACAAGGUCUUGCAUUAUCUGUGGGUAAUGCCCGUUUAUUAGCGGGUCGACAAACCUGCAUCCAAAUGCAACGUUGAUGGCAUAAGCGUCGGUGUCAUAUUUUGUUUAUCGAUCUGAAAUGCUUUGUCAGAGGAUGCUAGUAUGGCUUACCAGCCAACAUGGAAGUCCCUGGCUCUUUGGGCUGCUGCUUGGUCUUCAGUUGAGUUGGUAAGAGCCUCAUACCAGUUGAAGUCCAGAACUAUUCCAACCUUCCCCUUCUGAGCUGCCUACAUUUUAAAAAAAA
rnacentral:lncRNA from 1 species